rnacentral:lncRNA from 1 species
UUUUUUUUUUUUUUCGGGUUGCAGGAAGGGGUUUCGGGGGAAGAAGAUGAACAUGGAGGAAGGAGAAGGGGAAGGAGAAGGGGGAGGGAGGGUGAGUGCGGGUGCAGGGAGAAGACGAACUGGUUGCAGGAAUGGGGAUCUGGGGAGGGAGGGUCGCGGGUUGGGGGGUGUGUUCUGGGUUUCUGCUUUUGGGUGGGCAACACGGGUGGGGUGGGUUGGGGGGGGUACGGGGGUGGUUUAUUUCAGUUUUUUUUUUUAAAUUAAAAAAAAAAUAUUUGCCACGUGACAUACAUUUGGCAGCAACGUCAGCACUUAACGGAUUAAUAGAUGAAAAAUGUAACGGAGGUAUUAUUUUGAAAUAAAAUGGUACGUGAGGUAUGAAAGUGAAAUGUUUUAAAGAUGUUGUAUGGGUUUGUGCAAGACCUCAAACCUGAGGGGUUACUGUGUAAUUUACCCUAAAAAAUAACUGUUUUUGAAAAUGAAUUAGGACUGUAUUAUUCUGUUUCCAGAAUGGAAUAGCAUAACAAGAACAAAAGACCACCAGUGACAACAAAAACACAAACAGGAGAGAGGGAGAGACUAGAUAAAGCUUGUAUUACCAAUUCCAACUAUAACUGGAAACCCUUUAUUCUCCAACAAUGCCUGAAAAAGAUGAAUAAUGUAUGAAGGUACAAUCCAACAAAAACAUACUAAUAAGCUUUUUCUUUUGUAUACACUUUUAAGUUUUCAAAAUGGAAAUCUCUCAGACAAUUCCUUACUAACUUCACUCCUUACCUGUAUUGCUUGCACAGCAAGAAGCAAUCCUCGAUCCAAGUCAUACGAAUCAGGCAUUGGAGCAAGUUGCAUGGUAUCCCUGAAAGAGGAAGGAUCUGUGGUUGCUUCAUGAGAGAAGCCUGAAACACAGAGAGACAUAUCCAAGAAAGAUAUACAUCUCUAAGUCAAAGUAGCUUACCUAUGGUUGAGCUUUCAGCUUGGGAAGGAUCAGAUGAGAUGAAAUGCCAUGUCGCUAAUAUAGGCUCCAUCUUAGAUUUUGUUGGAGAUCUAGUCCAUGGCUGAGAUAGAUCCUCAAGCCGAGUAACAAGGUUUGGAGGAACACGAAUUGGUCUUGGUGCAACAAUCGUUUUGUCCUGAUUACUGGUCAUAGAUGUAUUUGACAAAAGGGGUGGUGUAUUAAGGCGAGGUACACCUGCAUCGUGAACAAACAUGAUCUACAUUACACGCACAGAGAGAGAGAGAGAGAGAGAGAGAGAGAGAUAACAAGACAGACCUUCUUUCCUCCAUAAAAUGAUUAGUUAAAAACACCAAUAGUGCAGGCCUAUGGUUCAAAACCAAAAAUACAAAAAAUAACUUGGAAACAAAAAGAUGUAAAGAACAAGAGUUAUUUCUAGCCUCUGACCUUUGCUCUCAAGAAUCAUUUCAAGAUAUGAUUUAGUGAUCCAAGGCUCAGUGAUACCCAUCUUCAAUGCUUCAGUUCCAACUGUCUGCACAAGAGUAAGGGAAAAAAAAGAAGGUUUAGUUGUUAACAAAUGACAAGACAAUAUCUCAGGUUUCAGAAUCUAUAUUUCCUUCAUUUCAAAACCAAAAAAUGUAUAACGACUAUAGUAAAAAUACAAAGUUCAUACUUUUCUAUCUGUGCCCCUCAGCACCAUGAAUGUCUCACCAAGGGUAUCAAUGGUUUCAAGUGACAAGGAAACAUUGCCAUUAUCGACUGAUUUUGAUGCUCGUUUGUAACUAACAACCACAGCAUAUCCCAAAGCCAGUAACCCGCCCAGAGUCAUCCUUCCAACCUGCUUUCAAUGAUAAACAGAGCAAACAGAUAAGAGUUAUUUAACAUCUAGAAACUCUACAGUACUAUUACACAAGGAGCAGGCCUUCACAAAAAUUUCACACAUAAAUAUACAUCUAAAAUCCCCAAAGAAUAACCCCAUUAUUUGCUCGUCACUGACCAGAAGGCUUCCAUAAGAACAAUAAACCCUAAAACAGAAUGUAGAUAGAUGAGGAACCAACCUAAAGUAUAUCCCGAUGAUCAGUGGCUUUGUGUAUUCUCUAGUGUCAAUACUAUAAUUGAAACUUAUGAUAAUACUUCUUACCUCAAACUCAGCUUUUGGCCUGAUAAUGAAAUUUUUGUCAACAAUCCUCUGGUCCCCCAGUGACAGAUAAUAUCUUAUACCCGAUUGACGCACCUUGAUCCAAUCAUUUAUCCGCGCUUCUUCACUUGCCGAAGGAGGCCUAAGAUACAUCUCAAUAAAACUGAAAGAAAAUAAAAUACGUGAAAGUUUCAGUUGCAGUAGAAUCAAAAUUUUAGGUAUAAAAGCAAUUCACUUUUCUUUAAUUCUAUAAUAUCAAAAGAAAUAGACAAGAGAUAGAUAUAACAAUCAUCCACCAGACUCACUUAUCUAUUUGAGCUUCACUUCCUUGAAAAGCAUAAGCAAGAUGCCCCUCUGCUGCCUGUAACGAAAAUGUGAAAUGUAAGUCAUAUUGGUGAUAACAUGAGGGUGAUGAAUAAUACCCUGUCUCAAACUAAAGUUUCAAGAAACAAGAUGGAGCACCAGUAAAAGCUAAAGGAAAAACAACACUGAAAUUGACAACAAUAUUGCCCACACGCAUACACAUUAAGGUUAAAUGAUUUGAUAGGCUGUAUCCUACUGAAAACUCACUUGAUUUGAUUAUAUACGCACUUAUCUUAAAAAGAUUGGGCCAGUUUAUUUCUCAGCCAAAAGAGAAUGUGGGCUAGUAUGUCAUCAAGUAUUAAAGAUAAUACAAAUAAUGUUAGACACUGAAAGCGGGUCUUUUCAGGCUUUAAUCAGAUCACCCAAUCAUAUAGCCAAAGAGAAACUUAAAGGCUCAUUUCCAUUGAAAAUAAAUUAUAUAAGGCAAAUACAGACCUCACUCCGGCAUUUCAGCUUGUAGAUUGCCUCCCUAAAUGAUGAGACAAAGCUGUUGUUAAUCCUAAUCUGCAAAAUAAAUGCUUUAUAUUGAGAAUUGACGGUAAAAUUUCAAAGCUAAGAUCAGUCAAACCAACCUGUGCAUGAUGAAGGUCUGGUUCAAUGUGCUUCCUGAACAAUGGGAAAAUGCUGUCAAUAAGGUAAUCCAGUGAACAAGAAUCUCCGAUAUCAUAUCGAACUUUGGACAGAAGGCUAAAAUGAACACCACCAACCUAUAUAUCAAAAACACACAAUCAAUGUCAUGUCAAUUUUCUUUUAACUGAUAUUCCAGAAGCACGGACCAACCAAAUAGAAUUAAGAAGAUUUUACCACUGCAACUCGAAUAUCUAGCAAAGAGCGAAGCUUUGCAUGCAAAGCAUAGGUACCAUCAACUAUUACCUGCAGACAAGAGGAGGAUAAGAACCUAGCAAACAAGGCAAAUCAUACAGGCUGCGGGCCAAACAAACUUACCACCCCAGAUGAAGCACUCUUUAUUGUUUUUGAACCAACACGUUUCUUUUGUUGAUAGUCAAAUACUGGAAUCAAUGUAUCCUCGCCCUUUGUCAAAUCCUGUUUUCAGCAUACACUCAUGUUACUAAGUUCACAGACAUAAUCAAGUAAUGUGAAACAUGACAAUAAAGAAGUGGAUGCAAACCUCGAGAUUUCUGACAAGCAUAUCAAAAUCUAUUGAACCCAGAUCAUUCCCUUCAUCAAAUCCAUCACGAUAGUUCUCCAUUGAUACAACAGUGCAACCAAUAACAGAUGCCACCUUUCUGCUAAGCUUCAGGAAACAUUACAAUUACAAUAAAAAUUAACAACACAACAAACACGAGCAGGAAUGCUUUUUGCCUACAGAAAAUAAUAUACAUACCUUGUUUUACCAGAACCACUUGGACCACCAAUGCCAACUGUUACAAGACCCUCUUUUUUCUCUCUAAGUUCUUGGAUAGACUUUACUAGCAAAUAAUAUCCGUGAUCGAAAGACUGCACCAUCUCAACACCAGCAGUAAUUAGGGCAUCUCAUAUAAUAUCAGAAAUGAAUAGGUUCAAGUAAUGUAAUGGAUUCCAUGUUUAAUCUUAACCCGAUUUCGAGAUUAAGGUCAUUUCCAGAAUUCUCAUUUCCAACAACAUAAAGGAUCGAAUCCAAAAGCAGCAAAUGAGAACCUAAACAUGCCAAAAAUCCCACCUAACCAGUAACCAGUACAAGUAGAAACACAAAUUACAGCUCCAAAACACAAAUCCCAAUUCCAUGAAAACCCAAAACACUAAGACAAAAAAUACUCCAACAAUUCACAACUACAAGCAAAAAAAUUGGAAAAAUCUUGGAACUGCAAAGCCAAGUACAAAAAACCCAAUAAACCAAAAAAGUGUAAGCACACAUGUGUUAGGUGAAAGUGUGGACUUCCAUACCACAUGGAGAGGAAGCGAUUGGAGAAUUGAGGAGGAGGAAGUGGAGGGUUGCUGCUGGAAAUAGUCGCGGCCUCCUUCUUGGAAGACUCGCUUGACGACGUCGUCGUCCAUUUCUGGGGUCUCGACGAGGAAGGCGAAGUCCUGGAAGUGGAGGGUUCGCUGGAGAAAUCGCAAAUCCCCCACCCAAUUCGAGCUCUGCACCUAAUCUUUUCUUUUCUUUUCUUUUCUUUUUUUCAUUGGAUUGUUUGAUAGAGAGAGGGGAAUCUUUUGCUCCAAUUGAAGAAGAGAGAAUCUUUAUUAUUUAUUUUCCUCGCCGCGCUUGUUUUUGUUUCAGUUUUCUUCCAAUUUGAGACAGCAUUGUAAUUAACAAAUUCAGAAAAAAAACACAAAAAUAAAUUUCAUGUUUUAAUUAGUAUUUGAAAUUUGUUCGAUAUCGAUAUUUUUGUAAAAUAUUUGAAAAUCACAUAAAGAAAUCGAAAAGGAUAAAAUCUAAAUCUCACUACAUAUCAAAAAAAAAAAUUCAAUUUCAAUUGAAGUCGACCGAUUUGGUAGAUAUUUAUUAUUUUCAAUAUACGAGUCAGAAAAACUCUUAUCACAAACCAGUGUUUAAAUUUUCAUCAUAUCUAUAAAAAAAUAACCCAUAUCAAAAUCGAUAUAGAUACAUCCAUUAAUAUUUCUACAAAUUUACGUAUUUAUAUUUCCACCGAUACCGAUAUUUUAAAUACUGAUUCUAAUUAAACUCUUGUUUUAAUAACAAAUUAAUUAUUAGUUUUCUACUGGUGGAAAUGAUUUGACGUGAGUGAUCCCAAGCAUACAUGAAAAUCAAACUAGAGAUUUAAGAUUACCAUGGGCUUAAAGGCCCAAAGGCCACUUCUACAUGAGAUGAUGAGAGCCCAAAAAAACAGAUGAGGAAAGUCCAGUCCCAAACUAACCGGCCCAAAUACUUUAUCAUCCUCAGCUGCGUGCGUUUUUGGACUUUGGACUCUCCUUAUUGGAUGCUGAAACAUUAUAACCCUCAAAUUAUGCAAACUAAUAUGGUAUUACUAAUUCAUUCGUGUUGUUCGUCGAAAAACAAUCAAAAUACUCAUAUUAUAGCACAUGAAGUUAUAACAUUUGUAUGAUAAGUUCAUGACAUAUUUUUUACAUCCUCACUUUAUAUUAUAAUUUAUUGAAUAAUAACGUCACAUGAUGAUAUGACCUCAUACUUAAAAGUUUCUUGUUGUAGUGGCUUGACAUGUAUUCACAACUACACAUCUCUCUUCUUUUUUUUUUUGUCAAACAACUAAUUUCAUUAAAGAAAAAAACACACUGAUACAAAGUAAGGCUUGUCUAAAGACAAUCCAUAACACAGUAAAAGUUCAACCAUUACAAAAGUAAACAAACAAGCCCCAAAAGUGAGCCCAAAAUAAAGUGUAAACAAAAAACCCUAGAUCUAGAAACGAGAAUCAAUUGCUUCCACCAAAAUAGGCACACCACCAUCGCCAAGUUGUCGCCACUGGUAAAAUAAUCAACAAAAUAAUGCGAAAUGCACUUUAGCAACCAUUAAAACCCAAAGCACUAGGGUUGGGCACGAGCCGGGCGAAGUAGAGAGAUUUUGAGUUUGUGAACCAGACCUAAUCCAACCCGUUUGAAACAGGCUGGUUCGGGACGAGUCCACGGGUCCAAUUACUUUCUUCUUUUUUUGUCAGACAUUGGGCUGCUUUUUUUAUUACCAAUAACACAUAUUUACAUUUACAAGAGAAAUGCCCACAUACAAUGUAUGGACCUCUAAAGGACAACGAAACCAAGCCCAACAUAAAAAACCCUAACAACCUGCAUCCUCCGUUGCUGCUGCCAUCAAAAUGCCCACCAAACUCGAACCAGUGGCCUGAAAUCAAGCCAAAUCGAGCCCCCAAAGUGGAUAAAAAGAAGACUUCAACAAGUCCAGCAAGAUCCUUUACAACAUGAUUUUCCAAAACUAAACUAAAAUCAAACCAAAACCAAUUAAAUCCAUAAAAUUUAGAAAUUAUAUCCCUAAAUCUAGUAACCCAUAAUUUUCAAAAAUCCUAAUUCAAACAUCCUAAAUCCAUGAACUCAAAAACCUAGAUAAUUCAAAAACCCUAAUUUAGAAAUUACCUUAAUUUGAGAGAAGAUGACAUGAUACGAUGGUGGUGUUUUCGACAACAGUGAUAGGUGGUCACGUUUGGAAUGAGAGCUAGGAAAUGAUGGCGAUGGUGGUGUUCGUAAGAGGACUCGGCUCAAGUGGGAGAAGGGACUAAUAAUCGAUAGGGAGGAAUUUGGGAGAGAGAGAUCGAGAGGGAAGACUCUGGGAGAGAGAGAUCGAGAGGGAGGACUCGGAAGAGUCUUCGAGAAAGAUGUGAUGUAUGUGAGAUUUGAGUAUGUGAGUGUGUGUAUGUGUGUGUGUGUGUGUGUAUGUGUGUGAGGUUUAUUGGAUACGGUUUGGGGUAGGGGCCUGUGACGUCAGAAAAUUGGAUUCGGUUCGCCCCUUUGUUUACUUGGACCCGCCCCUACCCCGGCCCAGGGCCCAUUUGCCUACCUUUACAAAGCACGCCUAAACUGAAGUUCAUGGAUGAAGAACUUGAUGAGCCAAAUAGCCGAACCAAGUGGGCAGAAGCUCGCGAGUAGGGACAAUAAUUUGGGAAUGAAAAAGCAUGAAACUCAUAUUUGCAACAAGAUUGCCAAACAUUGAAAAAAAGCUCAAAUAAAUUGAGACAUAGCUCAAGGAAAAUGAGACAAACUCAGAGCAAAACAACCAGAAAACAAGGGCCGAAGAAAAAGAAAAGGAAAAUGGGGUCUAGGCUGACCCUACCUAAGAAGAAGGGUCGGCGGCUAAAGGUGAGAUUGAUUUGGAGGUUCUAUGCUUGGGAAGAGGGAGUGGCACACUAUAGUUUGAGAGAGAUAUUAGUGGUUUGUCCACCUUACAGAUCUCUUCUCUAUUUAAGCAAUGUUUGAACUUGGAUUUAUAGUGGAAAAUAUGUCAUUCUAGACAAUUUGGGUAUAUCCAUUGCAUGCGAGUGACUUUAGUUAAAAGUUAUAAUGACUAUAGUUAAAUCUCAGGUCACUUAUAAGGUCAUAUGGCGUUAUAAUUGUCACUAAUACAAGGCCACAUGAAAAUAGUCUUAUAGAUCAUUGUUGGAUCCUCGUCGGAUCCCUUCCCCGGGGAUUCUAGGGAUCAACGCACGUGAACCGUUGAUAAAAAAUCGUGCGCCUCCAAUUAAAUGUUUUUAAUUUUUUUAAAAGUACAGUGGCCUCAUUUUGCGUGAAAAAUAUAAAAAAGGGAAAAUUUGUGGCCGUACGAUUUUUUAUCAACGGUCCACGUGCGUUAAUCCCUAAGAUCCCCAAAAAGGGGAUCUGGCAAGGAUCCAAAUCCAUCAUUGUAUUAGUAUCUCAUAAUGACAGUAAACUCGUCUUACCUGAGUUCAUUUCUGUUUUUUUUUUUUGGUCGAGCCCAAGUUUAUUACUAUAUAUACAAAUCAAGAUUAAAUUGUAUGAAACAUGUUCAUUAUCGCGUGACGUUUCAAUUCAAUAAUGCAAUGUCAUUUGUCGAGAACUUACACAUUAUUAUUUUAUUUAAACGAAAUGUCAAGUACAGUGAACAUAUUUCAGGUAAGUCAAUCUCGUACAUAUCGGUCGAGAAUAAACUAACAUAAAAAUGUAAUGAUGAUGAUUCGAUGAAUAUUUAAAGGAGAGAUGGACUUCCUGCAGCUCCUGAAAGUCAACGCCCUUCCUCGGCCACUACUUUAUGUUGGCUUUUUGUCUUUUACAGCUGCCCCUUCUUUCUACAAUUUUCUUUUUCUACCCGCAUGUUCGCUCAUUGACUUUCAGAAGGCAUCGGCAUCAUGCGCCACUUUCGCCCUCCAAAGGCAUGUUCCUAUGUGUGCGCCCUCAAUCCCUAUCAUGUUUAGCGCAUGUAAAAUAUUAGACUGUGAACUAUAGGAAGGUUGACAAAUUUUCAUAAAUCGUCACAGGUUAGCGCACAUAAAAUAUUUAAUUGCCUAACAUAUGUGAAUUCUAAGUAGGAAAAGAAAUCUCGUAUUCGUAUCCAUUUAUCAUACAUUGUGUUAUCAGUUUUUAUUAUGUACUAUUUAUAUUUGAAUUUUAAAUUUUAAAUGAUUUCUGACCGCACGAUAUACGAUGAAUAUAUACGAUUGUUGGAUCCCUAGUAUCCCCAGGAAAAGGAUCCACCUCUAAGUAGGUUGACAAAUUUUCGGAUCCUUUUCCCUCUAAGUAGGUUGACAAAUUUUCAUUAAUCGUCACAACUUACCCCAAAUAAAAUAUUAAGUCUCCUGUCAGCAUAUGUGAACUAUAAAUCGGUUGACAAAUUUUCAUAAUUCGUCACAAUUAGCGUACAUAAAAUAUUAGAUUGCUUGUCAAUAAAUGUAACUCUAGGUAAGUUGACAAAUUUCCGUAAUUUUUUUUAAGACUUUUAACGAUCUCAUGAGAAAUAUGGAAAAGGAUUUAUGCCAAGUUCUUUUUCUGGGGAUCCGGGGGAUUUGUGAUUAUGAUCGUUCAUCGUAUAUCGUGCGAUCAAUUUUCGUUAGGUACUAUUUAUAUUUAAUUUUAAAUUUUAAAUGAUUUAUGAUCGUACAAUAUACGAUGAAUGAACACGAUUGCGAUAUCCCUAGUAUCCCCAUGAAAAAGAUCCGGCGAUGAUCAUUUUCCGUCUAAGUAGGUUGACAAAUUUUCAUUAAUUGUCACAACUUACCGCACAUAAAAUAUUAAGUCGCCUAUGAACAUAUGUGAACCAUAAAUCGGUUGACAAGUUUUCAUAAAUUGUCACAAUUAGCAUACAUAAAAUAUUAGGUUGCAUGUCAAUAUAUGUAAACUCUAGGUAAGUUGACAAAUUUUCGUAAUUUUCUUUUUAAGACUUUAAGAUCUCAUGAGAAACAUGGAAAAGGAUCCUCGUCAUGUCAUUUUCCUGGGGAUUCAGGAAAUUUCGUGAUCAUGACCGUUUAUCGUACAUUGUGCAUUCAGUUUUCGUUAGGUACUAUAUAUAUUUAAUUUUAAAUUUUAAAUCAUUUUUUAUCGCACGAUGUAUGAUAAACGAUCAUGAUUACGGGAUCCUCCGGAUUCUCAGGCGAGGAUACUUUUCUGAUAAACAGACGAAAGAUAAGGUCACGUGUCUACCUAUGAGACAGGGAUCAUGGCAAGAAAGUGAGGGGAGUUGCAUAGCAUCCUUCCCCGACCUGGAAGAGUACGCUUGAUGGGGACGAAGCUUACCUGGGUGGAGAGAGAGAGAGAGAGAGAGAGAGAGAGAGAGGGUGCGCAGGAUAAAGAGUGGGGGAAGUGAGUCACCAUUUUGUCCCACAAACCCAAACUCCCACUUUUUUUAAUUACUUGGGAUUGGAUUUCUGAUUAGGAGGAAGAAGAAGAAGCAGAGAAAAAUGGAGGAUCUGCCGCCUGGUUACCGUCCCAACGUUGGCGUUUGCCUCAUUAACUCCGAUAAUCUGGUACCCAAAUCUUCUUUUAUCUUCUUAAUCUCUUUACUUAACUUAAUUAUUCUUCCGACUUUUUUUUUGUUGGGGGUGGGGGGGGGUCUUGGAUGUUUAUGGGUUAGAUAAAAUCUAAUUUGUUAUCAUGUUAACUCUGACAAAACCCAGUAAAUCGAAUCGGUUGUACUUGCAUAUGUGAGUUAGGCCGGUUGAUCAGUGCUCUGUUUUACAUAAGUUCGAAUCACCCUCGUAGAUUGGAGUAGUUUAGAAUGUCGUUUUAGAUGUGAUUUUUGUUUUUUUUUUCACUGGGAACUAACUUGGGUUGGUUGUAUACUUGUAUUUGUUAAGUGUCUGUAUAUAUUUGAGGGGAAGAAAUUGAAACUGUAGGAGAUUUUAUUGCAGGUUUUCGUUGGAUCAAGAUUGAAUGUUCCGGGUGCAUGGCAGAUGCCUCAGGUAUUAACCCACUUUUUAAAAGUUGCAAAUAGAGAUUCAUGAAUCAUAUACAAUGUUGAAACUUGAAAAGCAGGCUGCUUUAAUCACAUUUAGGGGCUCUAGGGAGGUCAAAAACACUUUCAGACAAUCAAAAGCACUUUUAACAACGUUUGGCGUAAAAAGUUAAAAUACUUUUGGAAACACGUGUGUUUUUUAGGAUUUCUAAAAGUUUAUGUUGUGUUUCUAGCAAACGUGCUUUUGCUGAAACAGCUUAUGAGCAUAAGUGCUUCCGAUAAAAGCAUCUCCAAACGGGCCCUAUGUACAGGAUUAAGUUUUUUGCCUACUAUCUGCAUAAUGUUCCUUAUAGCUCAGGGUAGAAAGCCUUAGUGGUAAAUCCAACACAGUAAAGCCUCUUUGGGAGUACAGAUUUUCCGCCAAUCACUGUAAUGGUUGAACCUUCUGUGUGCUUACUAUCGACUUCUUCUGUUUUGUCGAAUUACUUUGGUUAACCUUAGUUGCAUAAUUCUUCGUUUUUGUUUUUCGGAUACUAAAUCUCAGGGGGGCAUUGAAGAUGGCGAAGAACCAAAAACUGCAGCUAUUAGGGAACUACGAGAAGAAACCGGGAUAGAGUCUGCUGAAAUCAUUGCUGAGGUUUGUAUAUAGAACACUGGAAAAACUCCAUACCAUCAUGAUACUCACAGCAUAUGUGCAUUAUUCAUGAAGCAAUAUCUAUAAUCCCAUUUUUUCCUCUGUUCUGAACUUCUAAGUAAUUGUUAGAUGGAGUUCAAAGCUUUUAAGUUACAGUCAAAUUAUGUUGCAUCCUGAGUUUCAUAACUAAGCUGAUUGCUGAGGGAGCAGCUGAAGUAAAUUUUGCAAACUCAUGACAGGUUCCGAAUUGGUUGACAUAUGAUUUUCCACCUGCCGUGAAGACCAAAGUUAAUCGUCUAUGGGGAGGUGAAUGGCAUGGGCAAGCACAAAAAUGGCAUGUCCUUAUUCCUUCACAUGCACAAACUUCAUGAGUUAAAAAAACAUGAAUCUCAAGUCCUGCCUUCUUAAGCUUGGCACAAAAAUGGCAUGUCCUUAUUCCUUCACAUGCACACACUUCAUGAGUUAAAAACAACAUGAAUCUUAAGUCCUGCCUUCUUAAGCUUGCAACUUGUCUGCCAAAACUUCUAUUAGAAUGUGUCUGAUGUACUAGGAUUAUUUCCUCAUUAGUCACCAACUUGUCUGUCAACAUACGUUUUGAUAUUAAAUUACUGCAGAUGUUUGUUAAUGUAACAUGUGUUCCUAUGAAUACUCGGCAUGUGUAGUAGCGACUCUGGCACAUGAAAUACCUUUGUAUUAGUGUUACAACUGGUGAAUUUCGAUAUUGAGUUUGCUAACCAUGUAAAUGUUCAGUCGUCAUGCUCCUCUCUCGGUUAAAAUAUGAACUUGCAUGAUGUAAUCUUUCAGUUGUUAGAAUGUGCUUCAUUGCUGCUAUAAAUCCGUAUGCAUGAGUAUUUGAAUGGAUGGCAUAAGGAUGCACAAGUUUUACUUCCUAAUGACGAACUUGGGCAAUUGACAGGUUUCUUAUGAGAUUCACAAAAAAUGAGAGCGAGAUCAACUUAGCUAAUGGAGCAGCUGAUCCGGAAUUUGCAGAGUGGAAAUGGGCUAGCCCUGAAGAAGUCAUCGAGCAGGUGCGCCGAAAAAACUAUCCUUGUACUUAAUUAGUUUCAUGAAUAUGUUUCACGGACAUGAUAAAAAACGGGUUGUCUGCUGAAUACAGGCAGUCGACUACAAGAGGCCAGCAUACGAGGAAGUUAUGAAGACGUUCGAGUCCUACUUCGAUGGAAGUAGUUUAUCUGCGAAAUGUAGAUCGUCAAAAUGGUGAACGUUCUUAACUCCUUUUACAUCGUUGGAUGUGGAUCAAGUAGGGCUCGUGCUUUUUGUAAAUGAUAACGAGAGAACUUUGAAAUUAGAUUGUGUUUCGGUUGUUUCUGUAACUAUAUAUCAAUAAAAAUGUAUGCGGAUGUACUUGUUGCUUCAUAUGGUUUUUCCUUGACGAAAAGCUCCAGGUACUGUUCACUUUAACGAAAAACCACAUUUUUACACUAAAAAGUCAAUUCUGGUACUAUUUACUUUACUCUUUAUUUUGUCCUUAUCAUUAAAACUCAAAAUUUUCAAGCCGAGGUUUUUUUAUUUUUUUACUUUUUAUUUUUUCAGUUCCAUUCGAAAAUAUCAAGCCAUUAAUUUGGGCCAAGUAGGCUCCUGGCCAGGCCGAAGCUCAAAACGAAAAGAGAAGAGUAUAGUGACAGAAAUAAACAAGAAUGUGUAAUAGACAAAUGAGUUUGCAGAAAUGAUUUGCUGUGUUUCAUAGGAGCCAAAAGUUUUCAAAUUCCCCUACCUUAUUUGGAAUUUCAAACGCAUGAAUCUGAAUUAGCAUUCUCAUGACUAAUUCCCAGAAAUUCAAACUCGUGCUGUAUGCCGGAAAGUUUUAACCGUGAUCAGGGAAGCACAAAAACGGCUUUAUUCUGAAAAAACGCUUCAUUUGACAACCCACAAUAGGUAGUUACAACUUACAUUACAACCUUAAGCAAUAGAUCAAAAAAAAAAAAAGGAUCAAAGCAAGUUCUGACAUCGCGGAUUCAUCUGCUAUUUAAUCCUCACAUCUUUAUGAUUGGACCGUAUUUACAUAAACUAUCAGCACGAGCGGCUUCAAGUUUCGUAUAGAUAUGGUACGACAUGUUCUACUCAUCAUCCGGCAACCAUCUCUACUUCUACCCACUUCCAUCGAGCUGUCCGUGAGAUAGGAGGUGCGCCAUGUAAUGCUGCAAACAUGUGCACAAAACGCAUAAGUUAAAAAGCACUCUGAACUCGAUUUCAUUCUACGUAACAGUUAUCCAUGGACUUGUUGAAGUAAAAUCCGGGGCAUCGUAUUUGAGCUAAAAAAAAUCAUAGCCGCUGCUUGAGAAUGUUGAGGAUCGUUCACAAAACAGAUCAAUCGACAUAAAAAAUGAACUCUACCCCGAAGUUAACAACGAAGAGGAGGGUGAAGGAAGCAGUUUAGCAGGCAUAUAAUGGAGCUUGUUAAUGCUUUCAUAAGACCAAAAGUCUCUUCAGAGCUGAGCUCGCUGAUACACCUACUAACAACUCCUACAGCCAUUCUUUUGGGGUGGGGGAACAACGCAGAUAUUCACCCCUCCGGGUAGGGGUUGAACUUUAUUUUUCUGAAAACAUUCGACGCAACACAGUUUUGAUAACUUUCCCACUCUGGGCGCAAUUUGCCUUACAAUGGGAACAUAUGAAUUCUUAAAGCAAAACUGAAAACCACUCUACCCUAAGCGAUACGACAAGAUGGAAUGACGAAUGAGAACGCUUUUCUGGCUUGUAAAAAUGAGAAUUUUUGAAUCCGGAAGAAUCAAAACACCGAUCAACAUAGCAAUUCUCACAAGAAAAACAGAAUUAUGAAAAUGUAGUUAGAAAUUCAAAUUCAAGUAGAAACGAGUGACUUACUGCAUGAUAAGCAUAGGGUCCUUUCCCCUGUCGCUCAAAGUGUUUGGCCAUGAUGCAAUACUCAAUCGGACCCCAUUCUUCGUUUUCGAAACAGUUACCAAGCGCAGCUUUAUACAACUGACCAACAAACCAAUACAAACCAAAUCAAACACAUAAUUAUUUUCGUAAGACGAUAUUCUAAACUACUCGAAUCUCCUUAGAGGAGUUUCCAACACAUUGAAAGCUAAAACCUUUUGCAUUCAAAUAAUUUGAGUUCUCUCACAAACCUUUGCCGUGUCCGUCAAGAGCUCCGUUCCAGCUGGGUAAGAAGCAUAGAACUGGUCAGCUCUCGAAAACCCAGCUCGAGUUCUGCAACACCAAAUACAAAAACCAUUGAUGAGAACAGUUAAGAACAACAGGAACUUCACAACCCAGAUAUAUUUUUUUUCCCAUUUGAUACGCGUUCGAGGUAGGUUGUAAAGCGACUCACGUAUUGCUUGUGUAGGCGUAGGUCAGGACUGCUGUGAAGCAGUAGAAUCCGGCAUACGACACCAUUCUCCGGAACUUCUGAAUCUUCAGAAUCUCUUUGCAGCCAUUGUACAGAUUCAUCGUGAUUUGCGACUAGAAUUUGAGUACCUGAAAGCCAAAACUUUUGCAAAUUUCAGCCGCACAUUUGAUCAAACAUGUGGUGUGCCCUUCACUUUUCCGGCGUCGAUGGAACAUGCAGAGGUUGCAAAAUGGCCAAAGUAUUAAGCAACUUGGGCCGGCACCACAUGUUGUUAAAGAGUUUGACCCGUUUGGAACCCGGCUGGGCCCAAAUAACUUUUUUUUUGUUUUUUCUUUUUUUUUUUUAAGAAAGACACGUUAAAAAAUAAUUUUUUUAAAAAAAGCAGAAAGUAGUUGGACGGACGGUGAGGGUUUUUUGUUUUUUUUUUUGUUCCAAUGGAUGGACGGUGAGUUCAAUUCAUAUAAAUUUAUAGGUUUGAUUUUAGUUGACUUAAAAAAAGUUAUAGCUUUGACUAUGCUUUUAGGCCUUUCCAAAUCAGAAUAUCAAAUUAUUUUAAUCAGGUCAAAGAUACGAUUAACAUAAUUAAUUGAUUAAUUUCUUUUAAAAAAGCCGGUGAGUUAUUUAUCAACACAUGUUUUAACUUUUAUAGCCACCUUCAAACUCCUCUUCAACCUCAUUCUCCUCCUCUCCUUUUUGCCUUUCUGUUCUUUCAACUUUCCCUUUAUCUUCCCUUGGUCAAAUUCAUGCCCCACUGUACCACCAACAUCCAUUAAUUCCUAAACAAGCUCACCGCACUAAGUGUGGUUUGGAAAUGAGGUGCUUAAAAAAAAAGCACUCAUGAAAAAAAGCUGUGAGGGUUUUAGGUAUUUGAUAAACUGAAAAAAAAAGUUUUAUUUUGGAAGCUGCUGUGAGAAUAAGCUGAAAUCAAAGGAAAAAGCUGAAGCUACUAUUUGUAGCUUUGGAAAACUGGCUUUUUUUUCAAAGCACACGGAGCUACAUUGCUCCUUUAAUGAAAAGACCCACUAUCAGACUGCUUUUUUUCCAAAAGCACUUUUACAAAAAAAUUUACCAAACACUUUGCUGAUUUUUUUCACAGCCGCUUAUUCUCAUAGUAGUUUUUUUUCAAAGCACAACAAUACCAAACCAGCCCUAAAUCAGGCUACUUCUUUGAAAACAAAUCCUCUCCGGAGCUAAGGAGUUGGAGCCUUCUCAUCAAACAAUCUGGACCGCUAAUUGAUGUGCAAGUCAAAUCAGGAUUAUCGAUUGUGUGGUGGACCAGUAAAAUGAAUUAAUAUAAACCGUUGUAUUUAAUUUAUGCGGCCCAGAUUGUUUGAUGAGGAAGUUCCCGAGAGGAUCCGUUCUCCUCAUAGUCAACUCCACCACUUCCUCUUCCAUUUUCUACACCUUCUAUGAAGCUCAGAGCCUCGAAGCCUCACUCGAUCGCGAUCCCUCGCAAACCUUGCUUCUCGUUUGGCUCCGAGGCAGCCUGGGAUGCUCCUCCUUGUUCGGUAACUUCAUGGAGAUCGGUCCUUGGCAUGACAACCUUCAUGGCGGCACGAUGAUCAUGAUCAACAAGUACACUUUGUGCUUGAGUCAAACCCGGGUGCUUGGAACAGAGUUUUCGGCCAUAUUUUCCUCGACAACCCAAUUAGUUCCGAAUUUAGCAUCGCACCUCUACCUUGCUAACACCACGUAUAUCGAACUUGACACUGAAUUGUUGAGGUCUCACCCGCUUUACAUAACGUGUGAAAGUCAGGCUGACAAGUAUGUGCCAGCAAUUGCGUACUACCUAUUGAAUAAGAAUUAAAGUUCAGAAGGAAAUUUGCUAAUUAUAAAAAUUCAGGAUGGUAAUUGGCAACUCCUUAAAAGUUCGAGGAGAAAAUCGGUCAAUACCUCUUUUUAAAUCCUUUUCUUCUUAUUAUUAUUUAGGAUGUUUUGUUAGAUGAUAAUUUUAGAUUGGUCAAAUUUUAUGUCCUUCCACACAAAAUUUAUUUCAUGAAUAAAAUCCCCCUUGUAUGGUCAAAGUUUAUAAAAAAUCAAAAUCAAACUCAAGAGUCAAAAGUGCACAUGAAGGCAUUAACUAACUUCACAAUCAUCUCACUUGAAAUAAUGAAACCCAACUGAUUGAACAUAAUAAUCAUCAUAAGUGAAUUGCAAUGUGACACCGUUUCUUUAAGCUACGGAGGCUGCGAUGAUGGGUCCCGGUACCUUAGGUUUAGAAUUCACAACGCUUCUAGAUAACUAAUUCAUUUUUCAUGGUAUGAGUAUAUUAUCACAUUCGACAACCGUGUUGAUGAAAUAAGAGAUAUCUAAAUAAAAAAUUACACAUGUAUUUAUUUUAUUGACAUGAAACGUCAAUUUGAUGAUGUAACCGUCCCACAUAAGUAGUGUGCUCGUACAACGUAAAUAUUUAUCCACAAAGAAUGUAAUAUUACGUGAGCAUGAUGAUUUCCUUGCAUGAUCUGUGUCUUUGUGCAUUUGUAUUGUACGGUUGUACCCAGAGAAAGACAAGAAAGAAAUAAAUCGCGUAGGCAACAAUGCUUGGAGGUGAGGUGGGUGAGAUUGAGAAAGCCAAAGCAAAUGAAUGUCGCAAGAAAACAUGCAAUUUAUUUGGCAUCUUGUAUUUCAAAGAUUGGAGAAAUUUUCGGUGUGUCGUAAAUUGGAAAAAUUUCAAUUAAUUGUAUUAUGACAUUUAGUAUAUCAAGUUAUUUUCUUAGCAUACUGGAAAUUUUCUUCAAAACUUCUUGUGAUUAUAACAACCCCUAAAAUUUGUACCAUUUAAAAAUACCGAACCAUGUCCUGACAUACUGAAAAAAACAUCUCCAAAGAUUCUUAUCAUUACAUCAACCCCAAAGACUUUGCUUUACAACUCUUCCACACUUUGUGAGGGUGCAAUGUAUGUAAGCAAGCACGCUUGGCCGAGAAUUGACUUAUAUAAAGCGACAACUCUUUAAAAUUUAUCCGCAUCAUCACAAAAUUCAACUUUUUAAGACAAUUUUAUAAUUAGUUUUAUAAUUAGUUUAAAAUACCGUUGCAUUCAAAAUCACAUGUAUCAUGCAAAGUCGUAUACGUCUAUUUCCCUAUUUAUUAAGCCUUAUCGUCAAAGGUGUCUGCACUCCCUUGCACUUCACUUUUAUCAUCAAUGGAGUCAACCGCCCGAAACCAUCUCAACCUCCUCUUCCUCCUCCUCCUCCUCCUCUUCUUCUUUCAACGACGCGUCGCCACCUCAUCGUCCCUCCCUCUCUUCCCCAGAGAAGCCCACCCCACCAGAUCAGGCUACCUCCCGGUCAACUCCACCAGCGGCUCUGCCAUUUUCUACGCUUUCUACGAAGCUCAGAACCUCACAACGGACAUUUCCAAAGUCCCCCUCCUCUUCUGGCUCCAGGGCGGCCCCGGCUGCUCCUCCAUGCUCGGCAACUUCUACGAGCUCGGCCCCUGGCGCGUGAAUUUCCACAAACACCCUUCUGAUCCCCUGGCCUUGGAACCCAAUUCCGCCUCCUGGAACAGAAUCUUCGGAGUGACCUUCCUCGACAACCCGAUCGGCACUGGAUUUAGCAUCGCCGCUAACUCAGCGGAGAUCCCGAGAGACCAGGGCGCCGUCGCGAAACACCUCUUUGCCGCGAUCACGAAGUUCAUUGAGCUUGACCCGUCGUUCAAAACCCGACCCAUUUACAUAACCGGCGAGAGCUACGCCGGGAAGUAUAUUCCAGCGAUCGGGUACUACAUUUUGGAAAAAAAUGCUGGGUUGCCCGCUGGGUCUAAAGCUGUGAACUUGCAGGGCGUUGCGAUCGGAGACGGUCUCACAGACCCCAUAAUUCAGGUGAACACUCACGCCGUCAACGCUUUCUACUCUGGUUUGAUCAAUGAGAAACAGAGGAGGGAGCUGGAGAAGCUGCAAUUGGUGGCGGUCGGGUUGACGACGGCGAGGAAUUGGAGCGCGGCGACGGAUGCGAGAAACAAGGUGUUGAAUACGCUGCAGCAGAUGACGGGGCUAGCCACAUUGUACGAUUACACGAAGAAUGCGGAUUAUAAGACGAGUUUGGUGGAUGAAUUGCUGAGGAACGAGGCGGUGAAGGCGGCGUUGGGGGCGAAAGGGGCGGCGCCUUUCGAGCGGUGCAGCAAUCUGGUGGGGGAUGUAUUGAACGAGGACGUGAUGAAGAGCGUGAAGUACAUGGUGGAGUAUCUGCUGAAGAAGACCAAGGUGUUACUGUACCAGGGGCAGUAUGAUUUGAGAGACGGCGUCGUCUCGUCGGAGGCGUGGAUGAAGACGAUGAGGUGGGAGGGGAUUGGGAAGUUUAUGGCGGCUGACCGGAAAGUUUGGAAGGUGGAGGGAGAGGUUGGUGGGUAUGUGCAGAAGUGGGGGAGCUUGAGCCAUGUUAUGGUUUCAGGAGCAGGUCAUCUUUUGCCGGCGGACCAGCCGGUGAGGGCGCAGGCGAUGAUAGAAGAUUGGGUUUUGAACAAGGGGUUGUUCGCAAAUGUUAAGGAAUAAGAAAAUACGAAAUUGUUCCUUAAAUUGUUUGUUGCUUAAAAGUGUUUAUUUUUGCACAAUAAAUUUUGGGUUUAGGUUUAAAAUCUUCUACCUUUACAUAAAACAGAAAAGCAAAGGUAACGAUGUCUGAAAUCAGUUAUUUAUCAACACGUGUUUUAACUUUUUUACGUAACGUGAACGGCAUUCAAACUCCUUUUGAACCUUAUUCUCCUCCUUUCCGUUUCUGCCUUUCUGUUCUUUCAACUUUUCCCCCUAUCUUCCCUUUGUCGAAUUCAUGCCCCACUUUUACCACCAACCUCCAUUAAUUCCUAAACAAGCUCACCGCACUAAAUCAGGCUACUUCUCUGAGAACGGAUCCUCUCCGGAGCUAAGCAGCCGGAGCCUCUUCAUCAAACAAUUAGGAUCAUUGAUUGAUGUGCAAGUUAAAUCAAGGUUGUUGGUUGUGUGUGGUGGCCAGUAAAAUGAAUUAAUAGAAACCGUUGGAUUCAAUUUAUGCGGUCUAAAUUGUUUGAUGAGGAGGUUUUAACUGCUUGGCUACGGAGAGGAUCCGUUCUCCUCAUAGUCAACUCCACCACUUCCUCUUCCAUUUUCUACACCUUCUAUGAAGCUCAGAGCCUCGAAGCCUCACCCGAUCGCGAUCCCUCGCAAACCCUGCUUCUCGUUUGGCUCAAAGGCAGCCCGGGAUGCUCCUCCUUGUUUGGCAACUUCAUGGAGAUUAGUCAUUGGUGUGAAUGCAAAUUUCUUCCUCCUUACUCUUGGACAAAAUUGCACCUACAAAACAAAUAACACCUUAGGUCAAGGCCAAGAGCCUCACGCGCAUAUGAUGAAUGAGGGGCUUUGGCUGAAGAACUUCCGAUGCCAAAGUUAGAAUUUUGAGGGAAAAGUGUUUGGAGAAUUUAAAAAGUUCAGCAAGAGAAUUAGGAUUAGGUUUUUUUAGAGAAAAUGGGGUGGUAUAUAUAGGGCAUGGCCAGCCCCCUUGGGAGAGAAGGUGACCGGCCUCUUGUGUGGUUUUUUAGGUGUAAUGGUAGUUUAAUUAGCCAUUAAUAGAUUAAUUAGGUAAUAAAUUCAUUAAUUAGCCAAUUAACAUAAUCUAAAAUGAAUGUUUUGGGGGUUACCUUGUGGAGAUGAUGGAUGAAAUAGGUUUUGAAUAAAUACCUAUUUUGGGCACUUUUGACUUAAUUGUAGGAUGAUUGUCCACUACUUGCGCGUAGGAAUCCCGGUGUGCUUCGAGUGUAAUUUUAUCCUUUUUAUUCAAAAAUCCACAUGUCGCCUUGUAAUUAUUUUUGGCUCCACACUUGACAUGUCAACCUUCAUGCCGCCCACAAUGAUCAUGAUCAACAAGUACACUUUGUGCUUGAGCCAAACCUGGGUGCUUGGAACAUAGUUUCUGGCCUUCUUUUCCUCGACAACCAAAUUAGUACCUGAUUUAGCAUCGCACCUCUACCUUGUGAUCAUAAAUUGGACAACAUAUUGGUUUUUUUCUUUCUUCAUUUUUUCUUUGAAUUUUAGAGUUUAGGGUUUAGGGGAAAGUUAAAUUCAGGAGGGAAUUAGCCAAUUAUAAAAAUUCAUGAUGUAAUUGGUUAAAAUUAAAAUUUAGGAUGGUAAUUGGCAAAUCCUUACAAGUUCGGAGAGAAAAUCGGUCAAUACCUCUUUUUAAAUCAUUUUCUUCUUAUUAUUAUUUAGGAUGCUUUGGUAGAUGAUAAUUUUAGAUUGGUCAAAUUUUAUGUCCUCCCACACAAAAUUUAUUUCAUGAAUAAAAUCCCCCUUACAUGUUCAAAAGUUUAUAAAAAAAAAGAAAAUCAAAACUCAAGAGUCAAAAGUGCACAUGAAAGCAUUUACUAAAUUCACAAUCAUCUCACUUUAAAUGUUCAUUAAUCAAUUUGAAUGAAACCAACUGAUUGAAUAUAAUAAUCAUCAUAAGUGAAUUGCAAUGUGACACGGUUUCAUUAAGCUACGGAGGCUGAGAUGAUGGGUCCCGUUACGUUAGGUUUAGAAUUCACAUCGCUUCUAGAUAACUAAUUCAUUUUUCAUGACACGAGUAUAUCAUCACAUAUGACAUCCGUGUCGAUGAAAUAAGAGGUAUCUAAAUAAAAAAUUACACAUGUAUUUAUUUUAUUGACAUGGAACGUCACUUUGAUGAUGUAAUCGUCCUACAUAGGUAGUGUACUCGUACAGCGUAAAUAUUUAUCCACAAAGAAUGUAAUAUUACGUGAGCAUGAUGAUUUCCUUGCAUGAACUGUGUCUUUAUACAUUUGUAUUGUACGGUUGUACCCAGAGAAAGACAAGAAAGAAAAAAAUCGCGUAGGCAACAAGAGUCAAAAUCAACAAUGCUUGGAGGUGAGGAAUGAGAUUGAGAAGCCAAAUCAAAUGAAUGUCACAAGAAAACAUGCAAUUUACUUGGCAUCUUGUAUUUCAAAGAUUCGAGAAAUUUUUUGAUGUGUUGCAAACACGAAAAAUUUUAACCAAUUGUAUUAUGACACUUAAUAUAUCGAGUUAUUUUACUAGUAUACUAAAAAUUUUCUCCAAAGCUUCUUGUCAUUAUAGCAAUCCCAAAAAUUUGUACCGCUUAAAAAUACCGAACUAUGUCCUGACAUACUAAAAUAAACAUUUCCGAAGAUUCUUAUCAUUACAUCAGCCCCAAAGAUUCGCUUUACGACUCUUCCGACUUUGUAAGGUUGCAAUGUAUGUAAGCAGCUUGCUUGGCCGAGAGUUGACCUAUGUAAAGCGACAACUCUUUUAGUUAUUACUAUUAGUACCUAAAAUUUAUCUGCUUCGUCACAAAAUUCAACUUUAUAAUUAGUUUGAAAUACUGCUGCUGGCACAUGUAUCAUUCAAAGUCGUAUGUAUCGUCCAAAGUCGUACAUGCCGCCUCUUUCAAGCUUUCCUUAUUUCUAUAAAGCCUUAUCGUCAAGGAAGGUGUCUGCACUCCCUUGCACUCCACUUUUAUCAUCAAUGGAGUCAACCGCCCGAAACCAUCUCAACCUCCUCUUCCUCCUCCUCCUCCUCCUCUCCUUCUUUCAACGACGCGUCGCCACCGCAUCGUCCCCCCCUCUCUUCCCUAAAGAAGCCCACCCCACCAAAUCAGGCUACCUCCCGGUCAACUCCACCAGCGGCUCUGCCAUUUUCUACGCUUUCUACGAAGCUCAGAACCUCACAACGGACAUUUCCAAAGUCCCCCUCCUUUUCUGGCUCCAGGGUGGCCCCGGCUGCUCCUCCAUGCUCGGCAACUUCUACGAGCUCGGCCCCUGGCUCGUGAAUUUCCACAAACACCCUUCUGAUCCCCUGGCCUUGGAACCCAAUUCCGCCUCCUGGAACAGAAUCUUCGGCGUGACCUUCCUCGACAACCCGAUCGGUUCCGGAUUUAGCAUCGCCGCUAACUCAGCGGAGAUCCCGAGAGACCAGGGCGCCGUCGCGAAACACCUCUUUGCCGCGAUCACGAAGUUCAUUGAGCUUGACCCGUCGUUCAAAACCCGACCCAUUUACAUAACCGGCGAGAGCUACGCCGGAAAGUAUAUUCCAGCGAUCGGGUACUACAUUUUGCAAAAAAAUGCUGGGUUGCCUGCUGGGUCUAAAGCUGUGAACUUGCAGGGCGUUGCGAUCGGAGACGGUCUCACAGACCCCAUAAUUCAGGUGAACACUCACGCCGUCAACGCUUUCCACUCUGGUUUGAUCAAUGAGAAACAGAGGAGGGAGCUGGAGAAGCUGCAAAUGGUGGCGGUCGGGUUGACGGCGGCGAGGAAAUGGAGCGCGGCGACGGAUGCGAGAAACAAAGUGUUGAAUACGCUGCAGCAGAUGACGGGGCUAGCCACAUUGUACGACUACACGAAGAAUGCGGGAUACAAGACGAGUUUAGUGGAUGAACUGCUGAGGAACGAGGCGGUGAAGGCGGCGUUGGGGGCGAAAGGGGUGGCGCCUUUCGAGCGGUGCAGCAAUCUGGUGGGGGAUAUAUUGCACGAGGACGUGAUGAAGAGCGUGAAGUACAUGGUGGAGUAUCUGCUGAAGAAGACCAAGGUGUUAUUGUACCAGGGGCAGUAUGAUUUGAGAGACGGCGUCGUCUCGUCGGAGGCGUGGAUGAAGACGAUGAGGUGGGAGGGGAUUGGGAAAUUUAUGGCGGCUGACCGGAAAGUUUGGAAGGUGGAGGGAGAGGUUGGUGGGUAUGUGCAGAAGUGGGGGAGCUUGAGCCAUGUUAUGGUUUCAGGAGCAGGUCAUCUUCUCCCGGCGGACCAGCCGGUGAGGGCGCAGGCGAUGAUAGAAGAUUGGGUUUUGGACAAAGGGUUGUUCGCAAAUGUUAAGGAAUAAGAAAAUACGAACUUGUUCCUUGUAUUGUUUGUUGUUUAAUAUUUGUAUCAAAAUUGAGUGACUAAAAUCCUCAACACUUCAUAUAUGUACUUCAAUAAAAAGAAAGCAUAAAAUAAAAAGUAAAAUAAAUAGUACUUUUUAAUAUAAAAAUAUGUAAAAAUAUGAUUUUUCGUUGAAAUAAAUAGUAAGUUUUUGUUAAAGUUCUUUGAAUAAAUCCUCAACUAUUCAUAUAUGUACUUGAAUUAAUCCUCAAAUAUUUAAGAUACGAGGUCGGAGGUUGAAUAAAUUAAAAUUGAGUAGAGUACACUUUUUUAGUUAAUUUCUUUCUUUUUUCAAGUCUUCUAGACGUAAUCCAUGACGUUUUCUUUCCAAAUAAGUAAACAUGCCAAGAAUUCACGAUGGUUAAGAAAACAUUGAGAAAUAAUAAUUUGAAUAAUAUAGUAAGGUUUGUUAUAUAAAAACAUGAAAUGUAAUGGCGAUUGGAGGCGGAUUUGUGAGAGGAGAAAAAAGGGAAGGAGGUGGGAAGGGAAGGUUUGGGAGUUUCCCAAAUUUCCAAACCCACAAACUGACCAAUGAUUCAAGCACAAAACCCGUACUAUGAUGCCAUCGUCUCCCACGGAACAGUGAAAUCUGUGGAAGGACUUGAUCUGUAGGGCUUCCAUGGCAGGGGGUCCUGUAGAAAACCUACAGGUAAAUCAGAGCCAUUGAUUCAUUGCUCUGCCCUUUUGCCUCAGCCCUUUGAUUUACUGAAACUUCAAACUUAGCAGCUGGGUAGGAGAGAAAGCUGGGAGAAAAAAAAUGGCAGAAGGAAGAUAUGAACUAAUAAGCUGCGCCCUCCCUGUUGAAACCCUAGCUCAGAAAUAUAUUUAUAGUCGCUCUAGAGGGCCAUUGAUUGUAAUAUGGCUAAAUUGCACUAAUAGCCGUUGUAUUUUACGAUUUUCUUUUCCGUCCUUGUAAUUUGUUUUUUGUUGCAUUUUUCUCUCGUCGAAUGGGGCAAAAUUUAUUUCAAGCUUGGUGUUUUCGAAUGAUAAGAUAUGUUCAUAGAAAAAAAGGGAUCGUUAUACUUAUACGGAAAAUUAGAGUUAUCAAUUAUCUUUUUUGGUUUCGCUCGUAUGCAUAAGUAAUGAAUAGUAUAACGAUACUACCGCGAGAAAAAAAUCAAAGAGGUGGCAGAAAAGAAACACUACAAAGCAGUAUCAAUCAUUUGUAUUUGUGGCGUCGGCCUACUUAGAAGUAAGCGAAAGAAAGCAAUCAAUGCAAAAGGCUAAAGUUAAGGGGUGGUAGGUUAACAUACACCAUCUUUCAUAGCCGCUGCCUCUGCGUAGAACGUUGGCUAUAUGCUUAACAUAUUAGAGGAGGGAGAGGUAAAGAGAUCAGAACAACAUAAUUUAAAGCUUUUAAAUGAAUUUUAGUUUUUAAGGUUCAGAAAACUUGAAGCCCUUAUCGAAAAAUAUUACAUAGUUCCCGCAGUUAGCUGAGAGACUUAUAGCCGUUGUCGUGCAAGUGGAAGCUCGAGAUAUAUGCCCAAACCAACGGAUAGUGACUAAUUAGACUAAACUGACAAAACAAAUCAAAGGCAUGGAUGAAAAUGUAAACAAAAAAAAUCAGAAGAACGAAAAUGAAAAUGAAAAAAUGAUACAAGGAUUAUAGUGCAAUAAAAUAUUAGCAGGAUCGGGAUAUACGAACACUAAGGUGCACGGCCCAGCAUGGCUCGUGAGGAUCUCAGCCGAUAAAGGCCCGGCCUUUCCUAAAGAGCCAAACGAAAAAAAAAAAAAAACAAAAUCCUCAGACAUGGAGUGAGAGAUAUGUAGACGACACACUUCUUGUCACUGUAGCUUCUCUGGAGAACCAAACGUUUCUGGAUCGUUUGAUGUUCUGUGCUCUAAGCAAUUCGCAACGGGUACGCUGAUUUCUCUUGUAUAUUCUGAUCUUUUAAUGUUAAUUUCUUCAUUUGACGUUGUCCUGCUGCUUGAUAAUGUUAAGAAUGUUGUUUCCUACUUCCUAGGAUUAAACUUUCGAAGCUUUGACACUUUGCAAUCUUCUGGUGUGCCUGUUUUCUCAAUCCUGUGCAGGUUUUGAUGUUUUUCCUGUUUAGGCAUGUCCAGCUCUUGGAGUAAGCUUCCUCUUUGCACAUGGUAUUGACAGUCUCAUCUUUGCAGUCUGUAAGUUUCUAACUUUUUUGCUUCCUCCCAUCAACAGCCUUAAAUUUUAUGCAGAAUUUUCGAUUUGGAAGUAAGAUAUGAUAGAGUUACUCGCUAAGAUGCUAUGAAGUUGUGAACUUCCCCGAAUCAUGAAUCUGUAUCGUGCCGUGUGAGAGUUGAGAAUUCACAUCAAACUUCAAUAUUAGCGGAAGGGAAUAGCUACAAUGUACUUACAAUUUUCGGUAGUACGAGAGUUUUCAGAGAGUUGCAGAAUAACAGUGCAUACAGUCGGGAAAAUGGCCCGAGUCAAACAAAAUGGCUGCAGUUUUGAGCGUGUAGAAUGUGAUAAUAUGUUAGUGUCCAUGUGCGGUGUUAUGGAGUUUAGGAGGAAAAUAGAGCGCAACCAUGUGCGGGAUUAGAGUGAUUGGGAGUGGCUAAUAUCUAGUUGCCAUGUUGUCGUUAAUCCUUUGGUAUUUUGUUAAAACUGUUUGAAAACAUAGGGAUAAAGUCGACGUCUUUUAUGUGAUGAUUGACAAAUCUUUAUAAUCUAGAUUAUAGACAGGCAUGGUGUUAUAUUGUAACCCUUACAUAAAGCUUCCAUUUCAGCGCUUCAGCGGGAAUGGAUUGAUAAGUGCAAUAGCUUUUGAAGCUGAGAAGGGAUAUCGGAAUGCUUUGGGUAGAAAAAUGAGGUCUGUAAGUUAUAUCCAAUUUCGAUUUUGCUUAUGACAGUAUGAAAGUAAUAACGUGGACAUGCCUAUUGCCAUUUGCAGGUUCAGUAAUUUUCUCUUUUCAACAGUAUCGAGAUUAUGUUCUCGUUCGAAGCAUAGUCUUGCCAAAAAUAUUUUGGAAGAAGUAGGUAGUUAUGGCAUAGCUAGCAUCUCAGAUCGGUCAAAGUUGCUCAAUAAGGUAGGUUGAUUCAUGAAAAGUUGUACUGUUUUUGUUUGAUUGCUGUAACUUUAUCUGAUAUGCAUGUACAGACUACGGGAAUGUGUAAGUUUGCUCUUCAUUUUCUUCUGUUUCUGUUUCAUGUAGGUAUCUGUUUUGGUGGGUUAUGAUAGUCUUGAUGAUUUGGUUGAGAAUGAAAGAGCUGAAAGGCAGUCCGGUAUGCAUGUUAGAGACGUGACAGAUGAAUUUGAUGUCUCCUUGGUGUGUGCACGAUUUCCAUCAAUCAUGUUAGGUAGUUCCCCUCGGGUGGAAUUGUAUGAUGGAACCACCAGUUUCAGUGAAAGGAUGAUUUUUCCAACUCAAAGUUGUGAAGAAUUUCCGUCUGAUGCUAUGUGUGAAGAGCAGGUAUGAAGAUUAUCUUUUUGAAAUAUGGGAUUUUUUGUAUCCUGCUUGUACAAGUGUAAAACAUUUCUUAUUAAGAGAAGAUUUUUAAACGUUGCCCUUAUCUCUCCAGUCCGCAACUGUGGUUACCGAGGAAAACUCACAUCAAACAGUUCCUGUGGAGGAAUCUUCUAACAAGGUUUUGCUUAAAUCACAAAAUGAUACUGGGUCUGUUCAGUUUUCCUUGGACAGUUCUAUCAGUUUCAUACCUGGAAUAAGUAAGAAGCGCUGUCAGCAGCUAGAAGACUCUGGCUUUCAUACAGUGAGUUUUAGGAAAUCAUGUUAAAGGAAACAUCACUCUUCUAAUCGAGAAUUUGAAAGAAGCCUUGGGUUCAUAUUGCUUUGCUUUUGUUUCCAUACAGUUGCGGCAAUUGCUUCACCACUUUCCUCGGACCUAUGCGGAUUUACAGAAUGCUCAGAUGAAAAUUGAUGAUGGACAAUAUUUGAUUUUCAUUGGGAAGGUAUUAAGUUCGAGGUAUUAAAUUGUUUCCAAAAUAUCUAGUGAGUUUUUGGUGCUAACCUUAGCAAUUGGAUGAGGUUAGGCACUAAAAUUAUAAUCUGAUAAAUUCCAAGUUAGCUGACUUGUUAAGAUUUUUAGUUUGUUUCAUAGUUAUGACUCAUGAAGAGGUCGCACUUGGUGCGAUGGUAAGUGCCUUCGCCCAUGAGCGGUAGGUCUCGGGUUCGAGACUUGGGAGCAGCCUCUCCAUAAAUGGGGGUAAGGCUAGCCGACAUUCACCUCUCCCAGACCCUGCGUAAAGCGGGAGCCUUGUGCACUGGGUACGACCUAUAGUUAUGACUCAUGAAACAAUGAGAAACAAAUAUGUUUCAAAAAACAAUGAGGCACAAUGUAACUUGGUGACAGACACCUUGAUGUUCUGACAUAUGAAAUGAUGUUAAUCUGUUUCUUUUUGAGAUUAAUGGAUAUCUAGUUCAAUGACAUAAUAAAGAACAUUUAAUGGCACAUUGUUUGCUAGGAUUGUGCGUUUGUUUCUCAUAUCUGGUAAGGCAUCUCCAGAGAUGCUAAAUGUAUUUAUAUUUAUUUGUGUAUGUAUUCACUUAUAGAUUUACUUCUUUUUCAUCCAAUCUGCAAUAAAGUUUUUGUUUUUAAUAUCUAUAUCUUACCUCUUCUUUUACAGGGGAAUCAAAGCUAGUAGUUCUUUCUCAUUUAUUGAGGUAGUUGUUGGUUGCGAAAUUAUGGACGAUGAAUCAACUGAACAUAUGAAUGAUUCUGCUGAUAGUAGAAGAAAGAAGACGAUUUCUUUGCAUCUGAAGAAAUUUUUUCGGGGUGCUCGUUUUACUUCUCUACCAUUUCUUAGACUUGUUGAGGGAAAGCAUAAAGAGGGGGACUUUGUAUGCGUUAGUGGUAAGGUAAGCUUUUAGAUACAAUGGAUGUGCAGUUGCUUCAAUUGGCUCACCCUUCCAUGUGCUGAAACCAUUAGGGAGUAACAGAAUGAGACUUUUUUAUGAAAUUUUGUACCAGUGCUAUCUAAAGAUUUAUCAUUUCAUUUUCUAGUCUUUCCCUUAAUUGCCUUGUCCUUUCGUGCUGCCUUUUAACACAGGUAAGGACAAUGCCCGCCAAAGAUCACUAUGAAAUGAGAGAAUAUAAUAUUGAUGUGCUUAAAGAUGAAAAUGAAGUGUGUUUUCAUGCAAAAGGGAGGCCUUAUCCUAUAUACCCUUCAAAAGGAGGGUUAGAUCCAAAUAUUUUGAGAGACAUCAUUGCAAGGUUUGUACCUCUGACCUUUUGCAUAACUUCAUUUCUAACAUCAUAACAUAACCGCUCUAAGUUUCUUCAGCGGGGUUACAUUUUCCAAUUCUAAUUUAGUAUCCCCUUACUCUAAGUUCUUUAUACAAACAUACAUUAGUUUUUUGGGUGAGUGGCUGGUUUCUCAAUAUUAGAAAUCUAAUUGUGUUUUUAUCAUUUAUGCAAUAACAUUCCUCCGUUCAUCCUAUCGGAGUUACUUCUUAGUUCUUUGCAGCUGUUUGGAAUUGUUUGAACUAUUGUAUUAAUUGGGUAAUUUCUUUGUAAUUUGCUCCAAGACGUGUAAACUAAAUGUCUACUAUUUUUACUCGUUCCAGAGCUGUACAAGUUUUGGCUGUUGAUGUUGAUCCUGUACCUAAAAAUAUCACUCAGGACUUUGGGCUGUUAAGCCUUCAUGAUGUAAGAAACUUCACUUUUAUCCUUAGUAUCAGCAUAUAUGCAAUUCAUACUUUUGACUAUGGUCACUUAUACCCCUGUGUACAUGUAUAUGUUAAAGAGCUAGCUAUAUGUGCCCCUUGCUGUUCUUUUUAUAAGUUGUUUUGGCAUUUAGAAAAAUUUGAGCUGUUGUGUUUUUGCUCUAAUAAUACAGGCGUAUAAGGGGAUUCACGAACCAAAGAGUAUGGACGAAGCUGAUUUGGCUCGGAAAAGGCUAAUAUUUGAUGAGUUCUUUUACCUGCAGGUGAUUUUGAUCCAAAUUUCUUAAUAAGUUUUUCUCUAAGAUUUGAACUGACCUAGUUGUCAUUGCCUGUCAGUUAGCACGCUUAUAUCAAAUGCUUGAAGGUCUUGGUACACAAAUAGAGAAAGAUGGAUUGCUGGAUAAGUACAGGAAACCCGUAUCAAGUGCUGCUUAUAUGAAGGAUUGGUCCAUUCUUACCAAAAAGUUUUCAAAAGCUCUUCCAUAUACCCUUACUCCUAGUCAACUCACUGCCAUUUCAGAAAUCAUCUGGGAUCUAAGGCAACCAGUUCCUAUGAAUCGGCUUUUGCAGGUUAUACUCUUGUUUACAGGAUGUAUCCAAUAUUUUUCAGAUUUGUUACAGUAUGAAGCAAUGUAACUGCAUAUAAUGUAACUGGAGCACCUGCAGUAUAUACAAAAUAAGGACAAAACAUGAUGGUUUUUGGCGGGCUUCUGGUUGAAUACAAUUUUAAGUCUAGACUUUUGCCCUAAUUCUCUUCCUCACUCUCUUUUCAAAUCGGCCUGCCUGGGUUCUUCCUCCUGAUUACCAUAGCAUGCGCAGUAGGUAUACUCGAAAAAUAGAAAAGAUUCUUGAUUGAUGAUAUGUUGUUACACAUUUUCAGGGUGAUGUUGGUUGUGGGAAAACUGUGGUAGCUUUUCUAGCAUGCAUGGAGGUUAUUGGCUCUGGAUAUCAGGUCUGUGAAACACCUGUUUUGUAGAGUUAAAAUAUGACUACAAUGUGUGAGUUUCUGUUUGUUUCCUUGAUUCAUUUCAGACCUUUGACCAUUUGUAUUUUCAUAAAUGUAAUAAUAGUUAUGAUCUUUGUUCCUGAUUGUUUUUAUUUGUUUCAUGUAAAUUGUAAAGGCAGCUUUCAUGGUUCCAACUGAGUUGCUUGCAGUCCAGCAUUAUGAGCACUUAAAUAAUCUGCUUGAAAAUAUGGAGGAUGUUGAACAAAAACCUUCAAUUGCUUUACUAACCGGCUCAACCCCAUCAAAACAAUCACGGAUAAUUCUUGAGGCAUGGAUUAAUGUCCAGUUCUUUUGUUUUCUUGAGUAUAAUGUUUCAGGCAUCCUAGUUAUUGGUAGUGAUACUAUCAUUGAUAUUGCGUGUAUCAGGGUCUCAGGACUGGAGAGAUAUCGAUGGUCAUUGGAACCACCAGUUUGAUAUCUGACAAAAUAGAGUUCUCUGCAUUACGCAUUGCAGUGGUGGAUGAACAACAUCGUUUUGGUGUGAUCCAGAGAGGACGGCUUAACAGUAAGGUUGUUUGCUUCUAAUUGAACCAAGUAUUCUAGUCAUGUCAUCUGGUGGUGUAGUACUCCGUUUCUAUCCUGUGUGCACACUGAUUCCUUUAGACCUUAUGGAAUAUGGAAGAUCAGAUUUUGAUGGUAUCUUUCCAGGAAUUCAUUUUGUCUAAACUUUUUAGUGUGCCCUUGCAUGCUGCUUGCGUAGUUCUCAAUGUUUCCAUGAGUUACUAUGUAUCGUUAUAGGGUAUCAUUACUGUGGCAUGAAUAAUUCAGUCCUUGAAAUAUGAAAUGAUUUUGUUACUGUAAUUCGUUUUGUAAGAUGAGCUAACUGAGGCACAAAUCUCUGCAGCUAUACUAUACCUCUGUAAAUUCUAGAAUGGUAGCUGCCAAUUCAGAUGUGACCUCCAAAGGCGACAACCAUAUGGCUCCUCAUGUUCUUGCCAUGUCAGCUACUCCUAUACCGAGGACACUUGCUCUGGCUUUAUAUGGUGAUAUGUCAUUGACACAGGUACGCGUUUUUCUUCUUGCUCCUUGAUGCUUUUGAUGGGAUGGUGUUCUCCCCCUUUCUUUUCUCAAUUGGAUAUCAGGCUUUAAGACAGUGAUUUAAAUUUUAAAAACUACACUGAGACGCCUAAUCCUAAAGGCUUGUUUGCAAUGAAAAAGGUUCAUGGCACAUUUUAAAAGAUUAUUAGGUCCAAGAAUAAAAAUUAAUGUUAUAGGGAUAUGUUUUUAGUUUAAAAUUUAGCGGGCGCUACAUUUGUAUAAGUUGAUAUCCUGUAUUGAGUGUUUGUUAAUUCUUUCGUUUCCAUUUCCUUUGAAUAACAGAUAACCGACUUACCUCCAGGAAGAAUACCAGUUGAGACGUUCAUCAUUGAAGGAAAUGACAAUGGAUUUGAGGAUGUUUAUGAGGUGAUUGUCCUUGCUUAACUUUGUUACAGCGCUCUAAUAUAUUUCUUUUCUUAUUUUCCCCUAGAAACGAAGGUGUUCUGGUUUAAAUAAUUUCAUUUUUUCCGAUUGCAAUGAAAUAUUUGAUAUUUGAAACUCGAUAAAGCCAGUGAUGCAUAAAAGGUUUGAAUUGAAACUCAUCAUUCGGUUAAGAGAUCAUGGUCUUCUUCACAAGACGGAUAUAUUAUUUUCUUGCUAGACUAGAAUAGAAAGAUUUCACUGGUUCUAGCUUUUGAUUUUAUUAUUUUCUGACUCAAAUGAUAUUAGCAUGUAACAGAUGAUGCUGGAUGAGUUAAAAGGAGGAGGGAGAGUCUAUCUUGUGUAUCCAGUUAUUGAACAAUCUGAACAGCUGCCACAACUUCGUGCAGCUGCAGCAGAUUUUGAAGCUAUAUCUGAUAGGUUUCAGGGCUACACUUGUGGAUUGUUGCAUGGAAGGAUGAAGAGUGAUGAGAAAGAUGAAGCAUUGAGAAAGUUCAGAUCUGGGGAAACAAAUAUACUGCUUUCCACACAAGUUAUUGAGAUUGGUGUUGAUGUUCCCGAUGCAUCUAUGAUGGUUGUUAUGAACGCUGAGAGAUUUGGGAUAGCUCAGUUACACCAACUUAGAGGACGAGUUGGACGAGGAGUGAGAAAGUCUAAAUGUAUACUGUUAGCAUCUUCUUCCAGUAGUCUAACUCGGUUGAAGGUCCUGGGGAAAUCAUCAGAUGGUUUUUACUUGGCAAACAUGGACCUUCUUCUACGUGGACCUGGUAACUUGCUUGGCAAGAAACAAUCAGGACAUCUUCCAGAGUUUCCUAUUGCAAGAUUGGAAGUAGAUGGCAAUAUCUUACAGGAAGCACAUCUUGCUGGUCUGGUAAAUAGUACUCCUUUUGUGUCCUUUUAUCGUGUAAUUUGGUGAUAAUUUUGGUUACCAUUCUCUUACAUCAUUUCUGUUUUCCUAUGAGAGACUAGACUAUUAGUACAUAAACACUAAUCCGUAUGCAAGAAUUUUUUGCUGCAAUGCCUGUUUGGUUGAUGCUCGGGUUCAUGCAGUAUACCUCCUUUAACAUAUGCGAUGGUUCCUUUUUCGCAGAAAGUUUUAGGCGCUUCCCAUGAUUUGGAGCAAUUCCCGAUCCUUAAGGCAGAGCUUAGCAUGAGAGAGCCGCUCUCUAUUCUGGGUGACUGAGUCUAGUCGUGGUAAAACUGAAACCUUGCAAAUCUAUACAAGAUGAAAUUGCUUGUAUUGAUGGCUUCUUGUCCAUUUUUAUUUUGUGCCCCUUUUGUAAAUGUAUAACUGCUUUCAGGAAUCAUGCCAUAUAUACCAUAUAUGUCGCAAGCUUGAUGCUUCUGCUUGAUUUCCUUGGCGGUAAUCCUUACAACUUAAUGAUUGUACUUGUGAUAUGAAUUGGUUUGAUAUUAGAACAGUCCUUUCUUAACGACUAGUCAUGAAGAAAGUUGCCCAGAUCGAGUUUGGAGAGCAAGCACUAAAUAUGCAGACAUGUCCAUUUUUGCACACCGGCGUAUCCAGACAUGCUUUUUGCCAUUGAAGUAGAUUGUUAAUCGACUAGUUUGUAGUCAUUUUUACAUAUUUCGAUAUGUCAGCAUCCUAACAAUCUGCUUGCUUGCAUCGAAGAAUUCUCAAACAUUUGGAAAGAAUGUGGCUGAUAUGCUGUUUAGUUUUUAUCGUUUUGCUUCUGUUAACGUUUUGAUCUGUACCUAGGAUUUUACUGUAGUUGUAAACAGGAAGUUUUAUAUCAUCUUCUACUGAUCUCAGUGUCUCACUCCCCCUCUCCUUUGAUUCCUUCACAGACAUUCGUUUAAAUCGACUCGUCUUCUUUAAGAUAUGCUGUUCGAAACGUAAAGGUUUUUCGACAAAUUACAGUAAUUUUCAUGGAAAGACUGCUGCUCACGUACUUCCCUGUGAAGCUCUCUUUAUCUGCAGAACAUCCUGCUCAGGAAAGGACUUGAGAAUAUUUUGUCACAAACUUUUGAAGAAAGUCGGUACAUGCUUUCAUGGAAAUCUUUAUGUCGUUCUGUUGAAAAUAUAUGUUGUGUAGAAUAUUCAAGGUCUUUAUUUUUUUGGGCCAAUGACUCCCAAGUAAAAAGAAAGAUGACUAUACCGUAGUGCUAAUGACAUGUUAACGAUGGACUUCAAAGAAAAAUAGUUUCUCGAAAAUGUCAAGGAGUAUGCAUCGGAAUCAAGUCAUCAAAAUUUUGAGUAGGGAAAUGUAUAAUUCAAAGGAGAUAUGAUUGAUUUCCACAUUAAUCACUGUAUAUGCUAAAUCUCAAUUCGGAUUCAGUGUCACCAAUAUAAUUCCUAUGGUUUCUAUCAAGAACAUCAUCAAUUGAUUUUGACCUAAUGAAUGUGCUAUAAUAAAGUCUAGAUCAGCAAUGCGACUGACAAUACAACUUUUUGGGACGAAUAUCAUAUCGUCACGUUAUUAAUUUACGUAUUAUAAUAUGAAUAAACGAUAUUGAUAAUAUGUUACGGAUCAAAAGUGAAAUUAUGGAUUCAUGUUUUAACCAGUGGCGAAUCUGAAAAAUAUUAUGUGGGGAGAAGGGUCAGUAAAAAUAGCGUGCGAAUUUAUUUUGACAAAAUAGCAUGCAAAUUAGCAUUUCAUGGUAGGUUCAAGGUCAUUUUCCACGUCCAUCGACAUAUAUCAACAACUUUUGAGCGAACAUGUUGAUUUAUGUCAACAACUUUUGAGUGAGCAUGCCGACAUAUGCCAACAUUGACAAGUAAGCCUAUCAACAUAUACCCAUAAAAAUGCGUACUAAAGCAUGAGGUUAGCAGCUACCUUGUCCAGUGCCCUUAACGGCAAUUCGUCAAAUAGUUAGAAAAUAGCUUUCAAAUGUAUCUUAGAUUUUCAAAAUACAGCACCCAAUUACAAGUGGAUUGAUCACUUGACGGUGUAAAGGUUUGUAAAUCUUCACGAGUGAGUGUGAAACCACAAGGUUGACAGUGGUGGGCACCUGGGACAUGGAUCCUCUCCGGCUCCAUGCAUCCUAAUCCUAGGGAUUCACCAAUCCGGAUCAUUGAAAUUUGAUCAAACGGUUACAAAUAUGGGCCACUUUAAAGUUAUAAUAAUUUUAACCGUUGGAUCAAAUUUCAAUGGUUCGGAUUGAUGAAUCCCUAAGAUUAUGAUGCAUGGAUCCGGAGAAGAUCCAUGUCCGGGCACCUGUUAUCCAAUGGGAUUAGGGGGCACGGUAAAUGUUUGAUGGAAUGCCCAAUCAGCAACUCACGAGCGGGGACAAGCAGACAAGUGGGUCCAGUACGGUCCCCUACCAAUCAUUCAAAAGUGGGGUUCACAGCCACCAUGUUCCAUGACUUGUCUUCUAUGUUAUGAUCGAAGUGGAUCCCACAUCCCCACGCCUUUGCCAAAUAUGCAAUAAUAAUUCUCUUUUCUCUUCAGAAAUAUAAUAAUUUAUCCUAAAAAGUUGGGACUUUACGACCGAAAAAUCAAAUAAAUAAAAAGAAAGAAAAAUAAAUAAUCGAAUUUGGGACUUGACCCAAUGGCUCUUGCUGGGAGUUGAAAAUCUGGGCGAUGAGGGCAUGGGAAGGCCGUUUUGUGUGCACGAAUGAGUGCAUACGACGAGAAGCGAAACUGAGACCAGCUGAUGAUGAUUUGACAGCCUUGUCACGUUACGAUUCCUAAUAGUUUUACUAAUGAGAAAAACUUAAAACUUUUUGUGUGCCAUGUUUCUCAUCAUUUAAUGCGUGACAGAAACAAAAAACAAAAAAUACAUACACUUCAUUCCAUUGCACCAAAGUCACUCUCUAGUUAAUGCCAAAGUAAUCAAUGCAAAAGUAAUCAAUUGGCUUUUAUCGAAUCAUAUUCAUGAGGAUGUAGAGAGUUGGUUCAUAAAAGAAGUUAAGAAAUCUUUCAUACGCUAAGACUAAAGCUUGCACCACGUUUGAAGUCCAAUUGUCAUGCGUUCUCAACUUCUCUCAAGAUAUGAUGUCGAAGUCCAAUGUUCAAGAGUCAUCACACUUUAGCAUUCAUGUAAACAACAUGAUAAUUUUACGCCAGUUGUUUGAUUUUAAUCUAUAGAAAUGUCGGUGUGUCUCACAAGGUGUUGGGUUUGAUUGGUUUGGUAUUUGACAAACAAAAAAACACAAAUGGCCGGUUGUAAUUCUUCACAUUCUGUGAAAAAGGGAAGGAUCGAGGUGAUAAAUUAUUUGGGACAUUGGAUAUUGAUUUUCCUGGUCAAAUCUAUUGAGUACACAUUUCAGUUGUUCUACCUAAAUAAAUAUUCCAUUAACUGUUCCUCAAUAAUUAGGCUCCUGAUUUUUAUUUUGAUGACCAGUCUUCUGGUGGAAUUUGGGAAAAAUUAACAUGUUUCCAAAUUCCAACCAUGAAUAAUUAGUAGAGGAACCUCAUGAUUUCAUAUAACAUCUUAUUAGUAGAAGAACAACGAAACAUAAUGUUCGCCGUUACUGUGGUGUUUCGAUCCAAUAACACAACAUAUCAUGUAAAUCUCUUUAGACGUGGUAUUGCAUUAUCGAACCGAAACGUUGCUAUAACGAUAAACUCCUUUCAUAUAAGUUCCUUUGGACUUAUAUUUUAUGUUUAGUGUGAGAGAGAGGGGAAGUAAACCCUAGAACAGUUAAUUCAAAGUCAUUGGUGCAAUUACAGAGGCAUUUAAAAUGAAGAAGGUUGCAGAAAAUUAGCAAAGCUCUUGCUUCAUAAAUGGCUCUGCUCCACAACACCACACCUCCCCCAGAAUUAUGUCAUUUUCUUCUUAAGCAUUAAUAUUUUGAGUAAACGUUACGACUCCUUUUGUACCCGCAAACCAGAUAACUCAUGCAGCAUUCAAUUUUCCCAUGACCCAAACACUACGUAACAAUACAUUGCCAUUAAUAUAUAUACCCACAUAUUUUAAAUAAAAAUUUAAAAUUUAAAACAAAAAACAUUCUAUCUAAUGUGUCGCAUCCCCAUACCAUCCCUUUUCCUCUGCAUCACUGAUCAAUCUCUCAAUGGCCCUGAUUCAAUCAAUUAUCAUGAAAGUUGGUAAAUAAUAAUUCCCCUUAUAUGUAUGCUUAUCGGUCGGUCCAUGAAAUCGGUUAUUCAUUUUCCCUUUAAGAGUAGAGGGGGGACAACAAAAAUGUUGUAUAUUUACAUAAAACGAGUAUAUUGUAAAAUUAUAUAAUAACAGGGUUCUAAGCACAAUACGGAUUAUUAUAUAAAAAAAUUAUUACAAGCAUGAUAUCACAUUAUAAAUUUAAUAAACAAUUGAUUUAUCUGUUUCAUGCAAGUCAUUCUCGGGCGCGGAGAAAUAAGGCUCAAUACCUAGGGGUGGUUCGGUAUGGGAUCCCAUACCGAAACCCUUGUCCCGAUUCCCAAACUGAAAUUUUUGGGAAUCCCAAUUUCAAUACCGAUCCCAAACCAAAUUUUUGGGAAUCUCGAAAUAGUUUCAGGAUUUCGAGACAAAUCGGGAAUCCCGAAAUGGUUUUGGGCUUUUGGGUUUUGGACUAAAAUUUGACAUAUUAUGCUUUUGGGCUCAAUUUGCCAAUUUGUUUCUACUAAUCUGCCAAUCAAAUGGCAAGGCAUGUUUGUACUAAUUUGUGCACAAAUUUGAGUCCGUGUACACCAGUAAGUACAAUUGUAGCAUAAAAAAUAAUACGCUAGCUUAAAUUUCUAUAUAGCACAUGAAUCUUUCAUCUCAAUGCAUAUGUGAACCAUCCAGAUGAAGAAUUAUUAAGGAGGGGCAAGGUAUCAAAUAAUCAAAUUUAUAUUCAAUGGUUGAGAUUAAAUCUCAACAGAAUCCGACGGCUAUUAAAAUUCUAAAUAUAUAUUUAAAAAUUAAACAAUAUAUAUAUAAUUCUUUUUUGGUUCGGUUUGGGAAUACUGAAAUCCCAAAAACUUGAGACCGAUUCCCGUACCUAAAUUUUGGGAUCGGUUCGGUAUUGGGUACCGAAAUUUUCGAGAAUUUUGGUUUGGAAUUUUUUUAGUUUGGUUUCGAGAAUUUUUUGGUUCGGUUUGGAAUUUUUGGGAUUUUUUUACAGCCCUAUCAAUACCCAAGCUCAUGGUUCCCAAUCAUUUCAUCAGCUGACCUUUCAACCGACAACCACCCCCUUCUUUUGUAAUCGCCUUUAACAGGAAAACUUGCCGGCUAUUAUACCACACAGGUUUCUCUUCAGUCCUACACGUGUCUUCCAUCCCAACGGUCAGAACCUAUGACUUGACGACAACAGUCAAGAAAACCCUAACCAAUACUCCAUACAUCCUCGUCCCGUUCAUACUUUUAUGCUCUUUUUACUCCUUUGCCCUUCCUCCAUUUCUAUAUGUUGUCCUCUCUCCCCACUAGUUAUGUGACCUUUACACCUUUUAACUUUUUCUCUCUAUUUCAUCAUAUCUGGUUUUGUGGUUUUAAUCUGUCUCCUCCUGUUUUUACUUUACCCUUUCCCCCUCUCUCUCCUCCUUUCUUCUUCUUAAUUCUUCAUCCCACACCUGCAAUUAGGGUUUCUAUGGCGGUUUUACCGACGGCGAUGGCGAUGGGAUCUUCGAGCUUGGAGUUGACGAUAUCCGUACCCGGCUUCUCUUCGUACCCGUCUUUUCCUAAUUCAUCUGGUAAACGAACCCACCAAGCUUUUCCUCCUCCAUUUUUCUACACCAUAUUUUUCAUGCAUAAAGUAUAUUAAAUCGAUUGAUGUUUGUGUAUUAUUUGGAAACCUAUUUUUAGCUUUAAGAUAUCAGAUAUUCCCAGUAUUUUCUUUUGUUUUUUUGUUUAUCAAAACUUAAUUAACAUAUGAUCGUUUUGUUUUUAGUUGAUUUUUAACAUAUAUACGAUACGAUCUUUUACCCGGAUAUCAUGCAUGUCUUUCUUUUUACCCUUUUCCCCCGAGAAGUCAUUCGUAUUUUAUAUGGACAAUCCCCUAAACCCUAAUAAACUCUCUUUGCCAUUUCUCACAAAGACAAGUUUGGUGGCCAAUAUUUGUUUUAAAACUUUUUCUUUGGUACAUAUAUAAAUUAAUAAUAAGUUUGCAAGAAGGUUGUAGCUCGAGCGGUAAAGAAUAUUUAUUCUAUGUUUAAAUAUGGUGAAUUGGGUUUUGCAGUGAGAGACUUGGACAUAAACCAAGUACCAUCACUACAAGGAGAUCAAGAAGAGUGGAUGACAGCAGACAUGGAAGACGAAGAAGAAAGCAGCAACGGAUUGGGCCCUCCCCGCAAGAAGCUUCGUCUCACGAAGGAACAAUCUCGUCUUCUAGAAGAAAGCUUCAGACAACACCACACCUUAAACCCUGUAAGCUUAAUCAUAAUUAAUUAUUAGCCUGUUCUUAAUUAAAUAUUAAUUAAUAGGUUAAGUUGUUCUUGUUCAAAAUAAUAAAUACAGUUUUGGAGUGUUUUGCAGAAGCAGAAAGAGACGUUGGCGAUGCAGUUGAAGCUGAGGCCACGCCAGGUUGAGGUGUGGUUUCAAAAUCGUAGGGCCAGGUAAGUGUGUACUCUGAUGGCUUUAGCUAGCAUAUCUAGGUUCAUCGAUCUCAUGGACUUUGAAUUCUUUUCUUUGGGUUUGGCCCUUUCCAUUAAUAAUUUUGUUGGUCGUUGGGAUUUUUAUCUGUCGUCAUGUCCUUUUCACAAAAUAUUUAUGCAUUUAUAAUUUCAAUCUAAUUCUAUGUAUAGAUAAUAUAUCUAUGCUUGUAUGUGGGCAUAAUCACCUGUCGAACUCCUCUAUAUUUAUAGGGUUUUGCGACGGUUUUAUUUUGUUAUAUUAGAGAUCUUUCGAACUUUAAACUUAGCCUACUUUUAAUUCUACUUAUUGCCCGGAAGAACAUUUAUACAAAAGAGUGUGCCUUUUCUUUGUGUAAUUUUCCUUUUUAAAGUUAAAAUGUCAGAAUAUUCUUUUUCUUUUAUUCCUUGCAAGAAAUGAUAGAAUUUUUUUCCCUUUUAGGCAAAAACUUGUUAAGAUUAAUCAUAGAAUAAUGCAUAUAUAUAUACACACACACACAUAAUUAUAGUAAGUAAUGUUGGCAGUUACGAUUAGGUGGGUAAAGUAGACAGUCAAAUUUAUGAAGAAUUUGAAGGAAGAUAAUCAUAGUGGUGCUCCAAAAGAAUGAAACAUAAUGAUGAUAUAGAAAAUAGCUAGGAGUGAGAGCAUUGAUGAAUAAGAGGAUGUUUUUGUUUUUGGUGUUUUAUAGCCUCGUGUGCUCUUCAGUUUCAUCACUCUAAUAAGUGCUUUUUUGACUCACUCACUCACUCACUCAAUCUAGCUGGUGGUCUUUACUCUUUGGACUUGUUGCCAUGCCAUCCACAUGUAUUUAUGAUUUCAUCUAUGUCAUCCACCAUGCACAUUUAAUUCUUCAGUAUUUGGAACGGGGUUUUCAACUUAUUAGUUAAGAGUAUUUAUUCUUACACUUUCACUGUUGGGUUCGAUUCCUCAUCCUCAAAAAUUGCCCUGGCCUCCCAAAGUUAUGCGAUGAUUCCUCCUCCCCACUUAUGUUCGUGUGUGUAUAUAUACAUAUAUAGUGGUGGAGUCAGAAUUUUAAUUAGUCUAAAAAGGGCUCAAAUGUCUCAAUCCGAAGUGCUCUCUUGAUCUUACAAAAAUGAAUCCGCUAUGUGGUGAGCAACCAACCAACAUUGUUUGCGUCUGGUAUGGUGGCUUCCACAUCAUCAUCUUCCUUAAACCCAAGGGCGGAGCCAAGAUUCUUUACUUGGGUAGGCUAGCUGAAAUUAGUACAAUAAAAUCAGAUGAUAUUUUUUUUGCUUAUAUAAAAUUAUAUAAUAACCAGUAUAAAAGGUACAUUCAAAGGUUACAUUCAUUGGAAAAUUGCAACAUAAGUAAGGAAUUGCGAAGAUAGGGAUUUAAUUGUUGAUUUAAAAAAUUUAUUUUUCUUUUCUUGAGUAAGAAGCACAGAGGCUAAAUUGCAUAGGGUAAAUGAUAUUUUUCUUUAACAAAUAAGAUAAAAGGGGGAUGGGAGAUCAAAUUAAUUUAUAAUUUUUAGCAUAAAACAUAUAAUUUACUACCUAUCAUCUACUAAAUAUACAAUAAACAAUAACCUGUAUUGAAAUUGAGUGGGCUAUAAGCAUGAGUUUACAAAAGAAUAGUGUUGUCCACACACCCGUUUUUACCUCCAACAUACCCUUAUUAUUUUUUUGCGAUUGAUCAUCUUCAAUUUAUUCGAUCCGAUAAUAGAAAAUUGAGAGAGAUAUGUGAGAAGUAAAAAUGAGUACAUGGAUAACACUAUCCUUAUAGGAAACCUCCUUGGGCUACAACGCACCUUAGCCUUGUGGGUGGCUCCGCUAUUGCUUAAACCUAAGCCCCAAAACCCCAAAACUCUCUAACUUUCUUCCUCUCUCCCUCCACUGAUCCCCGAGUCAAAGUCCUCCUCAAAGCUCAUAACCAAUGGAUUACCUAAAUUCCAUAGAAGUCACCAACCUCAAGUCAAAACCGAUGAAAGAAAUUAAAGUAAAAACGUCAUAUUGGGGCUCUGAGCCUAUGAAAAAUCUUGAAAAUAAAAAAAAUGUCAGGAUGAGCCUGAGAUCAUCCUAGGACCACUUCAGAGCUGCGCUUAUGUACAUAUAUAAAGAUAUUUGAGGAAUCGCUCAAGUCAGGUUCAUUGUGAUUAUACAUAUACACACAUGCAUACAUAAACACGUGUGUUUUUCUGCUUUUUUUUUUUUUUUUUUUUUUUUUUUUAGUGUGGUGUGAUCGUGUGAGUGUUUUGGUAAGCACAUCGAAUGCACAUAUGUUAUGUUUGAAUAAUGCUCGGUGCAUUUAAUGUAUUAAUUUCUCGCAUGCUGUGUUUUACUUACGCGUGAAUGGUGGCUUUUGUAGGAGCAAGCUGAAGCAAACAGAGAUGGAAUGCGAGUAUCUGAAGAGAUGGUUCGGAUCGCUGACUGAACAGAACCGACGGCUGCAAAGGGAGGUGAAGGAGCUGAGGGCAAUGAAAGUCGGCCCGCCCACCGUGCUUUACCCCCACAGUUGCGACCCUCUUCCGGCAUCCACACUCACCAUGUGCCCUCGUUGCGGCGAGUCACCACCACCACCACUCUCGACAGAGACACGGUCAGCGGGCCCACCAAAACUAAUAAUAUCUCGGCCGCCGCGGCCACCACCUUGUCCUCUAAAGUGGCGACGCCCGCCCUCUAAAUGCCGCUGCGUGCACUUAAUCUUAACUAGUUUGUAAUUUGACCUACUUGAUCAUGCAUGGAUCGCCAUCGAUAAUUCGAAAUCAAAGGAAUGAAUAGUGAAAAGAAAUUAAGAUUAAAGAAUGUUAAUGUUAAUUAACGAAUUGUUUAAAUAUGGGACGUGUUUGGGUUGGGACACAGAACACUGACUUGGUUUGGGAAUCUGCAUAAAUUUUUCGGAUGUUUUGCUCUGUUUGCCGCUUUUGCGGAGCAAUGAUUUGAAACCACGGACAAGGAACCCGAUUUUCAAAAAUGUUACAAUCUUUAAGCAGACAAGUCAAAUUUAACGACGACAAAAUCAUUUUUAUUAUUUUGUUUGUUCAUGCAACAGGGUGGGAAAAUAAUUUAUUCUGAACUCGUUAUUUUUUGGAAUUUAAAAUUAAAACUUCUUAUUUACCAAAAAGAAUAUCGCUAUAUUAUAGUUCUAAAUGACACAAACUCACAUCAUUCUUAAAAUAUUAAACUCCUCAUAAUAAUUUUCUUAUAGGAAUUGAAUCGAUUAAAAAAGGACAGAAUUAUCAAUUAUAUGUAAAUCAUUGUUGUUGUGGCUUUUUCUUGUGAUUGUUUUAUUUAUUAUGGAAGAAGGAAAAAGAAACGAAAAUGUAAUAUGAGUUCAGCAACUUAGUACUACGGUUUAGUGUUCUCUUCACUUGUAAGUAAAAUGUAUUUAAUUUGAUUUUCGCUAAAGGCGAAUUUGAACCACAUUACUAUGGUUAGCCCAUUGUGAGACUUGUCCAAUUCUCUACUUUUUUAGUGUAAUAUCGUUUGUUAAUAUAUAUAUAUAUAUAUAUAUAUAUAUAUAAAAUGGGUUCCGUCCAAAACAACGGGUUCAAAGUUAGUUUAUAUGCCAACGAAAUAGGCCCAACAUUUGGUUUCAAGGCCCACAGUUUUGGGCUUUAGUUGUAACAGCUGGGGGGAUCAAUGGGCGAACCUAUAAUGCCAGACAAACCCUGAUGGAAUUGGACCACGUCGGUGCAAAAACAGCUAAGCUAGGAAAUGCUGGAACGGUUUCCUCCUUGAGAAAAUCUGGGGAAACAGUCCUGUUUGAUCCUGUCUGAGACAGGGACCAUACGCUCCAACUGGUUUAAUGUUGUUUCUGUAGGAGCAGAAUUGUACUAACACAAAAGAAAAAAAAAAAAUACAGAAUAUAGAACCAAACGAUGACCUAGGAAAGAUUUGCUGACCAGACUACACAUAAGGGGUCAGUUUAAGUUCAAAUCUCGUUGAUGGCGAGUUUGAACCAAUUCAUUUACCCACUUCGUAGUGUAAAUAAUUUCGUUGUGUUUAAAAAAGGAGUUGGUUUAUGGUAUGUUUAGAGGAAUCGGGAUCCUCUUCAAGUCUCCAUGUUCGGAGCCCACAGACCCAAAAAUCUAGGUUGUUCAAACUGGGGCUAUACAUUUCUAAGAGAGUGGUCAGAAUAUCUGAAUCCGUAGACUCUGAACACAUAAAUUUGGGGAGGAUUUAGAGGUUUAUACAUAAGACUUAAACCUUAAUAAGUCCAAGCAUAUAAGAGAAACAUGGCAAUAUGGGGGUUGAUGAGUCCCAUCCUGUCCUUUAAAUUGGGAUUAUGUGGGGCAAAGUUUAAUAUCCUCAAAGCAUUUGAUUGUCUUAUAAGUACUUUAAAGUUUCAAAUCAUGAUUCAUGAAUUGAUGAUCACUUCAUAGCUAGGGCACGUAAUAUAACCUCCCCUCCCCUCCCAACCCAACAUUUCGAAUAUGUUCACCUAUGCUGCCAAACCAUGCAAUACCACAUGGGCCGCACAAUGGAUACGUAAAUCCUUAUUCCAAAAUCCAAAUGGACGGUCGUGGAUUCAUCUGCCAUGACAAGCUAUCAAAAAAAGUUUAAUCACCAAGUUCAUUUCCAAUACAUGAUCUGUCAAAACACACACUCAACAUGUCUCCAAUUCCCAUUUAAUAUGCUCCCCCGUAUUGAAACCUUUUUCCUAACAAAACCAGGAAAAUUCCGAAGAGAGGAGUCUAUUUAUCGCUGUAUUUUGGAAAUUUGUGCUUCUUGGGGAAGGAUUUAGGGUACAACAACAAUUGCUUUAUUCUAUUAAAUAGGGUCAGUUAUAUGAUCAUAAAAUGUCAUUGCACUCGGUUUUAUACUAAGUCUUUCGUUAGCUCUAUAUACUCAUUGUCUUUUCUUACAGUCUAUUUCCCAGUCUUUUUUUGUUCUUCUCUACCUCUUUUGUUUUGAGCUUCUGUCUUAUAAUUGCAUCUUCUAAUGGGAGCAUUUAUAGAUCUUCUGUUUACAUGUCCAAAUCACCUUAACCGAAUUUCUUUCAUCUUAUUUUCAAUUGCGGCCGUUCUAUUUUCGAAGGGAUUGAGGAUAAUAAUAAUAUAUAUGCGAAAGGGCAUUUGCAGAAGGAAAUGGCAGAGAGGAAUGUGAGUGUGUGUCACACCAACUGAUCAGAAAGAAUGUUGCUUUCACAUGGUUGGCUUUGGAUCCAAUAGACUAGAACCUAACAAAACGACCCCACAAGCACGAAAUCUACUUGGUUUGGCUCACAGUUUAAUUGUUCUUCAUAACAUCUAUGUUUAAUUAUUAUAACUAACUUAAUUAGCCUUAUCUUUAUCUUGAUCACAGCCCAAGAUUUGAGUCAACCUUGUAGUCACGUGUUGGAACGGAUAAUUGUGGUUUAACAAUCCAUAUUAAUUAAAAUGCAUGGAGGGGUUGUUACAAUAUUAUACAGUAAUGUAGUAUUCUAAUUAGAUACAUUUGGAUUUGGAGCUAAUUUGAAGUUUUAUUAUAUGUAAAUAAAGAUUACAAUCAAUUUAUGAUCAUCCAAUUAAGGGUGGGAUUGUGAAAAACAAAAUGCAAGUUGAGCUUUUUAGUUCUUUUUUGGUAUGUGCAUUACUGAUUGGGAAUGUGGCAUAAGCUUAAUAGUGGCAGCAAUUGCUUGGAAACCCAAAAAAUUGGGCGAAUCAAUGUUGACCUAAUUUGGUACGAAGAAGUAUAUUAUGAAUGCCCAAUAAAAAGCGGAAGAAUUCCUUAACGGGUAGGUUGCUUGCCACACAACACAAGCAUAGUUAGAGAAGGAAAAUGCACUGAAGAUUAAUAGGAGAAAUUUUUCACCGAGAACACGCGUGGUACACCAAAUGUCAUAUAUAAUACAAUUGGUUGGACAUUUGAAAAAAAAAAAUUGAACUAAUUAUAUUAUGACACUUGAUGUACGAGACUAUAAUUCAUUAGGUUUAGUUUAGUUUUUAUUUUUAUUUUAUUUUAUUAAGGCUAAGAAAACCUCAAUCAGGUUUUCGUAGUUAAGGUAAUUUUGAGCAAGAUCUUAAUUCGAUACUGCAAAUCUGCUGUCUCAAACCCUACCAUAUAAGUUAAUUGUUUUGGAAAGCCUAAACAACGACCUCGACAAGUCAUGUUCCUAGAUUCAUGAUUAAGGGGAUGUAUUCAAUUGAUAUUUUGAAGGGUUCUAAUUUUUUUAAUGAAUCUAAGGGUAUUCAAUCAUAAUUAUAAGUGAUUUUUUAAGAUUAUUCAAUCAGGAUUUUGAGAUAGUUUAUUAAAAUCUUUAUAAAUUUGGGUAUAUUCAAUUAUGAUUUUAAAGAAGUUUAUAACAUACCAUGUAUAUUCUGUUGGUACCACAUAUAUUGGGCCUCCGACAUUGACACAUUGAGCCUCAUUACCCAGCCCAUAAUUAUGUAAAAGGAGGAGCCCCUUAUUCUAUAAAAGGGGACUCCUCCCCCCUUCACAAAGGGGACUUUGUGAACCCAACAUAGGGCAAUACCCUCACAAACUCAACAACACUCUCUUUCUCUGGGGGACUCCUCCUCACCCUUGUAAUCCAUACAUACAGUCAGAGAAAUACAAUCAGUGUGGACGUAGCCCAAACAUUGGGGUGAACCACGAUACAUCUUGUGUUAUUUACAUUUUCUGCAGAUUCACGGUCGGAUUUACGUUGUUCCAAGACCUUCGGUUUUGUGCAUCAACAUAUUCAAUUAUAAAUUGAUUUUAAAGAAUUUGAACAAGUUGAAGAAUUAGAGGGAAUUAGAGAGAUUUCAUAGUGUAUUCUAAACAUCCACAAAUCUCAUCUCACCUCAUGAGAUUUCGAGGGAAUUGAAUCCAAAUUUUAUAUGGAGUCUAUAAAUCAAUUAAAUUCCGUAAAAAUCUAUGAAUUUAUAAAUCCAUUAAAAUCUCUCAAAUUUCCGAUUGAAUAUACCCCUCUAAGUUGUGGCAUGCAAGCUUCUUUUUAAGUACGAGAUCACUCUAGUGGGGUUUAAAAUCUGCACCCUUCAGGGUUAGAAAGUGAAGAAGUAUUAGAAAAAGGAGUGUAAUUACAUCAUCCAUUUGGGUCAAAUGAUGCAGGCUAUAUGAUCAAACUUUAUACUAAAUUAUGACUUUUAAGACCACAACUUAAAGAUAGUUCGAGAACAUAUAUAAUCAUGAUGAACUUUUUAGAUGUACUCUUAAAAGAGAUUUACCUCCAUUGUAUACACAACUGUAUCAUCAAUCUAAACUAAUAAUGAAGUGUCAUGAAAAAAAAAAUUUAAAUAAAAUGACGUUAUUAGUUUAUGAUACUAUUACAACGACGUAAUUUGUGUAGGUAAGUCCUUCUCGCAUAGAAGAGCAUGCAUAUUGUAUUUUGCUGGCAUGUUGGCAACAGGAAAGGGAAGAUGAUGAGGUUGAGCCUCCAGCAGCAUGGGUUAUGGGGGAGGUCCAAUGGCCCGACAGGCGAUUCACACGUUUUCCUAACUGCACAAAAGGAGAGAGCCACUUCGAACCAUUCAGCUUUUAGACCCCUGCAAAAGAUGAUAUUGCCUUUCUCUUUGGCACCCUUCACAUCUCAAUCAUCUCCUCUUUAACCCUAAUAAUUAUAUAUAGCUUUACGACUUUGCAUUACAUCUUUUAUGGAAAGUUCAUAUAUGUUGAUCUUUGAUUCCUCAUUUACUUACCAAUGAUGCUAUUAAUUCAGACGCACAAAAUUAACGUAUUUAAGGACACUUUUUAUUAGUAUAUGUAAGUCUAAAAUAUAAUAGUAGCCCUCACUUCUAUUAGAAAAAUGUACAUAAUGUGUAUCAAAAUAAUUUUAUUGUUUCAUCAAAGCGUGAUGCUAUUUGGAUACUUAAAACUAACACACUCUCUAAUACUAUAACAGUGGUAGCACUCACCUAUAUUAAAGAGUGUGACAACAAGUGUGUCAAAAAUAGUUUUAUUGUUUAAUUAAAAAGUGAUGCUAUUUGAACACAAAACUGAAACACUUAUUAAAAUGCUCUCAAAUAAAAGUGAGAGACCCACAUAAAAUGGUAUAACUCAACUAUAUUAGAAAUUGUUAGUUUUGUGUGCAAAUAACUUUAUUGUUAAUUAAAUACUCAUAUUAUCUUUUUUUUUUUUAACAAACGAUUUUAUCCACACUAAGGAGAGGGGGUGGACUUAGCCUUACAGUGGGCUAUCAACAAUGUGGUUCAAACUCGCAUUUGGCAAGAAUCGAACUUAAGUUAAGACCUCUCACUUACAAGUGAAAAAAAUACCACUAGACCGUAGUACUAAGUGGCAAUACUCAUAUUAUCUUAAUUGUUGAAUUGAGUUUUCCUCCAUAUGAUAGUGAAAGAUUAGUAGUGUUUAAAAAAUUAAAAGUGUCACCAAAUUAAGGAAGCUGUUUGAGGGAAUAUGUCAUAAAAAUGGAGAAUAUUCAAAGGGAAUACGAUCUUAUACGAAGAUUUAUUAUCUUUUUGCAACUAAAAAAAUUCUUAUAUGGCUGCCAAAUUAAAGCACACUAUAUACUAUUUAGUUAAUUAGCAUGAUAUGACCCUGUGAAGCAUUAAUGUAUAUAAGCAAGGCCGGCUUGGAGAUUUUAGGGACUUUGUGCGGAAUAUAUAGUAAAUGGACCUUAAUUUGUAUAAAAACUCAUGCUAUACAGCUAAUUUAUAUGUCUAUGUAUUAAUAAGGGAUCUAAGUAGUGUAUUUACUUCUGACUUAUCAUUGAAAUCAACAAACAUCAUGAAAAAUAAAAUAAAAACACAAUUAAUAGCAAAGCCGGCAGAAUCCAAACUAAAAACAUAAAAAUGAUUCUUCUUAUGCAUGUGGAGGCCCUAUUUCUUUUAUUCACAUGAAGAACCUGGAAAAUUUCUGAAAAAUGACAUCAUCCUUUAGCAGGGUUGGGAACCCGGUGCAAGACCGAUUGCACAUGCCCAAAACCGCCACUGUAGAUGAGGUCUUAUUCGCAUUGACGUGUUAAUAUAUGCUGCUUCCAAAAUAAUUAAUUAGUCAGUCUAGGGUUUGCGUAGAACAAAACCUUUACGUCACUUUACCAUCGAAAAUACUUUGAUUUUCAGUUUUGUCAUUAAUUAGCUAAUCAAUCAAUUAAAAAUGAUGAUGAAUAAAUUAACCAAUUGCCAAAAUAUUCGAUUAAUUGAGUUUAAGUUAAUGGCGAUAUAAGAGCGAGAAAUUAAGGAAAGAAAGAGAGGUUGAUCAGCUAAUGAUUUGGAUGAUCGUAUACAUGUAGAUUACAGAGAAGGGAAUAAACGGUGGUGGGAAGUUCAUGAGUUAUAACAUAAAAUCUUGAAGAACUCUAUCUCUUUCAUCAUAAAAUGGGUUGGUCUGGUUGGACCCAAGAACAAAUAUUUUGCUCAAACAAUAAUGUUUAAUAGGGAAGGUAUUGCCUGCUAGCCUACUCACAGCAGUCCAUUAUUUUGAGAACCGAAAAGACUAACAGAGCAUUUCAGCAUCUCUUUGGCCACCAUCAACACUAAGGAUCGAAUCCAAAACAUGCCUUGUUACGGGAUCGAACCCACUGGGCCACCCCGUAGUGAUUUGCCUACCCAUCAUAUGUUGGAGUUUUAUAAAAAUAAAAAAAUAGUAAGCUAGGUAGCAAUACCGAUGUGACUCUCAACAUAUGUAUUCACUCGUAUAGUUUGGCAUGUAUAGGGUUUUUAUCUAAAAUAAGGCUUCAACAUAUUAGGAACAAAACUAUUUAGUAUAAACUAUGUUUAGUUCCACCAAUUUUCAAAUAUAAAACUUUCUACAUUUUUCAACACAAGCACGUGAUGAAAGAAAAAGAGAUGUACCUUGAUUACAAGUAAGAAGCUCUUGCUAAGUGGAAGAGCAUGAUUGGAUGGACCAAAUCAAUGAGGAUAUAUACAUGCAACUUAAUUGAAAUUCGUUGGGUAAAUGUUUUAGGAUGUGAUGGUCAAAAUGUGAUGAACAAUCAGUUUUUGAUUGAAUUGCGAAGUCUUUGCCAAAGUUCAGUGAUUCUGUGAUUGAUUCUUACUCUUUUGUUUGAAACCGACCAGAUUUUGCCACCUUUAACGGCAAUCCACAAGUUUGGUAUCUUACUAUUGCCCAGUUCAUAAGGUAAACCUGCUGGGGUAGACUUUGGAUCAACACCAAGGAAUAUUCUUUUACUUAUCUUGAGACAUCGUCCCUCUACAUCUCAGUUUCAUGCAAGUCAUUUUCAUAAAAUUGGAUGAACCUUUUGAAUUCACAACACCUUUCUCUAACUUUGAAAGACAAGUGUAACUAGAACCAGGAACAAAGAAACCAGAAAGUCGAUUGAUAUGGAAAGAAGAUAGAAGACUGUCCACGUCAUUGAAGAACCGUACCACACGAAUGAGGCCACGUGUGUGAACCCAUGUUUUUUUUUUGGUCAAAAGAUAAAUUUUAUUAAAUUCUAAUAGAAACAUUCACACCUUCUGCAAGAAUAUUGAAAAGACAUUCAUGACCAUAAGCAUCCUAUAGGAACGAACCACAACGCGAGGUUGCAACUCCGCUGAACAUACAUAAACUUCACCUCCCUAAUCUGAGACGCCAAAUUCUGAAUAUAAAAAAUGAAGCAUUUCAAAUUUGCAUCAAUUGUGCAUUCCCCAUUUAUCAUGUUGAUAAGAGAUAGAGCAUCAUACUCUAUCUCUACCAUCUCAUAAUGCAUGUCCCUACACAUCACCAAAGCUGCACGAAUUGCAGCCGCUUCCACCAUAGCUGCACCAUUGAAAAACUCACCUCCCACCCCACCAGCCAUCUGCAAAAGUCCCGCAAAUCUCGCACCACCCACCCAUAGCCACCUAACAUUGAUUUCCCACGCCAUGCCCCAUCACAGUUAAUUUUCAAAGUCCCAAAACUAGGACGUUUGCAUCGAACUUGUUGCCCGGCAAAAACCGACGUUGAAGGUUUCCCGCAGCGCUCCUUCUCCCUUGUCUUUUCCUGCAUGUAGCGAACCCAUGUUGGGUUAAGCUAAAGAUAUCAGUUGGUCAAUUCCAAACCCACCCUUCACACUCUCCUGUCCCGCCUCCCGCCGGCCCCAAUGCCCUUGGAACCACGUACCCAACUACAAACAUAUAUUUCACGAUCACCUCUCUCCCUCCUCCGCCGUACAGAAUUCUACACCCGCCCGUGUGCAUCCCUUGCCUGUCUAUGUUGUUUGGAAAAUAUAGAGUACUUUAAAAGGGUUUUCUUCUUUUAAAUUAGCAUAGACGACUUACAAGAAUUUCAAAACAAAAAUAAUAAUCUCAUCAUAACGUUAAUGUACGUUUAAGAUAGCGAAAGCUUUGAAAUCACUUGCACGUUGGAAGUCAAAAGAUGCUCCUACAUACAACAACGACGUUGUUUUAUUUCACUAAGUGAGGUCAGUCGUAUAAAUUAUAAAACGCUACUGCACUCAAUUUUGCGUCAAGUAUUUCGUUAGCUCAAAGUACUCAAUGUUUUUUUUAAAGUAUUUUUUCAAAUUUUCCUAGGUCUUCAUCGAUCUACCCUUUUUGCACUGAGCAUCUGUCUCAUAAGCGCAUUUUCUAACCAAAGCAUUUAUAGAUCUUCGUUUCACAUGUUCAAACCACCUUAACCAAUUUUUUUUUCAUUACCUUCAAUUGCAACCACUCCUAAUUUGCCUUGGAUAUCCUCGUUAAUCUUGUCAUUUCUCGUGUACCCACACAUCUAACAAAACAUUCUCAUAUUCUCUACACUCAUUUUUUGCAUGUGUUGAUGCUUGGUAGUUGGUACCCCCAAAAUAUAUUUAUAUAUAUUGAAAAUAAACAGACAAAAAAAUUGGUAUAAAAUAUAAAAUUUUGCGGACAUGGUCGAGCAAAACUGCUAAUUUAAACACAAACAAACUUGCCCUCGAUUAAUAUCAUUUGUUAUUCACACUUUUAUUUUAAGAAGCAUAAUACUAGUAUUGAUUCUAGAAGACUUACAAUUUUCAAGUAAUAUAAUAAUGAUUCAUUUGUUCUUCACAUUUUAUAUACGACAUUAUUUGUUGUGUACCCCAAUCUUACACUUUAACCAUCCAUUUAAAUAAUUAUCUAUUUAAGUACGAUUAAAAAAAAAGAAAAUUCGAACAAAAAUAUAAAGAGAAAACACAUUAUCUUAAGCAACUAAAUUACGUAUAUGUGUACAUAUUUCAUGUUUCUAGUGGUACAGUAGAGCAUUAGUUUAUCCCCUCCAUCAAUGUUCCACCCUCUACCCUCUGGUGGUCCUUACUCUCUUUACAAUAUUUAAAUUGUCUUAAUCAAUUUAUUAUUAUAACUAAAAAUUUAUAAAAAGAAAUUGGCAUAUAUACGCGCACCCGUGUGUGUGUAUGUAUAUAUAUUUUUAAAAUUGAUAUUAUUAUUUAUUAGCAAGCGAAAUUAUUAGUUGUUAUGUAAAAGACAUUAGUUUUCCUUAGAACGAGAGUUUUAACGAAACACUCAUAGUACUGUUCAUUUUAACGAAAAAUGACAAUUUUACUUUAAAAAGUCACUCAUUGUACCAUUCACUUACAACACAUUUUUGUCAUUUUGAUUAAAACUCAAAAUUUUCAAGUAAUUUUCAUUAGUUUUCCUUAGAAUUAAACCUAUACUAGAAUGCAUAAUCAUCAUUACUUUCUAUUAUUGUCCUAAAAUGUCAUAUGCGUCCAUAUAUCUUGACUUUAGAGUAAGAUUUUCUCAUCUCCUAUUUCUCUCUCCUUGUCUCACACUUUCUUUUUUGUCUUAUUUCUCAAUAAGAAAAUCAAUAUAAGAUGCUUACGUAACUUUUUUUUUUUGACAAGUACAAUAUUCAUUAGGACAGGACAAAAUUCGUACAAACUGAGGAUAGUGUGCUAAAUGGGCAUCGAUAAAAAACUUGUCGGAGAUUUUAACCCGGUCUAAGAAAAAGAGUGUCCUGCACAACGAAAGAGCUAUCCUCUUACGUAACUUAAUCGUACUAUUUAAAUAGAAUAAGAAGAAAUAAGAGAGAUUAGGAGAAGAUAAUCCUACUCCUCGACUAUCAUUAUCUACUCUGUUAUCUCUGUCGCCCUAUAUAUAAUAUUCCCUCCAAAGUUACUACAACUCAAUUCCCCUUGUAAAAUCACUCCCUCCCUACUCUCAAACGCUCUCUCUCUCUCUCUCUCUCUCUCUCUCUCUCUCUCUCUCACAUCAGCAAUAUCAGAACCUGAGAUAACACUGAUAGAGCGCAGCCAACAGCAGCUGCGCAAAGUAUACUUCCAAUUCCCGGUUCGUUAACUAACGGUUUUCCUCUCUUCCCAUUUUACCCCUCCCGUCUUCUCCAAUUCACAUCCAAACGCCAUCGCACCUCCACCACGAGAUCUGAACACCGGAAGAGUGACUAAUAAUUAAGCAACGGCGCCGUUUCACUCACGCGCACUCCCAACAGCCAGUAAAAAAUGAUUUCGUGGCACGACCUUUACAACGUGUUGACGGCGGUGGUGCCGCUGUACGUGGCGAUGAUCUUAGCCUAUGGCUCCGUCCGGUGGUGGAAGAUCUUCUCCCCUGACCAGUGCUCCGGCAUCAACAGCUUCGUGGCGAUAUUCGCUGUCCCCUUGCUCUCCUUCCACUUCAUCUCCACCAACGACCCCUACACCAUGAACUUCCGGUUCAUCGCCGCCGACACCCUCCAGAAAAUCAUCAUGCUCUUCGCCCUCGGCCUAUGGACCAACUUCACCCGCAACGGCAGCCUAGAGUGGCUGAUUACGAUUUUCUCCCUCUCCACCCUCCCCAACACUCUCGUCAUGGGGAUUCCGCUGUUAAUCGCCAUGUACGGCAAAAAAAUCCCGGAAUCCGGCAGCCUCAUGGUGCAGCUGGUGGUGGUCCAGUGCAUCAUCUGGUACACUCUCCUACUCUUCCUGUUCGAGUACCGCGGUGCCAAGCUCUUAAUCAUGGAGCAGUUUCCGGAGACCGCUGCCUCCAUCGUCUCCUUUAAACUCGACUCCGACGUCGUUUCGCUCGACGGCAGGGAUUUUUUGGAAACCGAUGCCGAAAUCGGUAACGACGGAAAGCUCCACGUCAAGGUCCGGAAGUCCAACGCAUCGAGGCGGUCGCUAUCUGCAAUGACGCCCCGGCCGUCUAACCUCAGCAGCGCGGAGAUUUACAGCCUGAGCUCCUCCCGAAAUCCCACCCCGCGAGGCUCCAACUUUAACCCCUCCGAUUUGUACUCCGUGAUGGGGGUUCAUGGGUUCAACAGCCGCCACUCCAACUUCGGACCCGCCGACUUGUAUUCGGUUCAGUCCUCCCGCGGUCCGACUCCACGGCCCUCCAAUUUCGAGGAGAAUUGCGCGGCUCAGACCGUUAUGACGGUACCCGCAUCGUACCCGGCCCCGAAUCCUGAAUUCUCGGCGCCCACAGCUAAAAAUAGCAACACAAUUCAACAGCAGCAGCAGCCGCAAGUGGCAGCGCAACCGGUUUCGGACAGUGCUGCUGCUAAAACGAAUAGUCAUCUCGAUGCUAAAGAGCUCCACAUGUUCGUUUGGAGCUCCAGCGAGUCCCCUGUUUCUGAAGGCAGUGGGCUCCAUGUUUUUGGUGGGACCGAUUUCGGUGCUGCCGAGGAAUCUGGACGGUCCGAUCAUGGCGCCAAGGAGAUCAGAAUGCUUGUUGCUGACCACCUCCAAAAUGGAGAAAACAAAGGUAACUAACGUUUAUUUCCCGACAAAAAGUGUUUGUAAUCUGAAUAAAAUACACGAAAAUAUUUGACAAGUUAUCAUUUUCUUAAUUAAUAUUCUUUAUUUUGUGCGGUGGCAGUUCCGGAGAGUGCGCCAACGGCGGAGGGGUACGGCGGGGAAGCGUUGAGAUGUGGCUGGAGGGGUGGCGAGGGAGAGGAGGCUGAAGGGGAAAAAGAGGGAACCACAGGGCUUAAUAAGCUGGCGUCCAGCUCCACUGCAGAGCUGCACGCAAGGGGCGGAAGGCAAAUGCCGCCGGCGAGCGUUAUCACCCGUCUGAUCUUGAUCAUGGUUUGGCGGAAGCUUAUCCGUAACCCCAACACGUAUUCGAGCCUCAUUGGUCUCAUCUGGGCUCUCAUCGCUUUCCGGUGAGACAACUUAAUCCAGUUUUAUUAAACUUGUUUUUUUUUAAUAUGUUUGAUACAAAUAUUUUUAACUAACACUAGCCAAUGAGCACACACUCUGUGGGUGGGAAUAAUUUCAUUUUAUUUUUAGUAUUUUCAUUAAGGAGUGUGAUUAGUUUUUAAAAUUUUAAAAAGAAUAUGAACAAAUAAUUGUGGGAUAAUUUCUCUUAAUAAAUGCAUAUUUUAUCUUAAUAUUACAUAAUUUUUUUUAAAAAGAGUAUGAAAAAAUAAUGAUAAGACAAUUUCUCUUAAUAAGUGCAUAUUUUAUCUUAAUAUUACAUAAUUACUGUUUUUUUGUUUUUUCAUUAAGGAGUGUGAUUAGUUUUGAAUUUUUUUAAAAAAGUAUGAAAAAAUGAUGGUGGGACAAUUUCUCUUAAUAAGUGCAUAUUUUAUCUUAAUAUUACAUAAAAAAAUUUAAAAAGAGUAUGAAAAAAUGAUGGUGGGAUAAUUUCUCUUAAUAAGUAUAUAUUUUAUCUUAAUAUUACAUAAUUAUUGUUUUGUCCUCCUUAUGUAAAUAUUGUGUAUCAAAAGUGAGGGUAAAAUAGGAAAAAUAGGAAUAUGAUUGUCAUUUUCUCAAAGAUACAAAAUUACUGUUUUGCCCUAGUUAUGUAAGUAUUGUGUAUUAAAAGUGAGGGCAAAAUAAGAAAAAAUAGGGUAAAAAUUUGACAAAAAGGGUUCUCUAAAUAAUAGUAUAGAUUAAAAUUUAUGAUUUGAAUUAUUGGAUUUGUAGGUGGCAUGUGGGGAUGCCAAAAAUAGUAGAAAAGUCAAUUUCCAUACUGUCUGAUGCUGGACUUGGAAUGGCUAUGUUCAGCUUAGGUAAGUUAUAUGUUUCUUGAUUACCAUACUCUUUCAAAUUAAUAACUUCAUAUUCUUCUCUUGGAUAAUACUUAGAAAAUUGUUACUAGCACUACACAAUAUUUCUUCAACAUUCCUAAUUAGAUAAAGAAAAACUGUAACAACAACCACACCAACAAAGUUUUAUCACAAUGAGUGAGGUUGAGUGCAUGAAUUCUAGAACGUCACUGUGCUGGAUUUUGCGCUAAGUUUUUCGUUAGCUUUAAGCACUCAAUGUCUUUUCUUAGAGUCUGUUUUCAAGUUUUUCUAAGUUUUCCUCUACCAUUUUUGCCCAGAGCCUCUGUUUCCUAAUAAUAAGUUGCACCGCCUAGAACAAUAGUCAUGGUUCGGUAAUUUAUGCAAGUAAACAUUGGCAGAAUGUUGUUUGUCUAGCGUAAACCGAAACACACUAUGAUAAUAUAUUUCAAGUCAAUUACGCAUUUGUUAUAGCAUAAUUUCAAUUACAGAUAAGUUUAUAUGGGUGUGGAUACGCAGUACUCUGACGAAUCAUAACCAACCAGUGGUUCUUACAGCUGUUUGUUUGGUCACAAGAAAGAGAAGUUGAAGGCUGCAGUUUAAGGAGUUCACUAUAAUUGGACAUUUUUCACGACAGAUGCGUGAUUAGGUCCAAAUUAGUCAAUGUAGUUGAAAGUUUGAGAUAACCGGCUGGAGUAUGGGAAUAGGAAAUUUGAGCUUUUGGUUUGUGUGAAAGAGAGUUUGAAAUCAUUAGUUUGUGUGAAGUGAGUCAACGAAAUGAGUUAAUGGAAAUAAUAAGAUGCAAUUUAAGUUGUUUGGAUUGCCUGAUCCUUGGGUCGUAGACAGUAAACUUAGUAAGAUUCGGAGUGAAUCUAUGUCUCUUACGAAAAUAAAUAAACUUGUUUAUGUUAAUAUAUUUCUAUUCACGGGUGAUUUUAGCACUUCUCGUUUGACUUUCCUUCUCUUUGUAACUUAAAUUUAAUUUGUAACAAAGGGAAUAACGAGUUACUGAUGAUUUUGUUGUUGUAUUGAUGAUAAAAAUGACAGGUCUUUUCAUGGCACUUCAACCCAGGAUAAUAGCAUGUGGGAACUCAGUUGGCGGAUAUGCAAUGGCAGUAAGGUUCCUCACUGGCCCCGCCGUUAUGGCUGCCGCCUCCAUUGCUGUUGGCCUCCGGGGCACCCUCCUCCACUUAGCGAUUGUCCAGGUACUUUUAAAUUACCCAUUACGCCCUUCAACUUUUUCCUUUUCUUUACGCUUAAUAUUGGGAUAAUUAUUAAAAAAAAUUAAUCCAUGUGUGGCAAACUAGGCUGCUCUUCCUCAAGGACUUGUUCCCUUUGUCUUUGCCAAGGAGUACAAUGUUCAUCCAGCCAUUCUUAGCACUGCGUAAGUAGAAACAUUGUAUCUCAAACUUAGUUCUCGUUUGAAAGUGCUGUUAAAAUGACUGAAAACGUUUUUGGUAAUAUUGAUUUUAGGUGUUAAAAGCACUUUAAGUGAUUUUCUCAUGAUAUAUUUGAAGAUUGGUUUUAAAAACAUUUUCACUAAAGCGCUUUUAGUCAUUUUUAAAGCACUUCAAAUCUAGCGCUUAAUCCCUUCUUAUCUUAAUCAAACUUAAUUUUAUUUUAUAAUAUUAACCAAUUAAAUAAUUUCUUGCAGGGUUAUUUUCGGAAUGUUGAUAGCGUUACCUAUUACAUUGGUCUACUAUAUUCUUCUGGGAUUGUAAUUGUUGGUGUCACAGAAGCACAGAUGGAUACACAAAGCUAGGAAAAAGAAGAGAGAUCAAAUCGUAUGUGUGUGGCCACGCAAAAAUACUCAAAAUGUGUCACACAUUGAAAUCGACAAGGAUUUUCUGGUAGAGAAAAAGCUUAGCUAGCUAGAUUAAGUACGAUGGAAAUCAACGAAGAAUCCGCCGAGGUCUGAAGGUGUUUUAUUCCAAAUUUUGGGGAGCAAAUUAAUAGAUUUUUUUACUUUAUGUAAUUAAGAAAAGCCCUGUUUAUAAGGAUCAUGCUCCCAUGAAAGGCCGAAGUUAGUCUAAAUUUGUGAGAGCUUGUUGGAAGGGAGCAAACGUAGGAGAGUAAAACAAGGAAGAAAAGCAGAUGAUUUAUUAAUUAAUCAAUGUGCUUUGUUGCGUUAGAUUUUGCGUCAGACUUAUUGAUUUUUAUUUAUUUCUUUAAUCAUACGUGUUCUUUCUGCUCUCAACUAAACUAAGAAAACAAAAUAUUCGAGAGCAGUAAGUUGAAGAUGAAAAUCGUAUCUAACAAUGCGAUUCCCCACUUAUGCCUCUUCUAUAUUUUAAGCAAUGGGAGCAACUUGUAGUAUUGUUCUGUGAAGACUUUUACCACUUGGGGGUUAGAGCAACCGAACAAGCAAAGGUUUUUCUCGAAAGCACAUUGUCUUUCUAUCAACUGAAAGUGAGAACGAAUCAUGUACGUUUAGGCACAGGAGAGGAUUUUGUAGUUGGGAAGGGGGUGAUGCUUCUUCUUUCAAGAGAAAAAGUUGAGAGAAAGUAAAACAGAGACGUAGAUAAACACAAGUCAAAAGUAGUUUUAGACUGUUACUUAAUACUACUAUUUAGUGAUAUUCUUCUUCAUUUGUAAGUUGCAAGUGAGAAGUUUUAGAUUCGAUUAUUGCCAAAAAUAAAUUUAAACUACAUUAUUAUGACUAGUUUAUUGUGAUGCUUACACUUCCCCAACAGCUAAUAUUAUUGUUCGUUAAAAGAACAUAGUUUUAGGCUUAGAUUACUCUUUUGCUUUUCGCUUUUGAUGCAGCCACACUAAGUCACGAAGCCCACAACCCUACCCUACUUUUUAGUUUUUAUUUAGGCCCACUAGGCAGUGGUGGGAUGGUCAACACAAUUAAAAUUUAAGAGUGAUUAUAUUCACACACCUCAAAUUAUUUUUUUCAUACUUUUUUAAUUUUUUACACACCACUAUACUUGAUAGAAAAAUAUUAAAAAAUUAAAAGAUGUGGAUGAAGUAAUUUGGAAUGUGUGAAUAUAAUCUCCCAAAAUUUAAUUGUAUUUUUUUAGUUUUUUAUUUUUAAACGAUUAUUAUUAGUACUCUAAAAUAUAAUUAUGCAUUUCAAAUUUUUUAUAUUUAAAACAAAUACGUAUAAAAUGUGUAAAAUUAUAAUGUUAAAGUGCUAAUAGUAGUUCCUUAUUUUUAUUUUACUUUUUUCCUCAUGAGGAAAUGAUAAAUAAUACUUAGUUACUCAAAUGAUGAGUAUGAGUUCCUAUUCAAAAUUAUUCGGUGCAAAUUCAUAUAAUUCGUGUUUAUGAUCAGAAUCGUUCGUAUUAUAAAUCAUUUUAUAAAGAUCAUCUCUACAAAAAAAUCAAUUAAACCUAAUGUCUUUUAGUGAACAAAUGAACGAAAUUGGUAAAAACACUACGAACUGUCUUUGUAUUUGCUACAAUAGAUUGACUAAACGUCCUAAAUUUAAUUUAUUUUUUGCAGAAAUGUUAUUUACAGAGUGAUUCAUAAUAUGAAUAGUUUUGAUUAUAAAUGGGCCAAUUAAGUUAAGGGCAUUUUUUUAGUACAAUCGGUAUUUUACAUUAGUUUAUAUUAAAGGUGAAUGAAAAGAUUUAAACUUGGGACGUAAUAGCUUGAAGAAGAGUUUUUCAACUAUCAGGGUAAAAGAAAUGCUUAUGGAACUAUCCAUAGAUUCUCUGUCAUCUCAGGUAGUUUUUAUCACAAUAUUUUAUAAUAGGGUAAAUUACAUAGUAGCCCCUCAGGUUUGAGGUCUAUUACAACCCCAUACAACAUCUUUAAAACAUUUCACUUUCAUACCUCAAGUACUAUUUUAUUUCAAAAUAAUACAACCGUUAGAUUUUCCAUCCAUUGAUCCGUUAAGCGCUGACGUGGCUGCCACAUUUGUGCCACGUGGCUGCCAAAUGUGUGCCACGUGGUUAAAAAAAAUUAUUUUUUUAUUUUUUUUAAAACCUAAGUCUUCUAUUAAAAAAAAAAAAAAAGCCCAAAACAAAUGCAGAAACGCGCAACCCAGCAAACUCACUUCCUUUCCCUACCCCCCCACGCCCCCGCACCCGCACCACAGCACCUCCCUUCCCCACCUUCCCAGACCUUCCCCGAGCCCUUCCCAGCAGCUCCCCCCCACCCAGAAACCUUUUCCCCCCCCUCCCGCAGCAUACCCACACCCUCCCCGCAUGACCCGUCCGCAGGCUUUUUUUGGGUUUUAGGAACUCGAUCAAAUUAGGGUUCUUUUUCUUCUAAUUCCUGUUCAAAGAAUCAAUCAUAGAAGAGGAGGCAAUGGCGACAGAGUCAUCGGAGGGAGAAGAGGAUGCGAAGCUGAUGGGAGGGAACCAGCUACUGGUAGUCGACGACGAUCUCAGAGAAAUGGGCAAGAAGGCUGCCUGGAGCGUUAGCUCCUGCAAGGCCGGCAAUGGCGUCUGUUUUCCGUGACGACAAUCUCGACACCUACUGGCAGUCUUUGCUCCAAUUCCCCUUUCCUACUUUAAUCCCUCAAAAUAUUGAAAUCUUUGAAUUUUAAUUUUGUUUGUUUGUUCUUGGUUUGCAGAUCCGACGGUGUGCAGCCUCAUUUGGUGAACAUUCAAUUCCAGAGGAAAGGCUUCAAGGUAUGGUGGUUGCAGGUAGGGGAGUCGGGGGAAGAAGAGAUGGGAGGAGGAGGGGGACGACGAACUGAUGGGUAUUUUUUUUUUUCUGGGUUGCAGAGGGGGUUUUUUUUUUUUUUUUUCUGGGUUGCAAAGGGUUUUUUUUUUUUUUUUUUUCUGGGUUGCAGGGGGAAGAAGAUGAAGAUGGGGGAGGAGGAGAAGAUGGAAGGGGGGGAGACGAACUGGGUUUAGGUUUAGGUUUUUAUUAUUUUUUUUUAAAUUUUAAUUUUUUUUUAUAAAUUUUUAUUUAGAAGAUUUAGGUUUUUUUUUAAAAAAUAAAAAAAUAAUUUUUUUUGCCACGUGACACACAUUUGGCAGCCACGUGGCACAAAUGUGGCAGCCACGUCAGCGCUUAACGGAUCAAUGGAUGGAAAAUCUAACGGUUGUAUUAUUUUGAAAUAAAAUAGUACUUGAGGUAUGAAAGUGAAAUGUUUUAAAGAUGUUGUAUGAGGUUGUAAUAGACCUCAAACCUGAGGGGCUACUAUGUAAUUUACCCUUUAUAAUAUUGACAUAAGAAUUGAUAUUAAAUUGUGAUGUGACAGAAAGUCAAUAGUCCUACUUUUUAGAGAAUCUCUUUAGUAUUUCUCACUAGGUGAUCCACCACUUGUAAGUUAAGAUGGUAUUUCAAUUACCAAUUAAUUAAAUCAAUGUUUCUAGAUGCAAAAUCCAUCGACAAGUUGGUGAAUUUUAGGAUAAUUAGGCAUUAGGGCAAAGGGGAACCCCGUAUCCCAAGAUUUGAUGUAAGGAGGAGGGGUUAUGUAGUUUUGGGAGGGAACACACGCACUACACAGUGUUAGGUGUUAAUUUCCCCCGUAAAAAGUUAAAAAAAGUAAGGAAUCAAAGAACAAAAAUUAGGCAAUAAAUCACGGACAAGGGAAGAAAGACCAACAUGCUCGACGAUCGAUCAGUCGGCCAAUAAGAAAACGAAAGCGACGGCAGUCAUGCAUGCAUGCAUGAGUCCAUUUUUGCUCACUACCCUUAAGUGAUGGUAAUGCUCACCAUCCUAUUUAUAAGUCUAUAACCGUUAGAUGAGUUUGAAUUUUGAGAUUUGUCAUAUCCACUACACAAAUCUCGAAAUUCAAACUCAUCUAACAGUAAUAAAUAAAGUGAUGAGCAUACACCAUUGUUUAUGAUAGUGAGGAAAAAUACUCUCAUGCAUGCAUGCAUGCAUGUUGAAUGUUGGAGGUUGCAAAUUGGCGAAUUACGAAACGGCGGACUCAGCCUUGACAUGCAGAUGGGUUCGCUCUCACAUGCGAUUGUAGCCACAAUCCAACAAAUGCAAUUAAGCAGCUAGCUCUCACCCCCAUGUGUGCACUGUGUUGUCUACCGCACUGUGUUGUCUACCUCACUUUCUUCUCAAUAAUAUAUAAGAAUUCAUGAUUUAUAUUCAAACUUCAAAUUACAUAGACACGUCUUGUGAUAAACUCUUACAUUUGUCAUGUUGUGUAUUUGAUAAAAUGCUAGUUGAAAGACAAUUUAUCAAUGUAAACUCGUUAGGUACUGAGCUUUUUCAUGAAAUCUUGACACUGUCUCAACUCACUAUCCUGUUUUAGUAGCUACUACUUGCUAAUGAUUAAAUGGCUAAUAAUUAUCAAGUUGUAAAUAAUAUCGGUGUGCAAGUGAUAAUUACUAAGUUAAGGAUAAUAUCGGAGUUGUUUUAAGUGAAUAUUUGGCUCGUCUCUCAACAAUUUGACAUUAUUUUCUAUUCAAACACGUGACCAAAGUGGCCGGGGUCCAUGCUCAUGUGGAUCUCCAUGUUUUGUUCGUGUGGAGCUGGAGCCUAGAGAGCUUGCUAAAACUGUUUCAAACGGCGAUUGCAGCCAAACAUGCCAUUGCAAUCUAUAUAUGACUGAUCGAAUUUCUCAUUGACACCAGUAGACAAAAAGAUAUAUAUAGAAUCCAAGCAAGGUAGGAACUGUUUGGGAACCAAGUUCCUCUGAGGCUUUUGGACUUUGUUGUUGCAACUUUUCUUUGGAUACAAAGGGGGAAUGGACCCCAAUGCGACACGAACCACACAGAUACACACACAUCAACAACAACAACAAUAACAAAGUUUUUUCACUAAGUAGGGUCGGCUACACACACAUAUACAUAUAUAUAGUUAAGCAGCUAUAAGAGUCUGAGGGUCCUACCAUUUUAGGACUUUUUACCCUGUAAAGGGAUCGAACCCAACUUUGUGUGGAUGAUAAAAUACAUGCAUGGAAGCCGAUUAGGUUUAUAAAUUAAGAGUCCCCCCCGAUAUGGAAUUAUAAGGUCCUAAAACUCCAGGCCUUUUCAAGUUUGAACUUAUCUCAAUGUAACACACACACACACACACACACACACACACAUAUAGAUAUAUAUAUAUAUAUAUAUAUCCUUUUGCAGCUAAAGAAGAAGCCUCUGCAUAUGCAAUGCAUGAUUAAUUGAUCGUUUGCUGCUGAUUAUUCCGAACUUUAGUCGUACAUUAAUGCCGUCAGUCCAUAUAUAAAAAUUUACUUAUUCAUUGAUUGGGUUUUCAACGAGUUGUUUUAACAAUAAUGUUAUUUAGACUCACAAAACUACUGAUGUUAAUUACUACAUGCUCUUUAAUAAUAUAGAUGAAUUCACCAUUGUACGUAAAAUAUGUUAGCGAUAUUGUCAAUUUAUGUAAAGAUAAAUGGGUGAUUAGAUUGGACUGAAGAUGAGUAGGGUACACCAUAAAGAACAUAUGGUAGUGUCCUUGUGCGCGUGGCUUCAUACUUGAGCAUACAUGGGGGCCAUGCUACCCUUCUGGUCCUAAGUUCUGCAGGCACACCACCUCAUGAUACAAAAUCAAAUCUUCUGAAUAAUGAAACUAUGAUUAUGUACUGCGUGACUUAAUCGGUUCCUUUCAAUAUUAUAUGCCCCCUAGCUAUUUCAUAACCAAAAUUUAUUCAGGUGGAAAUUUUCAAUAACAUAAGAGUGUGUGUGUGUGUACAUACAUAUAUACAUAUAUAAAAGAAUCGAGAGAUAUCAAAAGAAAUGUUCACUAGUACAAAAACAUGUUUGCGCGACGGAAACUUGCGCGACGCAGCAAAUUUCGUCGCGCAAAUAGCCUUUGCGCGACGACACUUUGCGCGACGAAGUCUUGCGUCGCUCAAAGCAGUUUUGCGCAACGAAGGUAUACCUACGUCGCGCAAAACAUCUUUGCGCGACGCAAGCCUUCGUCGCGCAAAGUGUCGUCGCGCAAAGGCUGUUUGAGUGACGUUUUGUGCAUCACCAUCCCAACUUUGCGUGACGCAUGUGCAUAUACGUCGCGCAAAGUCGACGACUUUUUUUUCUAAAAUAACCACACACAAGGGCCUUUUUCUUCACACUCAACCUCUUUCUUUCAGACUCUCCGUCUCUCUCAACCUUCAGGUAUUGUAUUUAUUUGAUUAAUUAAUUAACUAUUUAUUGAUUACAUUUAUGUUUGGAUUUUUUAUUUUUGUGUAUUUAUGUUUUUCUUUAAUUAUCUUUGUCAAUGCUUAUUUUUAACAAGUUGAGUUUUGGUUUUGAACAAUUGAAUGAGUAGAAUGAAUGACUAGGAGUAUGAAGGAUUUUGAUAGGUUUAGGGAAACAAAAGCUAAGAAACUGCAAGUUGCUCAGUUAACUUGAUCCAAUUUAGGGAUAGAUUGAUGUGUGCAAAAAAAUGAUUUCAUUUCUCACCAAAUUGGGAAGAGGAAACUAGAAUGUUAGACAUUUAGAGAAGAAUCCAGUUUACAUCUUUGUCAAACCACUAUUCUAUUAUGUGGUUAGUAAUCAUUUUAGGUGUAGUCUCUACCCUUUACGAUUUUGAAUACGUAGUCUCAUCAUAUAGGUCCUUAAACAAUAAUUUUAAGGCAUGAGUGGAAGAGGUAUACAAGAAGUAAAAACUGUGGAAUAUAGGAAAAAAAAAACACUUUGCGCGACGGAGGUACACAUGCGUCGUGCAAAGCUACUUUGCGCGACGCAUGUGUACCUCCGUCGCGCAAAGUGUUUUUUUUUUUUUUUUGCCUUUUGCUUUGCUUUUGGGGUUCUUGCAUUGGCUUUUUCUUUUGUGGUAUCCACUUGUGUAAAUGUUUUAAAUUGACGAUCGAAUUAGUUCCUUGCAUUCAUAUAGGAUCCAAGAGUGUAGCUGUAAAAAAUCAUCAAAAUCGGAGUUAAAAUAACCGUUAACUCGUUAUUUUUUCUUUUAUAACCGUCAAAAAGUUUUGUCCCGUUACUUGAUCUUUGAAGGUUUGUUUUUUUCAAUUUUUGGCGUAUGUGAUCUCAAAGCAUAUACAAACAAAUUUGACGGUUAGAUCGUUGAAACUAGUUUUGUACAAUGUGUAUCCCAUUAAAACAAUAGAUUCCCUAACACUUAUAUUUUAUUUAUACUUUCAUCAAGUAUAACAUAAAAUUUUGUGGUAUCCACUUGUGUAAAUGUUUUAAAUUGAUGAUCAAAUCAGUUCCUUAUAUACAUAUAGGAUCUAGGAGUGUAGCUGUAAAAAAUUAUCAAAAUCGGAGUUAAAAUAACCGUAAAAUCUUGAUUUUUUUGUUUAUAACCGUCGAAAAGUUUUGUCCCGUUACCUGAUCUCUGAAGGUUUGUUUUUUGCCAUUUUUGGUGUAUGCGAUCUCGAAGCAUAUACAAACAAAUUUGAUGGUUGGAUCGUUGAAACUAGUUUCAUACAAUGCGUAUCCCAUUAAAAUGAUAGAUUAUCCAACACUUAUAUUUUAUUUAUACUUUCAUAAGUAUAACAUAAGAUUUUGUGGUAUCCACUUGUGUAAAUGUUUUAAAUUGACGAUCGAACCAGUUCCUUGUAUUCAUAUAGGAUCCAGGAGUGUAGCUGUAAAAAAUCAUCAAAAUCAGAGUUAAAAUAACCGUUCAAUCGUGAUUUUUCGUUUAUAGCCGUCGAAAAGGUUUGACCCGUUAUAUAAUCUCUGAUUGUUUGUUUUUUGCGAUUUUUGGUGUAUACGAUCUCGAAUCAUAUAUAAACAAGUUUGACGGUUGGAUUGUGGAAACUAGUUUCGUAAAAUGCAUUUCCCAUCAAAACGAUAGAUUUACUAAAACUUGAGAGUUUAUUUAUACUUUCAUUAAGUAUAACAUAAGAUUUUGUGGUAUCCACUUGUGUAAAUGUUUUAAAUUGACGAUCGAACCAGUUCCUUGUAUUCAUAUAGGAUCCAGGAGUGUAGCUGUACAAAAUCAUCAAAAUCGGAGUUAAAAUAACCGUGAAAUCGUGAUUUUUUCGUUUAUAAUCGUUGAAAAGUUUUGUCUCGUUACUUGAUCUCUGAAUGUUUUUUUUUUACGAUUUUUGGCGUAUGCGAUCUCGAAGUAUAUACAAACGAGUUUGACUGUUGGAUCGUUGAAACUAGUUUCGUACAAUGCGUAUCCCAUCAAUUUCAAUACAUUCACAAAGACUUGAAGUUUAUUUAUAAUUUCAUUAAGUAUAACAUAAGAUUUUGUGGUAUCCACUUGUGUAAAUAUUUUAAAAUGACGAUCAAAUUAGUUCAUUGUAUUCAUAUAGGAUCAACGAGUGUAGCUAUAAAAAUCAUCAAAAUCGGAGUUAAAACUACAGUUAAAUCGUGAUUUUUCGUUUAUAACCGUCGAAAAAUUCCUGUAACUUGAACUUUGAAAGUUUGUUUUUUGUCGAUUUUUGACGAAUGCGAUCUCGAAGUAUAUACAAACAAGUUUGACGGUUAAAUCGUAGAAUGCGUAUCUCAUCAAGUUGAAUGGUACAUAUAUUUAUUAAGUAGCUUUAAUUUUUUUUAUUUUGUACGUAUAACACUUAAGAAAUUGAAUGGUAUAUAUAUUUAUUAAGUAGUUUUAAAUUUAUUAUUGUACGUAUAACCCUUUGCACGACGCACCAACCAAUGCAUCGCGCAAGUUGUUGAAAUUUUGGCGGUACGAUUGAAAAAAAUAGGCGCUUUUUUUUUUUAAUUUUUCUCAAAUUACUUAUAAUUGCUCUCGCUUGGUCUCUCUCUUCCUUCUCGCUCAUCUCGCCCUCUCUCUCACUCCGUCUCGCUCUUCUCUCCCACUCCGUUAGACGAAUUACAAAGACGAAGGAAGACAGCAGCCACUACCCACCCAUCUGUUUCUCCUCCGCUCCACCCUCCGUCGGCGUUUUGGGCAUUUUACCUGAUAGGGAUGUGCACCACCAGUAGAGCCGCGACUUGUGGUACGCAUUCAACCGAGAGUCACACACUGACACAAGUACACUAUUUGCCUGUAAUCUUCGUCUCCGCACAACACACAUACGUGGGUCGGUAAGCCCUUCCAAUUUCCCAAUCAUUUCCCUUCUCAAAUUUUGACAUAUAUGAAUUCCCAGUAUUCCAAUUACCAGGAAUUCACAGUGUUUGCUGUUUGCGUUCCCAUUUCACUGUAAAUUUCAAUCCUCACUGCCAUUUUUCACCUUAGUUUCCAGUAAUCAGUGAGAAAAAGUGUAAAUUUACCUGUUUAAAUUUGUGGGUUUUCGUUCUAUUACCGUAUAAUGGCGAUUUCUAUGCUUUACGGAGCUCAGAAUCUCAAACUUGUCAAUGGAAUAAUAGCAGUAACACCAAGUGGGUUAGGUUCUGGUGGGAAAAAUUACCCUUAUGGGGUUUUUCCCAGAAGGGUUUAGUGAGCUAUGGCGGUAGGAGUCGAAACACCAAUCGCCGCACCAACUUGCCAAGGCUAAGGAGAAGGAGCCCUUGAAGGAAUGCAGGAAAAUUGAAGGGGAUGCCGAUGAUCUGCCGUACCCAACUGAUUACGUGGAUCGAUAUGUCUCUGCUGGAAGGUACAAUUUCUGCUUGUUUUGCUUCCUAUAAUCAGUGUAAUGAAUUUGCAUUUAAAGGAAUCUCAAAGUGUAAUGUGUUUACAUUUAAAGGAAUGUCAAGUGGCGUUUUGAGCAAUGGGGUUAUUUGUCUGAAGUUCGGGUGUAGAAAUGUAUCAUAAAUUUAGCCAAGCUUAUUAUCACUUAUUUCAAAUUUUAGUGUCAAAUUCUGUUAUAAUGUUUCCUUGUUGUCAGGUUUGUUUCAGAUUUACAUCUUUUUCUUUUUGCCUUUGCUAGAUUUUCAAUUUUGUUAUAAUGUUUCCUAGCGGGUUAAUAGCACUUUAUCAUAUUAUACUUGUAAAGCUUGGCAUGCCCGUCUUUGCUUCAAUCUUGAGGUCCAGUAGCUUUUAGUGUCAAAUUCCAUUUGACCAUGAAUUGUAGAUCAUCACCUGCUUUAAAAUUCAAAACUUGUCUGCCUGCUUUGAAUUGGAAGGAUUCAGUUUAAGUUUAAAAUAGGGAAUAAGUUGACUUACUUUGAAUUGGAAGGAUUCCGUUUAAGUUUGCCUGCUCUGAAUUGGAAGGAUUCAGUUUAUGUUUAAAACUUGUGAUUUAAGUUGUUGAGUUUAUGGCUUUCGCUUCAAAAUGCUCAUGGAUUAAGGAAAAUUUCCUGUUAUUUGAUUUAGUCCUCUCAUUUCUCGUAUGUGGUUAUGCAUCUAUUGCGAAUUCUUAGGGCAUAUCGCAUUUGUCUUUAGGCAUUCAAUUAUUUAGAGUUACCGUACUUACUCUUGCACUCUUGUCACCAUUGAUGAUCUAUCUGCCUGUGUAUUUACUUUGUUAUAUAUAUUUUGGGUCGUGUCUGUAAUUUGUACUUCUAUAGUUAAGUGUGUGGGGUUUGGCGUUUUGAUGUUUUAAGGUCAUUUAAUUGCAGAUAAAUGGUUGAAUUUUUCAGUGCAAAGUGUUAACUAGAUUUCUUGUGGGAUAUGGUCAAUGAUUGGGCAAUCUCUAUGGGAUUCGGUAUCUAGAAUUAAAGAUUACUCCAUUCUUUUCUGUUAAUGUGGAUUGAUAUGCUGUUGUAUCUUCAGUCGGUUCCCUUUUUCAGGAGGUUAUGAUGUCUUUGGGGCUUGGUGUCAUUCUACAAUGUAGUUUUGAUUGUAGGGUUUUUAUUUUUGGGUAUAUCUCUUGUAUUGCUGGUCCAUUGCUUGUUGUAUUUUGCUGUUUAGCACAUUUUAGUAAAAUUUAUCAAUCUUCUACAAAAAGCAUUAUUUUUGUAAAGUGAUAUGUAUAUAUUGUGCAUGGCCUAAAGUGUGUUUUUCCCUGUAGGCAUCUCCAAUUCAUCUAGCUGGAAGGCAAGUUUACAUUGAGAAGCAGAGACCAAACAGCACUGGAUUAGCAGCUCGAGGAAGUAUGUGCUUAAUUUCAUUAUUUUUUUCUUAACAUCUUUGAUGUGGCAAAAUUGUCAGACUUGUGAAUGCAUGAUGUUAUUCUUAAAUACUGUAUCUAUUGGAAAAACAUGAAUGUAAGGGGAUGUAUUGGGGAUGUUGUGUGGAGUCCUCGAGUGGCCCUUACGGUUGUGUUUGUCCUAAUGUUGGCAGCUGCUGCAAGGAAGUGGUGUUGCCUUCAUAAAUCUUAGAAAUUUUUUGUAGUAGAGAUAGAGAACAUACUUUUUCCCAAUUAGUCUCGGAAUCAAAUUUGCAUUGCAAUCUUCCUUCUUCUAAGAUGUCGUUUAGAUGUGCAGUACUAGCGUCAAGGUUUUUCAUGGAACCAAAUCAUUUGUCCUGUUCAUGAGCUUACUGAGUCUAUUGGCAUAGCCAGCAUUUAGAAUGUGAUCUACCAAACUAUUAAGCAUCUAUGCAUCUGUUUUCCUUAGAGAUAACAUUUAAUUUGCUCAACUUUUGGUCUCCUUACGUGGAUUUUGAAUUUUUCAACCAGGAGGAAGGGGCAGAGGCAGAGGAGGUUACCAAACUGAUGCCACAAGGGGGCGUUUUGGUGGCCGGAGUUCAAGCAGGGGUAGUUACGGAUGGAGAUUACAACAGACUGAGAGGCAAUGGUUUUCAUCAGCGUGGCAAGGCUACACCACCAGCCGAUACUUAGUAGCCUGAUGCAUCAAGCCUAAAAGACUACUUGUUGUAGUUUUUUCUUUUAUGUUUUUUUUUUGGGUCAAUUAGUUUUUUCUUUUUUGUUCGAACAUCUUGUACGUACAUUUUCAUAUAUUUUAUAAUUAAAUAUUUUGCUUGGUUAAUUCAUUAUUGUUUAGAAUUUAAUUACAAUAUUUAUUAAAAAUUUAAAACAAAAUAUUUUUGACGAAAACAUAAAAAAGGGAUUUGCGCGACGCAUGCCUACGUCGUGCAAAGACAAUAAGCCACUUUGCGCGACGCAUAUCUUACGUCGUGCAAAGCCACGAAGGCACUUUGCACGACGCAUGACUACGUCGCGCAAAGACACCUAUGCCACUUUGCGCGACGCAUGUAACCCCUUCGUCGCGCAAAGCUUUCUGUCACUGCCUUGCCGCGACGGUUUGCGCGCGACGAAGGUUCGUUGAGCAAAGUUUUGCGCGACGUUUUUUGACUUUGCGCGACGAAGGACCUGCGUCGCGCAAAGUGUUUUUUUUACUAGUGGUUGUGCAAAUUGGAGAAUUGGCUAGGUUUUGGACCAAAGCAAUAAAGGCGUGGUGCAGAUGAAAAUAAAUAAGAAACAAAAAUGCAUCAUCAAAAGAUGGAGAGAGCAAGGGAGGAGGUGGUCAUGCUGCCGUGGUCAGAGUAGGGUGAAAAACGAACACGAAAGCCAGAGGGAUGGACCAGCUGCGGCUUUGGGACCAUUAUUUGUUUAAUUAGGGUAGGGUUGCAGACUUGCAGAUGAAGACUAUUGAGGGCCAUCGAGAGAGACAUUGCAUGUAAAUAAGACUUUUGUUCAUCAAAUCCAAUGAUAACACAAUGAUGUUCAAAAAAUUAAAGAAAGAACAAAGCCACCAUCGAUAGUAUAUAGAUAUAUCUAACUCGGAAAAUGAAACUUUCUUGCAACCAAUGCACCGUACCAUAUUAUUCGUUUGAUAGACAUUUGUCAUGUAUUUAAAUAGUGAAUCAUCCAUGUAAACGGUGAAUCAUUCUUUCGAUAGACAUUUAUCAUGUGUUUAAAUCGUAACUUAAUUUACUUAUAAAUUAAUGUAAAGUUCUUCCUCCCAUUAAUGUGGGAUUUAUUCUCAACAUAUCUCUUCACGUGUGACGAAUUUUCAAGCCAAAGACGUGGACAAUACCACUGGAAUGAUGUGGAGCACGUGUGACCGUUAAACUUCACACAUGAAACAAUCCACUCCAAUACCCCGAAAAAAAGAUAUGUUUCUUUUGUAACUAAAUUAAGCGGAUGAUAAUAAAAAAUUUCGAUCCUGCACAAACAAGGAUAAAAUUUUACCCAAACAUUCAACUAACUACAGUCAAAGUAAACGUGUAAAAAAAUAUUGACUUUGUUGAUUUUAUUUAUAGAGUAAACACCUUUAUAUAUCUCACAAGGACUUCAAAGAGUAGGAUUUCUAAGAAAGAACCGAUUACAUUAAAUUACAAAAUAUCUUUUAUGCGUUAAGGCAUGCAAAAUGUGAGCUGCGUGGUGCCGGCGAGAUGGAAAAUAUAUACUAGCCAAAUUGUUAAAUUGAGUUUGAAACCACGGGCUGAGUUUGUUAAUUAUAUCAAAUAUUUUUAGCAACAAUUGAAGCAGAACACAAAAGACUGAACGAAGCUCUUCGGAGCCCCAGAGUAAGAUGGGCCAGACCCAUUUUGGUACAAACCCUAACCCUAAAAUAAAAAUCGAAAACUGAUUGACAAAUGCAUGCAAUUCAACCCUUAUUUUCGUACAAGUUCGGUAAUAUCUCCGGUGGUCAUGGUUAUGGUUCCAGGAAUUUCAGUUACAUGAUGAUUAAUCGUCAUGGUUAUGGUGUAUUCGAUUGGUCAUAUCUCCAGUGCCCACUUUAAUCCGACAUAACCUUCACCAUCUUCCGCCAUUUUCCACCCAAACACGCAUUAAUUAAUCAAAAACUAUUCCGCCCAAUUAAUUAAUUAAUCAUGAUUAAAUUCUUGUCAUAUAUUCAUGCAUUCAAUUGCAUAAUUUGUACUUGCCUCUGUAUAUUGCAGCGCAUGUGUUAGGAUCCAUCCUUGCAAGCGGGACUUUAUGCCUUGUUUUGGUGCCCCAAGCGGCAUAUUUUGGAACAUAACUAGUUGGAUCAGACGUUCGAUAUUUGGUCAUGCAGAUCAUUGCCUCUUUUGUCUUGAUGUUUGUUAUUUCAGGCAUCGCCACAGAUAGUAGAGCUGUUAGUAAUUAAUCCCUAAUAUGCUCAUACAUAUGCAUAUGUGCACUGCAUGCAUGCAUGCAGAUUGGAGAAUUGGCAUUAAUUGCUGUAGGAAUGACAAUAACUAUCGACGUCCUCGUUGCCAGGUACAUAUAUACAUAUACAUAUAGCACAUAUAUAAAAUACAAUAAUAUUGUACGUUUGGAUAUAUAAAACUAACGUACUUGAAUACAUAUAUAUGACAUGGAGCAGACCGGUCUUAGGGGCAUCGAUGGACCCAGCACGGAGCCAAGGGCCAACAAUAGUGAUGCACACAGACAAGGGAAUAUCGAUUUAUAUUGUAGGUCCAUUCGUUGGCACCAUAUAGACUCGGUGGAGUCGCCUACAAUCUCAUUCGGUUCGCUGACAAACCACUGAGAGAGUUAACUGACAAAACCAAUACUGCGGGAGUUAAGAAGAGUGCUUCCUUCAUCAAAUACGUUUCCGAAAACAAUUUUUAUAGAACUUAAUUAUCACGAGCUGGUGGUCCAAUGGUAAAAGGUGGAUUACGAGACUUCUUUAAAACUGAAAACUGGAAGUCUCUGGUUUGAAACCCACUACUAGUGUGGAAGCUAGACUUGUGGCCAAGGGGAUGCUGAAAUGCCUCUGUUAGUCUUCCCCCUCCGGGAAGAAGUGAAUAACCGUGACUUGUCGCCAAUUGUCCCCUUUUUUUAAAAAAAAAAAAUUCGUAGUUAAUUCAUAAUCAAUUAUUACGUACUGUUGUGAUGGAAUCGAUUGGUCGUCGAUAUCUUCUCCUUCUACAGCCUGCUGCUGCAUGACAUGCAUGUCAAAUAGGUCGUAUGUUGUUUGGAAGGAAGAAUAAAAAAAAUUUUAAUUUCUUUUUUGUUGAUUUCUUAAUCAGUGUUAAAUUAAAUUGUUUUUUCAUAUUUUAUUAUUGGGAAGUGUUAUUAGCACUCCAAAAAUCUUAUUCCACACUCCUCACAAGUGUAUUUUUCUUUCUAAAUAUAGAAAUUUUGGAGUGUAGAAUGAGAUUUUUGAAGUGCCAAUAACAAUUCCCUUAUUAUUUUAUGAAAUAAUUUGUAACUUUUGUGUCGUGCUUAUGAGGUAUUUUAGGUGUACAUUGAAUGCGGUCACAUGCGUGAUAUAAUACUAUUUCACGCAAAUUAUUUCCAAAAGCAUAGGUAGUUCCCAAUAAUUUCAACAGGUAACCAUAUAUAAUUGGAUUACAAUUUCCAUAACUAGUUACUCUAUCAAAAUCAUAUUUGAUUUCAAUUGAUGUGUAACCAUGCAUAUACAUAAUGAUAUAUAGCUGCCUUUAUUUAAUUAAUAUGCAUAUAAAUGUGACCUUCCUGAGAUGCUCCUUUUCAUAAACUUCAAACUAAUUAUUAAUUUAGUUAUAAACAUUAAAUAAUCGCACUUUGUUUAAAAAAGUUUAGAUCCAAAACACAUGGAGCUCCUCACAUGCGUUAGUCAUACGUUGCAUAGAGCAAAAAUCUCACAUGUCCUUCUAUUCAAAACUAUCACAUAUUUCUGACUAGCUACUUUAAUCGUUUACCAAUCGUUACAGGUGUAGUAGGAACUUGUGAAAUCAAUCAAUUGUACUAGCUAAUAUAUAUAUAUAUAUAUAUAUAUAUAUAUUCGUCAAAGGAUCUAUAUAAAUAUAAGUUGUCAAGUUAUUUUCAAAACCAUCUUAAUCGAUCCCUUUGUUUUUUAUAUAGUCUUCAAAGUUAUGGUGAUCAGCCAUAGACUUUUCCAUCUGAUAUGUCCCUAGCUCCCACCAAAUGUAUCUGGGGAAAAAACCCUUGACUCUCUCUAAUCUUAUGGUGCCACAUGGGUAAUUUUUGGUUGUCAUUGUCUUUACCAUCUUUGUAAUAUAAAUGGAUCGAUGUCACCAACAUUUUGUUUCUAAGAAAAGAAAUUAAAAUUAAAAAGCUAUACAUGUCAUAUAACAACUUGUAUUAUAGUUUAGCUAUAUUUUUCUUUCUUUGGAAACGAGAGAUCUCACAUUUAACUUCCAUAAAUAACAAGUUUGUAUAAUAUUUGUGUUGAAUUUGAUAUCUGAUUAUGUCUUAUUUUAAAGUAAAAUAUCAUCGUAUGAAAAAAAUAUGUAUGCUCUAUUUCAUGUUUGGUUGAUAUAAGCUCACUCUCACUGGGGUUAGGUGUCUAUUCUUUUCUUUUCUUUUUUGAAUUGCUAUGUAUUAUUUUCAAGUGGACGAAACCAGAGGAAUACUACCUCAACCUACAUGCUCCACUCACAAAACUUUAACAUACAAGCUUCAACAAAAGAAAAUUCAGAGAACUUAGCGAAGAAGGCUUUGGUGUAUUUAACACAAUACGUUGAAAUGAAGGAAAGCUAUUUAUUGAUAUCCCCGAUAAGUCACAAAUAUAUACAUAUACAUGAGUCAAAAUAAACAAACAAGAGGGAGCCUUCACAAAGGUUGCUUAGGAGAAGUCUCAGCAGUCGGUAGAGCCCCAGAAAGAGCAGGCAUUGGAGGGGGAUCAUUUGGAGCCUCAGUACUGGACAGAACCCUAGAAGGAGGAGCCAGCAGAGGUUGAUCAUUUGGAGCUUCAUUACGCGGUACAGCCCCAGAAGACGAAGGCAAUAAAUGACUUUGGAACAAACCCACAAAUCUCUGAUGAUCAAGUAAAACCUGACCAUCAGAUUCCUUCAUCUGGUCAAGCUUCCUCUUCAUGUUUGUAGCAUAGUCAUGUGCGAGCCGGUGCAACUGUUUAUUCUCAUGCUUGAGCCCUCUAAUCUCCUGUUUGAGACUCAUCACUUCAGCCGCCAAUGAUUCAACUUGGUGGGUUCGAGCAAAUAGGCGUUGGGCCAUGUUAGACACAGAACCUGCACACUGAAUACUGAGAGCCAGAGAAUCCUUAACAACCAACUCAUCAGACCGUUUGGAAAGUAGUCUGUUAUCUUUGGGAGUGAGAAGGUUCCUGGCCACUACCGCAGCGGUCAUAUCAUUCUUCAUCACGGAAUCCCCAACGGUAAGAGGACCAGUAGGGGAGACGAAUGAUGGACGCCAUAUGUUGUCUGGAGAAGGCGUGACUGCCUCUUAAACAAGGUUCAAGUCAAAACGACGGUCGGAUGGGCCAGACAUUUUCAAAGGUGUUGAAGAGAGAAGAGGUUGGACAAAUCAAGAUCUUAGAAGUGUAAGAAUAAUGAAGCUUCUACUGGUGGAGAUUCAAGUGUGCUUUGGAACUUAAUGCCAGCCUCUAUAAAAAUCUGCACUUGACGGAGCUUCAGAAAUCGAAGAGGCGUUUGCUUUCUCAAAAGCUGGGCUGCUCAGAGACCACGAGACGUUUACUUUCUCAAAAGUUAGGCUGCUCACCACGAAGGCCGAUCUUAGAAAUCGAAGAGGCGCUUGCUUUCUCAAAAGCUGGGCUGCUCAGAGACCACGAGGGCCGAUCUCAGAAAUCGAAGAGGCACCUACUUUUCCAGCCUUGUCAGCACCUGUCAGCUUUGCGGAAAUUAUGGGCAUUAUGUCGAAGAUUUCUGGUGAAGUAGAAAGCACAUGAAUCUUACUGUUCAAUCACCCACUUCCCACACGCAACAUUAGCUCAUGGGUACCACAGAUAACUUUGCCAAAGUUCUCUGACAAAGUUGAGACAUGUGAAGCUUGCAGCUCCCACUACACCGCUCUGACCAAGAAGGGUAAAAGAAUAGCAAAGAAACAGCACUAACAAAGUUUAGACACAUAAAUUUUAAAGGUCUAGCUACCAUAUUAUUACCCACAAGGGUAAAGGAACAGUACCACUGCUGGAUAAUUGGAAAGUCCCUGUGUUUCAACCUCUGUGCUUCGUGGCAAGAUAGACUAGCAAACAUGCCCAACCUUUUCUCACAUUCGAGAAAACACUCCCAACAAGAUUGCUUGCUCCAAAAUCGAAGAGGCACCGCCCUCCGAAUCUCGAGAGCCAGACUCCCAACAUGAUUACUUUCUCAAAAAUCGAAGAGACACCGCUAUCCGAAUCUCGAGAGCCAGACCCCUAGCAGGAUUGUUUUCUCAAAAAUCGAAAAGGCAUCGUUAUCCGAAUCUCGAGAGCCAGAUCUCCGACAAGAUUGCUUGUUCGAAAACCGAAGAGGCACCACUUUCCCAACUUCAAGAGCCGAAUCUCCUUGGAUAAAGCUUGUCUGUAAUCUUUACACGCAACAUCAGAUUUCCAGAUACCACAGACCACUUUUUCAAAGUGCUCUGACAGAGUUAAAACAUGUGAAGCUGGCAGCUCCCACUACCGUGUUAUGACCAAGCAGGGUAAAGGAAUAGCAUUACUACUUGUUGUUAAGGAGACUCCUAUAUAUGUUGACCUCCAUCCCUAACAGACAGGCAAACCUGCAAAAAUGCUCAACCUUUCCUCAUAUCUGAGAGGGCACUCCCAAAGAAGCCUUUCGAAAUAUUCAGCUUUCUUUCCCCCCGAUAAUACCUCUGCAAACAAGCUAUACUAGAGCAAGAAUAUCUCAUAUCAUCAGGGUUAAAAGCAAGAGUAUCCCAUAUCAUGUUUUUUCCCUGUCUUUUCCUUUGGCCUUGUUCUUACCUGUAAGACAAGGAGAAAGAGAGCAAUCAGUCAGCACUUGGAAUCAAGCUUCCAGUCAGGAACUGACUGCCUGGAACCCCCUACUUGAUUACUUACCUGGCAUUGCUCUCGAGUACUCAUCUUCAACAUCUUAUGCUUCCAGGGAAGAUACCGCAUCUGCCUGAGGAACAUAUUGAAGGAAUUAUUUUGAAAAACAUGUUCAUUUGAGCAACAUCAUAUAGCAUGCAAUUAACAAUUAAAGACGGAAUCAUGCUUGUAUGCACUCAAAAACAAAACAUUACCAUGAAAUUCAAAGCCUAGUAGAUUGGUGAACCAAUAAUCAACUCAAAACAAAGUGAGUUGAAAUUAAUACCUUUGUAGAUUCCUCUUUGCAUAAGCAAAGGCUAAUCACCUAGAGAGAUAGGGGCCUUCAUUCCUUGCUUCUUAGAUCCAUGGAUUUGGAUGGAAGAAUAGGUUCUCCAAGUUCCCAAAAUUGAGAACCUCUAAGUCUCUUCACCAAGGUUAGAUUGUAGAAGAAAUGAGUGACCUUGGAGUAGUAGGAUUGCUAGAUGUACCCUCCAAGGUGUUGGCCUCUUUAGAGAGAAAAUGGAGAGACAAUUCUCACCAAUUUUCCCCCAAAAUAAACCCUUUUAAUCCUUAAUCACAUUAUGAAUAUUUGGCUAUAAAGUCCUUUAUAUAGUCCCUUCAAAUAAGUGACCUAAAGAACCAAAACCCUAAUUCAUCUAACAUGGCCGGCCUACCUAGGGAUUUUUGGGCUUUUGGGCCUUUGUGAAUCUUUAUUCAUUAAGUUGUCAUACAACUUAAGUCAAUGGGCUUGACUUUCGAAGCCCAUUGGGCCUUAAGGUCCAAAACUAUCCCGAGGUCUUUAACGAACUUAUUCGUUUGAUUAAUUAACAUAUUAAUUAAUCCUUGCCAUAAUUUAAAUGAUUAAACCAUUUAAUCAUUCUUACUCAUCUCCGUUUAAUCUUCAAUCUCCACCUUUUAUGGUGUGCGAUCCAUUAGGUUCCUUUUAGCGAGGUAGUGGGCGAUUAAAACCAUUUUACAUUGAUUGUGAAUUGAAACUAUUUUCAAUUCUCCCUUUAGUGAUUACACACGUUUAGGGCUUCCACAAACCAUGGUUGACGCCUAGCAGCAUGUCAUGGUUACCCAAGCUAAUCAGAAGAGGUUAGAGAACCUAUUCAGUUCGGGAUUACAAAUGCAAUACGAUCUUUCUCUAAUCUAAUACUCUUGACCACAUUGUUUGGUUUGAUAGUUUAUUUGUUCAUGUCUACUAUCCAAUGUGAAUCUUGUGCUUAUAUGAUUUACUUGAAUGUGAUUUGGAACGCAUUCCCUAAUCUCAUUCAUACUCUGGCCAGAGAUUCUAAAUCAUAUCAUAGAGUAUUCUCCCUCAACUGUUUGAAGGUUAGAGAUCCCUUGUUGCGCAUUCACUUGUCUCCAUAGCUAAGUCACUUGACCCCAACGAUGCCGUGGACACCCCGAGGGGGUGACUUUGACAUAAUCAAAGAUCAAGGACUUAACCACAAGACAACUGUGAUGCCUCAGGUCAAAGGACUACUUUGCAUUAUCCCAACCAUGAGUUCUUAUGUGACAUGGAAUAUGAGAACUCUUCGUUGAUCACGUUCAGUGUACUCAUUCUCUAUUGAGCACCUACGUACUUGUCUUGAUGUCACACACACCAAUGACUCGAGACUAAUCACUCUUCCUGAGAGAAGACAUAGUACGUACCGAUCUUAACGGACUGUCAAUGCCCAAUUGACAAUCCUAUGAUCAGGAACAUUUAGGAUGUGUCUACGAAAGAAUGGUCUCAUGAAUCUAACUUCAUUAGAUUACAUUCUCCCAAUCACAUAUUCCUUGGACUUUAUCGUUUAAGCAUAUAACAUUUAUAUGAGACGGCUCAAACAAUAAUCUUUGCCCUUUAUAUGUAAAACUAGAUUAGUUUAACAUGUGAAAUGUCCGUAAAGUAUCAUCACAUGAUUGGCUUUAGGGCACAUUUCCAACACAUAUAGGGCAAGUGAGAAGGAUACAAGGAAGCAUGUGGAGACAAGCGUAACAGCACACGUGCCGAUACAUCCACUACUCUGUCAAAAGCAAAAGUAUCUCAUAUCAGCAGGGUCGAACGUACUAUAGAUUUGAUGGACUUGUUUUGACCCUCAAAUUCUUCAGUCGGCCUUAUACUCUGGAGGAAACCAGAAAACCCUCCAGCCUAGUUCAAGAAUAAGCCUGUGGAAAGUUACUUCUUCAAAAGCAAAAAUAUCCCAUAUCAUCUCUUCUCAUUUUUCUUCUCUUUAUCCUUCAUGCUGCCUACAAGAUAGGGAGAAUGUGAACAAUCAGCCGGAACUCGAAAUCAAAGUUCUGAUCUGGGACUGAUUGCUUGGAGCUCUGAUUGCUUACCUUGUCUGUCACCUCUUUCAGCAGAUCCCCUAGCUCGACGACUUGGAGGACUCCUACUACAUGGUUUGUAUCGCGCUUGACCAAGCCUGAAACUACAAGUAAGCUUCAAGUGAAAUUGAUACAUUACCUUGUGCAUCUCCACCAGUUAAAGAUACCACCCCUGGAUGGAGGAAGAGUACUUCCAGAGAAGAUGCCACAUCUACCUACGAGACAGAUAAGGCAAGUCAAGACGAUACCACACUCCAGAACUUAGAAGUUUCGUGAUUACGAGAUCAUUCUCCCACAAUAUUUCCUAAUGUCAUUUGUACUAAAUCAUUCACUAGUACUUACUAAAAGAGAGCUUGAACCUAUGUACUUGUGUAAACCCUUCACAAUUAAUGAGAACUCCUUUAUUUCGUGGAUGUAGCCAAUAUGGGUGAACCACGUACAUCUGGUGUUUGCUUUCCUAUCUUUAUAUCCAUUUAUAUACUUAUCCACACUAAUGACCGGAGCAAUCUAGCGACGAUCACAAAAAGCGACCGUUUUCGCUACCUAGGAUCUAUCUUGCAAGAGAACGGAGAAUUAGAUAGAGGUCUCAACCAUAGAAUACAAGCUGGAUGGAUGAAGUGUAAGAGUGCAUCCGGCGUGUUGUGUGACCGUCGUAGGUCACUGAAGCUCAAGGGAAAAUUUUAUAGGACGGCAAUAAGGCCAGGGAUGUUGUAUGGCACAGAAUGUUGGGCGGUGAAGCAUCAACACGUACACAAAAUGGGUGUAGCGGAGAUAAGGAUGCUUCGUGGGAUGUGUGGGCACACGAGAAAGGAUAAGAUUGUGAAUGCGGAUAUCCGAGGUAAAGUAGGAGUAGCCGAAGUUGAAGGAAAGAUGAGAGAAAAUCGGUUACGGCGGUUUGGACAUGUGCAAAGAAGGCCUACUGACGCUCCGGUUCGAAGAUGUGACUACGGAACAGAGGUUCGGGGCCGAAGGGGUAGAGGAAGACCUAGGAAAACUUUGGAAGAGACCCUAAGAAAAGACUUAGAGUACUUGGAUCUAACGGAGGACAUGACACAAAACCGAGCGCAAUGGUGUUCUAGGAUUCAUAUAGCCGACCCCACUUAAUGGGAAAAGGCUUUGUUGUUGUUGUUGUUGUUGGACGAAACCAGAGGAAAAAAUAGAAAAUAAAAUAGAACAAAAAUUAUUAGUGUUCUUCUAACGGACAGGAUUACAAGAACACAAUUCAAUAAACGGACAGAAAUUGAGUUUAGAGAGGCGUUGCAGACCGGUAUCUUGUAUAUGUUGGCCACGGCGGGACAUGCACAGCCCUUGCACAUGGCUCCUCCACAUCUUUGGACUUCGUCCCAUAUGUGUAUGAUAAUGUAUUUGUGACUAGUCGGCCCACCCGGAUUCUUAACCGAAUACCUAAAUUCCUACGUUUUCUAAUCUAACGGUUCUAAUCUUUUCACAAGACUAUAUUUGUUGGAAAAGAAGGUAUGGUUGGAGGAAGCUGAUCGUCCUGGGCAGAACAGAAGGCAUUAACGACGGAAAGAACGGAGGAUAUGAAGGCGUUAUCGAGGUGUCAGAAGGCAAUGAUAAUAUGAUGAUGCAAAUGCAAACCAACCAUUUUAAGCAAGUCCAACUUCACAUUUUGAUUUCGUAUAUGACUACACUAAUCACUCUCUCAAUCACUCACCAAAAAGUCUUAUGUCUCUAUCUCUCUCCUACUCUUUCUCUCUAGAAACCUCGGAAGCUUGUUAGCCAAACAACAAGAUCUAAUCUUGCAACGCAAAAAACACGAAACCAAGAUCUAAAGACAAAGACAGACAAGUGGGUUUUGUGUCCUAGAUGCAUGUGAGUGUGUUUUUGCUCCUAACACGCUUGCUUCUGAUUCCCGACUAACAUUUUAGCUCCUUCAUUCUUCAUAACCCAACUGUUUCAUCCUCUGGAAUCCAAUCCCACAGCACUGUUUGAUAUGCUUUUCUUGUAGCUGUGAUAUGGGGUUUUGACUAAGGUAAAUUCUUAACUUUUCUUGCAAUUAUUUAACUCGCUCAUUUGGGUUUUGGAUAAAUUAAUGGACUUGCUUCCCAUGUUUUGCUUGCUUAUUAAUUUCUGAUUUUGUCUCUGAAAGAUUGGCAUUUCUUUGAGGUUUUGAGGGCAGAUUGUAGUGAUGUCUGGGGAGAUAGAAGAGCCCUUUAGUUUUAGCUUUCAGGUACUUCUCUUCUUAUGCUCUUUAAUAAUUUUGUUAGUGAGAAUGCUUCUUAAAUUCUACACCAGUAUGAGAUUAACUGCUUAAUCAGGAAGAUUAUGGCCCGUUUGAUAACCGUUUAAUUUUAUGUGCUUGAUAUGAGGUUCAAAGACGGAUAUAAAUAUACGCCUAGAGGUUGAUUAAAUGGAAUGUUCACGUUAUGGUAAUUAGUAAAUCGUACCAAAAGCGCGAUGAAAUUGCAUACCGGGGUGAUUAGUGAACUCUGAUCUGUUUUUCUGAUCGCUGAUUUGCAUCCCUUUGAUUUACUUUCAGUAGAAGUGCUCCGAAAUUGGAUAUUAAUGCAUCCAUUCUCCCACAAUGUGCCAUUCUGCUACGAAUUUUCAAACUAGUGGAUGAAUUGACAAAUUAUGUUUAGUGAUUCAUUCUGUUUUGUAGUCAUCUGCUUUUAUAACAGCUACUUCUUCGAAAUGGACAGGCAGACUCUUUACACUCUGGUUCCAUAUCAUUUGGGAGGUUCGAAAACGAAGUUUUAUCUUGGGAAAAGUGGUCGUCGUUCUCGCAUAACAGAUAUGUUGAAGAGGUUGAAAAAUGCUUGAAACCGGGUUCAGUUAUUGAGCGGAAAGCUUACUUCGAAGCUCAUUUCAAGAAGAAAGGUUUUCCCAAACCAAAUUUAGUUGAGUGCUAUAGCGGUACAAGUUAUCAAGUCUGUGAAAAUGGUGUCUUGGAGAGUGAUGCGUACGGAGAAGAAUUUGAAGACGGAAAUGAAGACAACAGUUGCGCUCAAUUUGAUGAGGGCUCCGAGGGUUCAGAGUACCACGGAGACAGUCAAGUGAAUGAAUAUGAAAAGGAAGAUCCUGAAGUUUCAUUGUCUGAUCUUCAGAGGGCAUCAGAGUUGAACGAUGAAGAUAUUCUGGUCGCUAUUAAAGAUGAUAAUUCCGAGGAAACAAAUCAAAUUGGAAAAGGUUGUGACAUGUUUUCUUCAAUUAUCGAUGAACCAGAGAACAAUGUAAUUGAGAAUCAUGAUGGUGAUGCUGUGAAUGCUGAUGAAUCAUAUAAUUCUGUUAAGAUAAACCCCAAGACUGCAGCAGAUGAUGAAGUUAACAUGACGAUUGUGGAAAGUUUGCAUAGUUCUUCUUCAAAGGUAUGUUCUUCUAUUAACUCAUUUUUGUUUAGUUGGUAUCAGUAUUAACUAUAAAUUCCUCGAUUUCCUGUCUAGUUGAAGGCUGGAAAAGAAUGCAAAAUUUCCAAGUCCAGAGUAAAAUCUAAGGCCAGCAUUUCUCCGGUUAAGAGAAGUAUUUCUUCUGAGUCGUCUAAAGAUUGUACAAAGAACUCUAAUACAAGAGAAAGAGAGGGUACACGAAGAAAAACCGCCAUUCCAACUACACAAUCAGUUCCCAGGACUCCAAAAUAGAGGUAAGCAUUUUAUCGUCUUAAUGAUGUUCUUCACCCUCUACAUAGUAUAUUAUAAGCAUAUUGGUUUCUCUAAAAACGGUGUGCCUUUGGAUUCUACACGCAGGAAUCUACAAAUCUGAAGGGAAAAUUUGCUCACGAAAGUAGAAGGUAUAUAUUGGUGAUUGCAAGUAGAAAUCCUAGAUGCUUUACUGAAUGGAACCUCAUAUGCAUACUUCUUGCAUUGUUCUAGUGGUAAGAAACUUGGUGAACCUCAACCUCCUGCCGUCAAGCCUGAGUCCAGAGGACGCCAAACGGCAAACAGGUUUAUUAGAAUUUCUUACUGAAUGCUUUGAGUGUUUCUAUCUUUCAAACUGUAAAAUUUUCGUGAAGUCACCCUUCUGUAUUCCUCUCUCGUAUAGGCUUCACCAAAGAGUCAAUUUGACCAAGUCUAAUAUAAGAUCAAGUGUUGCAACUUUCAAUUUCAAAAGUUCUGAACGAGCAGAAAGGAGGAAAGAGGCAAGCCACCAUGUACUUUCUCUGAAUUUGUUGUUUCUUUAGAUUUUGGUUUCAGAUUUAUAUGGCUUACAAUGCUGAAAUUGACUUGUUCCUUUGUCCUUAUGGCUCAUACAAUCCAGUUCUUCACAAAGAUGGAAGAAAAAAUGCAUGCCAAGGAAGAUGAGAUGAAUAAGAUCCAAGCAAAAAAGCAGGUAUAUGAAAUCAUUUGAUUACGUUCAUGUGAAUAUAAUACAGAAUUAUUUCACAAAUUCAUAUUUUCGGAUGCAUCAAUGUGUUGAAAAGAUAAUUAUAUCCUUCAAACUAGUGCUGUACUUGCCAACGGCGGUUCUAAUUCCUAUUUGGAUGAUAAAGUAUAUAACUGAGGGAGAUGCAUGAUUGAUGGGUUUCGGUUAAUGUUAUUGCUGAAUUUUCCUGAAUGCAUGCUAAUGAAACUUCUCUUAAUAUUCUCAACGGGUUUCGGUUAAUGUUAUUGCAGGAAAAAGCCGAAGCUGAGAUGAGACAACUCCGCAAAAGCCUCAACUUUAAAGCAGCACCAAUGCCUUCCUUCUACCAUGUAGCUGUGAAUGCAGCGCCUGAUGGGAGCAAGGUAAAUAACUGCCAUUCAUAAAGGCAUGAACUUCCAAGUGAAUCGAUGAGUUCAAAUUUGAAAUAGAGCAUAAAUUCAAGAUUAGAGGAUGACUUUUUGUUCCACUGUGUUGCAUGGUUCACCACUUUGCCUAAAACUCCUGCGGGAAGGAUGAAUCGCUUCCGAAAAGGAAUCUAUUGAUUCUCUCCCAAUUGAUUGGACCGUAGGUGUGAUGAUUUACUUCACGGGUGAAGUCUCUGGUUCUAGUCCAGGAUGGCUCAGCUGCGCCAAGGAAAAGAAUAGAAGAAGCAUUUCACUCCUUCAUGCAUGCUCCACUUGGCUCGGGAGGAUAUAGCUCAGUUGGUAGAGCUCCGCUCUUGCAAUUGGCUCGUUGCGAUUAUGAGUUGGAUGUCUAAUUGUCCAGGCGGUAAUGAUAGUAUCUUGUACCUGAACUGGUGGCUCACUUUUUCCAAGUAAUAGGGAAGAGGACUGAAACAUGCCAUUGAAAGACUCUACUGAGACAAAGAUGGGCUGUCAAGAACGUAGAGGAGGUAGGAUGGGCAGUUGGUCAUAUCCAGUAUGGAUCAUACAUAAACAAUAGUUAGAGUCGGCAACUUUUCUAGGGUUCCCUCAUCUGGGAUCCAUGGGGAUGAAGAUCAAGUUGGCCAUUAGGAACAUCUUGAUGCACUAUCUCCCUUCAACCCUUUGAGCGAAAAUGCGGCAAAAGGAAGAAAAAUUCAUGGACCGACCCCAUCAUCUCCACCUCGUAGGAACUACGAGAUCACCCUAAGGACGCCUUCGGCAUCCGGGGGGUCGCAAACCGACCAUAGAACCCUGUUCAAUAAGUUGACUGCAUUAGUUGUCCGCUUUUAGGUUGGGUAGUAAGGAUCGAAGAAGGGCAAUCACUCAUUCUUAAAACCAGCAUUUUUAAGAACAAGGAGUCGGGUGGAAAAGGGGGGAAAAGCUCUCCGUUCCUUGUUCUCUUGUAGCUAGAUCCUUUGGAACCACAAGAAUCCUUGGUUAGAAAGGGAUUCCAACUCAGUACUUUUCCCUUUGAGAUUUUGAGAAGAGUUGAUUUUUAGAAAGCACAGUUUAAUGAAAGUUGUAAGCUAUGUUCGGAGGGAGUUAUUGUGUAUCAUUGGCCUCUAUGGUAGAAAUAGUCGGGGCCCUGAGAGGCGGUGGCAGAUGUUAGCGGUUCGAGUCCACUUAUCUCCAACUCGCGAAUUUAGCCGAUACAAAGUUAUAUGAUAGCACCCAAUUUUUUCUAUUCGGCAGUUCGAUCUAUGCUAUGCUUUAUCAUUUUAUGUUUUUUUUUUUUUGCACCAAACAGUUCUUUUCGGAAUGUGAACAAGAUUUUGAAAUGGAAAUUUGAAAAAUAAGGGCCCCGUUAACCGCGAUAUCAUGGAUUUUCUAUAUAUUUUUCAGGUUGUAUCUACCAAAUUCUCUAAAGUACAAAGCAAGUCAACAAAUCCAGGGAGUGGAGCCGCUGCAAGAUUUCCAUCACAUUCAGAGGCAGGCAAGGUUGAACCUCCCACUGCUAACGUUUCUGUAAACACAGCUGAUUUGCAUGAGGCCUCGAGAGAAACUAACAGCAUCAUGGCUGAUCCCUCUGAAACUAGUUCAGUUUCUUCAGCUACACUGAGCAGCAGAAACUUAUCCCGGGAUACUGCAACUAAAAGUGAACACCCCAGGACGAAAGGAAGGGAGAAGGAUGCUAAUUAUACGCAGAAACAUCGGUUAUUAGAGAGCGGUAAAAUGGCAAAAAGUCAGAAAGCUGAAGGGAAGCAGAAAGUGGGAGUCCAAAAAAAUGGCAGAGAGAUGGCAAGGAAGGGUAUGAAAGGCGGUGUCGGCUUUGGAAGCAGUUCAAGAAUGGGUCAUCUAACGGUUGGUGUUGCCUCAUGAAUGAACACCAAGAGAUCAAAUAUAUUCAGCCGUGCAGGAUGAACACUGCAAGCCUGAAAUUUAAUGAAAGCAAAGCUUGUAACAAACCAUGCAGACGAAGGGAUAAUAAUAUAUGGUUGUGCUGUUUGAGGGAGUAGAAAAAUUGGAAGCCUAGGCCCUCUUGCCACCUUUAUAAAUUAAAAGUUUUAUUAAAUUUAUUCAUCGUGUGAUGAAACCAGGUCAUCUUCCAAUGUAAUCAAGCAUCUUGAAAUGGAUUAAUGAGUGCAUUCGCUCUUAAAUUUGAUGUCUCGAAUUUGAUUAAUCCAUCUUCUUCAUCAUCGCUUGUAUAAAAAUUGUGGCAUGAAAAGUUGGAGAAACUUGACCCAUCUUUACGGAUUGGUGGAUAAAAUCCCGGAUAUCUCAUCUUGAGAUUUCUCCUUGAUAUUUUUCAUGCCCAUGAAACAUUCGGCAUUCUAGAAUUCACACAGUCAACUCCAAGUAGUGAAAUAAUACUUUUUUGUUAUCGUUGUUGUAUGAAACACUCAGAAAAGUCACUAACUAGUUUGACUCCUAACUUCAAUUGUUUCAGUGAAGUACUCAGUUGUUUAGAUUCGGUUGUAAGUUAGAGUUCCGUUCCUUUUGUUGAUGGGAGAGUUACGUGCACGGCAAGUGCACCAUAUGUUAGGGCAAAACCGUGUUUUGCGCGAAUAGUUUGACUCAGAUUUCAAUUUUGGUCAAUGUAGUUUUUUUAAUUGUUUCAAUCAGGUCCCUGAAGAAACAAGUGAUGAAAAGUUGGAAUCUGGUGCUUAAAAGGUUGUGUGGGUUGGAAUGUCGUAGGGGAGAUAGAUAUACUCCAUACUCCCAUCUGUCUCUACUUUUGACUCUAAAUAGUAAAUACCAAACAUAAGGCCCCUACCAUGAAUUAAGCCUACCUAUUACCCUAAUAGAUAUUGGAUUAUACUUAUUGCGUUUGAUUCAUGGUUGUAAGAUCAUCUCCAGCUAAGUACCAUGUCUUAUAUUAGACCGUAAAAUUGAUAAAUAUAAUUUCCAAUUAAAGAGCUAAAAAGAAUCACGCUAAAGAAAUCAGACCACAUUUAUCCCUAGGCAGCCUACUAAUAACCAGUUCUCCGUCUAUUAGUUAAAUAUUUUUUUUUCUAAAAACGCUUUUAAUCAUUUAAAAAUAUUUCUUAAAUAAACUGUUAAUGAUAAUGAGGGUCCUUCACCGUAUUUAAAAAUUUGAAAUGAAGACAAAGGUGAAAGGAAGGAGCCAGAGGAGGAUAAUUAACUAGGAAUCGUGAAGUUUCCAUGGACCUGCCGACUGUAAAAUUAAUGAUAUUUUCUGUCCUGUUGUGAAAAGAUAAGCAAAACAAGUGAUGUAAUAUACAAAUUGGUGGUUACAAAACGUCAAAACAUACUCAAAUCAUGCACCUUAAGACAAAAGAAAACGAGUAUAAUAUCGUCAUCUUCAUCUUCUUUCUUAUCACUUUUCUGUUUCUCUCACUUCCAGUGCCAAUCCUCAAUUUACCUAAUCAUAUUUACAACUAAAUGUAUUGAUGGAAGAGAUCAAAUGCAUAACAUGUGUUUGUAAUCUAAAGCGUCUGGACGUUUACUCAAGAAUUUUUUAAAAAUUGAAUAUAAUAUCAUAAAAAUACUUAACAUGAUUAAUUUCAUUAAACAAAACAUGAUGUUUGAUCAUUCCAACGAGAGAUAAUUGUGACUAAGCUAAUUAAUUCAUUAAAACAAGAUGGCUUUUUAACUAAUUUUACAGAAAGUUAAAAAAGUAGACGAAUACAACGAAAAGAUGGGUGGUGGCGAUAGUGUUGAAGAGAGUUGACGAUCUUCUGAUUACAGAGGUUGCCGACGAAGCGUCUUUGUUUCCACGAGCGCCGUUUUUGAAGUAGAAUGGAAAAUAAGGUAAGAUGGGGUCAGGAGGAGGAUUAGCACCAUAACCAUAACCACCGUUAUCAGUAGACGGAGGAGGGUUGUACGGGUAAUUUCCAGUUGGGUUGUUGACGACGGCCGGGGGCGGGUAUGACCCGGUUUGGGACGACGGAGGCGAUGGAGUUGUGGUGGUCGUAGUUGUUGGAGUAGAAGUGCUCCCGGUGCCUGUAGGUGGAGGAUAACAUGGGUAUGCGCAGGGAUUAUCUGAUAUUGUUAUUGCGGGAAAGCUGAGCAUUAUUGAGAACAAAAAGAGAGCUGACAGGAUAAGUGGGUUUAUCUUUGCAGCAGCCAUGGGAGAUCGAAUUGAAUAUGGUGUGGGAUCUUAGGGAAAUGAAUGAGAGAGGAAGGAAAAGGAGAGGUUUGGGGAAGAAAACAAAAUGUGAAAACGAGUGGAGUUGGUGGAGGUAAGAGAAGAGCCCUUGUCAACUUUUUGCCCAUUUUUCUUUUAAUUUUACCCUUACUUUUGAAUACACAAUGAUGACAUGAGAAGGGUAAAAUAGUAAGUUUGUAUUUUAUGAACUUUUCCUUUUUUUCCUUAUUUUGCCCUCACUUUUGAUACACAAUAUUUACAUAAGGAGGGCAAAAUAGUAAUUUUAUAUCGAAAUAUUUACAUAAGAUAAAACAUAUGCACUUAUUAAGCGAAAUUGUCUCACCAUCAUUUUUUUCAUACACGUAAGUGAAAUCAUGAUGUUUUUUGGAUAGUUUGACUGAACUGAAGCGGUUGCGCUUGAGGAGAACGUGGGAGGAGAUGAACGGUUGAAGAGGCUUUAAUUUUGUACCUUUUGACAAAAUGACAAUCAUAUCCCUAUUUUUUCUAUUUUACCCUUAUUUUUUUAGAAAAUGACAAUUAUAUACCUAUUUUGUUCACACACACAAAAUGUGUGCUCUCUGCUAGUACCAUUAGAAAGAAAACUUUGAGAGUCUUGUCAUGACUCAAUGAGUAAAUAAAAAGAAAGAAAAUAUAGAGGGGGCCAAAAGGGGGACUGUUGAAAAAGCAAAUUCUAAAAGUUUUAGCAAUUUUUCUUCAAUACUACAUAACAUUGAAUGAUACAAAAAUUGAAUAGCUGAGGUUAAACAUAAAAAAUUCUAAGUAGUAGUAACAAUCAAAUCCAAUAGCUAAAAUACCCGUAACAAGGUAUAAUAUGUAGCAUUGAAACCUUACCCUAGUUUUAGACCCUGUAUAGCUAGAAGAUGUCACAUUCAUACACCUUUGUUUUAUGAAUAUUUUUUUUUCCGUUAUACGAGAAGUUUAGAACCCUGUAUGUAGUCUUUUUUUACCUAUCAUCCUAAUUACCUUCACUUUUACUUUUAAACUUGGCUAUUAGUGUUAUUUAAAAUCGAUAGUAGCCUGCUAAAUCAACAAAUUUUGAAGUUAAUUAACUUGUGCAAGUGAACAAACUUCUUUAUACACACCUCGUAGUUCUUGGAUGUCAACUCAUUUCGAACUUCCUAGGCCUUACGUUAAAAAAAAAAACAUACAGUUCAGUUAGGUUAAAAUCACUAAUCAUUCUUUUUGAGCUCAAACGUCACCCGAAUUUGUAUAAUUUGAAGUCAUGGGACAUUUGGUAAAUCCUAAUUUACUUGAGUUUCUGUUGACCCUAGAAACUACAGAGCCUACGUGGCGCGCAGGCCGAGUAUUUUCUAAGCUAACUACGUCCUUCGGUGAUUGCGGGGCGUGCCAACUCGUCGGCCGAGCUCGGCCGAGGAGUAAAUUUGUUGAUGUUGCGUUGAGCGCGCUGAUGACUUCUGUGUCUUGCGAUUGCGGCCGAGGAAGGAACAAUUCUCGGCCUCUUGGGUUCUAGAGCCUGAAGACAAGGCUGCUAAAAUGCGAAGUUCACGAACCGAAUUCGGCUUUCAACGUGCCGAAUACAAUAACCUGGUAACACCUCACUUCGCCGAGAAGGCUGAUGAGAUGACCUCGACCAAUAAGAAUUCGGAAAUCCUUCUCGACCGAGACUUGGAUAGGUAACCAGUCGUCCUCGCCGUAGUGCUGUUGAUGCCAACGGAAGAUGCUGCGAGAUCGGCUGAUUCUACGGUGACAGAGCUAUCUAUGCCGACUUAAGAUAUCACCGGUUGCUUUCACAGUGCUGUUGAUGCCAACGGAAGAUGUGUCAGCGAAAAAGAAAAAGAAAAAUCACAAGUUGUGAGAGUUUGCGCAAGGCAAUUUUGUAUUGAUUUUGUAGGGCUCUCCUGAUGCACAGCGUCCCCUAUUUAUAGUACUGAACCUUGAGUCCGAGUUUACAUCCUACUCGGACUAGGUUUCCAUCUCCGGAUCACCUCGACCAAUCCUACACCUACUAGGACUAUGAACCUAGUCCUUAGCUAAGCUGGAUUAGUUUCCUGGAUAUCCGAUCCCGUCGAGACUCCCCAUUGCACUAGGAUUCGUCCUAACCGCCCUAGGUUUGGACUCCCACGGGUUGACCGAUCCAUGGUCCUUUUGCCGCCCGGCCUCCUGGGCCGAGAGUGAUCCUACCCUCGGCCCAAACUAUUAUUUUGGGCCCAAACAUUGCCCCCUCGCUUCUGAGGUCCUCGGCCUGAAACCUUCGGCCGAGUUUCGGCCUUGAAGAAGCGAAUCUACCACUCAGGAUCCUAAUACCCGAGUUCCAAGGCGCAUUUAUUGAGCACGAUCGCACGAUCUUGACCCUGCUAACCCACUCGCCACGUGGCGUCUUCUAACAUGGCCAAUCCCCCAUAAUGACGUCUAAGGCGUGCGGCAGCCUGAACCGUCUUGCCAUCACCAUGUAAAAAGACCUAGUCUACCUAGGUUCCUUAUCCCAUCAUUAUCCAAGAUCAUGACUUUAAAAUCAUCAAAUCCCCAAGUUUUUUUUCAAUCUGCACGUUCAUUGCUAAACAUCCAAAUUAAUUUGAACUGUACCUCUUACUUGAGGAUAUAAUUUGCAUCAUAUCCAUCCCGUUUAAGAAUAUGUCAAGAUAAUUCAAAUUAAAAGAUAAUUAUGAUAAAACCAUAAUAUUAUCUUUUAACAAAAAUAUUUUCACUUUUCCAUCCGACGGCUGAGAACUAUGUUUACUCUACGGUCUCGAUUACACGGGCCGAUGAUGUAAAUUUGGGUCCAAACAGUUUCACACUAGUUAACUAUAGUGAGCCCCAAUCACUUGGGGAGAGCUUAGACGUACGUAUUGGAGGAAAGUUAGAGGAAAUUGUGUGGGACUGGGCUAGCUAACUAUUAUUGUAAUUAUCUGCAAUUAUUGGCCUUGCGUAGUGAGGGUGCACGUCAAAGAUUAAGAAAUGUCAUAUGAUAGCAGCCUUACAUGACUGAAACUCAAUCAUUUUAGUUUUGGGAUAAAUUAUCACUUCCUAAAAUAUAUUUCUUUGCUACCUGUCCCAAGUAAUGUUUUAUGUCAUAACUUAUACUUGUGAUUCGUCCCGAACCAUUGAGUCAUUCUGUGAUGAUUAUAUACUUGUGAAUUGCUAACUAGAAGGAAAUAUGUUUUUGCUGAGGCAAUAGUUUCAAUGGCUUGGAUGAAAACAGAUCACUUAAACCAACCUGCAGGAUUUAAUUUGAUCAAUGUUUGAGAAACUUACAUUUAUUUUGUUUUGGUGAAAAACCCUAUAGUUGGUCAUCUCUGCAAAUAAAUUAAUAAUGCUUUAUUCAUCUCUCUCCCAAUUUCGAUGGAAUUGUAUCCUGUUCCCUAGCUAGCUUCUUCAAACUUGAAACUUGUGUUAAUCUGCUAUAUUAUUGGAUCUUGCCAAACUAUCGAAAGAAGCCGAGUAUCGAAGAGAUCACUAGUGACUAAUGAGUUGUUCAUUUGAUUCUUCACUAUAUAUAAAAGGGGACAUGAUGAUUACAAGGAACAUUCUUCUGGCAUAAAGCUACUGGUUAGGUAAAAGCGAUAAAGUAAUGAAUAGAAGUAGAUUAUGUUCAAAAUUCGAAACGCUACUGUUAGAGUAAGUCCAACCCUAAAGAUUUUACGCCAGCAUCAAGCACAUUUAUCCACUCAAGUGAACAGUGAUAUACCACAAUGAACAGUAAUAGGUCAAUUUUAUUAAAAAAUUAUUAUUUUUUAUUAUAAAAUAAUAAAAAAUUAUUAUUUUAUUUUUAAUUUCUAACUUUAUAAAAAAAAAAAAUUAUUAUUAAAAUAUUAUUAUUUUCUCAUCUUCCACACCUCCUUUCCCUUCCAUUUCUGCACGCCAUCCACCCCUGCACUUCCUACAUCUCAUGCAUCUCCUCACCUCCUGCAUCUCCACAUCUCAACAACUAACUCCUCUACAACAUCUCCACACCUCCUGUCCUUCAACGCCGUCGAUUCGUCCUCCUGCAUCUCCACACCUCUGACGUUGUCGCUUCGUCCUCCCGUCGUUCUCCCUCCGUGGUUCCUUCCCUCUCGACAUCCUCUCCCGCCUCGACCAGCUCCGCUCCUCAGCCUCCACAACAACUCCCUCUCUGGCGCAACUCCCUCUCUGACGUCAUAUGCCCUCCGACGCCACGCUGACGUCAGAUAGGCCGGUCCCAAGGUCUGUCGAUUUUAGGCCGGCCUGUGGACUGGCUUAGGCUGGGUGCCAGUCGAUUUCACGGGCUGGAGUGAAUUGACAAGGUGCCAGCCUGAUUUUUUGACUGGGUGCUGGGCUAUUCCACCUCCGGUGGAACUGCUCUUAGGUAAAAGCGAUAAAGUGAUGAACUGAAGUAAAUUACAGGUUCAAAAUUCGAAACCUCUAAUAUUAUAGGAAAAAAAAAACACUAGUCCUUCAAGGCAUGCAUGUCUUUAAAUUUUAAACUACAAAAAAUAAAAAUAAAAUUUAAAGUCGCUUUGGCCGUGCGUAUAUGUGCGACCAUAUGCAUGCGUAUCUAGCAAAUUAUUGUCGACAGCCACCAGCUAAAUUCCACACCUAACGAUGUUCUUCUAAAUAAGCAUAAUUAAUAUUUGUGAAAAAUAUUUGAUAAGCAAAUUAAUCAUGGAAAGAGACAGACAGGUGUAGAAAGAUGCAAUUGAAAGGCUUUUGAAUAAUUCCGAUGAUUUUUCUUUGCUGCCACGUAGUCAAAGAGCAAACUUGAAGGCACAACCGCACAGACGGAAGCAAAAAGUGAGCAGAGGUUGAGAAGUAAUUUUGACGAACAUGAACAAUGCAACCCAACAUAUAUAAAAUUCGAUCACUCACUAAAUAACAUGAUUACUAUGAUUUUUGUAAGAGAAUUAUAGGGUUUACCAUUCUAUUUCUUACACCUAAGACAGAUUCAUCCAUUAUUUGGUACCCUGCGAUUUUAAAUAAGCAAACCCCUUUGACAUGGUAGUUACAACUACCAUUUUUUUUUAAAUGGACAAGUUGGUGGCAGUCUUUUUUUUUUUUUUUUUUUUGUGACCGUGAAAAGUCACAGAGGCAUUGCAGUCUCUUCAUGGCCACCAUCAUGUGAAUCAUUAGUGCCAAGAAUCGAAUUUAGGAUGUGUCGUGUGAAAUACGAACCCAAAAUUUAUCCACAACUAUUGAACCACCCCGUGGUGGUUAGUUAUAGCUACCAUUGAUUCUACUAAAGUUAUUAGGACCAUAAGGACCCCCUGAACAUCGUGCCUUCUAAAUCGCCCUAAUAUGAUGAUGAUGAAUUUAAGUUGGACUGGACGAGCACACUAUUUUGGCCAAAAUUUAAAAUAAUUUUGCUUACCCAAUGAUAUGCAAUUAUUUAUGUUUUCUAUCAAUAAGAAAUCUUCAAUUUUUAUUUUAAAAAGUUAGAUAUUUGGGAUGAAUUACUUGGUGGAAAUUCACUCUCUCAACAAUUUAUUGACUAAUAUCAAAAUUGUGUUUUCAGCAAGUAUGAUGAAAGUGUUGCAAUCUUUUAAGUGUGAAUUUUGGGUAUUCGAAAGGAAUGAUGCUUUGCUUUAUCAUCACCUAUAGAAAGAGGUGAGCUGUGAUGUUAGAAAAAGUCCUUGGGAGAACAUGUACAAUUAGAAACUUCCUUUAAAACAUUUAUCUAUCUUAUAACUUUGAAAUUGAAAUCUAUAAACGUGGCUGUAAAUAAUAGAAUGGAUUUGUCUUUUUUACACACGUAUGAUGCUAGAUGAGAAUCAUGCAUCACCUUUUUAUCUUAAACGUUUUCUUUUCAUCGAAUUAACGUCAUAAGAUAUACAUAUGUAAAUUAAGUCAGUUAAUUAGAGUAAUAAAUGCAUUUCAGCAUUGCUUAUCGUUUCUUCUUUACUCGAAAUCAAAAUGGGUUGGUCUUCAAUUUCAUGAACAUUGAUUUGAUGAUUUACCAUCAAUCUGUUAUGUUUGGUUGGAUGGUUGGUGACUUGGUUAACCUUAUCAAUGAGCUGCCAACUUGGAUUUCCUAGAGCCAAUCAGAGACUUGCACGCGACCCAUAUAAUUAAGGAAUCACAAUCCUUACUAAAUUAAGCACUGGAUUUAUCUCUGUUUUUGUCACAUCUUAAUAUGCAAUUUCUAACUCUAAUGAUUUUAUCCAGACUCUAGAGCAAUGCAUUAAAAAACCAGUCAGCACAACUGCCACUUCCAAUUGGUGCAUCCAUGAAUGGUGCUUAGUAGAUAAUGGCAACUAGCUAAGUCUUAAUCAAACUUAAUUACCAAACCUGCCCUAGGAGACUAUUUAAAGUGAUGAAAAUUGACCGACGACCCACCAGUCGUUGGUUGUUUAUAAAAUUCAAGAUUAAUAUGAUGUUGAAAAGAGAGAAUAUUUUGUUACUGUCUUCAAAUGGUCGUAAUGUUCGUGAUUUUAUUUAUUAUUAUUAUUAUAUACGUUUAAAUUUCAAGAUCUAUAUACAUAGAUAUAGAUUUCGAAAUUUAAACUUUUAUAAUUAUAAUAAAUAGGAUGUAAGGCGGUGAAGAGAGGACGAUGAGUAAAAAUACUUCUAAAAAGAAAGCAUGGGACCAUAGUUUGGUGAAACCGAAGUUGAUCUUUCUUUUACAAGCACUGAAGCAGAUGCACUUUUCGACAUUUGACACGUUAACGGAAUGGAAUGAAGUCUGACAUCAAGAUCAAAUGGUCGGCAUUUUUUAGCAUGUCACAGCGACCGGCCCACGUACCCAAAUUUGACAGUCCAUGUGAACCUUCGUGAUAAUUGGCUAUGAUGUGAACACAUCAACCGACGAAAGAAAUUUAUGUGCAAUCAGAACAAAACGUCAAAAUGCGUAUCGUUUUUGUUUGAAGAUUGAAUACCACCUCAACCUUCUGAUUACAUCAAGUUCUUCUCUAAGAACAUUAAGUUUUGUUAGGGUUAACUCAUCCUCAAGAACAAUCUCGAUCACCCUAAAUUUUACUUGGUGUACGACGAAAACUUUAUCGGUUUAUAUUUUUUCUGUCAUGAAUUUAUUUAUUUUGAUAAUCAGAGUUAUUAAAAUCAUUGUUCUAAAAAUCUUCGUCUAGACCUUACUUAGACACUAAGACGUUAAAUCUUUACCCACCGCUUAGCCCUUUUAUAACUUUGUUGAAAUACUGUGUGUCGACUUUUUUAAACCUUUAUGGAAAAGAGCUUAGUUUGCAUGCCUCAGAAAGUUGUUGUGCAUUGUAUGUAUUUUAUUUUAUCAACGGCCCUUUCACAGAUUGCGAAAAUUGUGUAUUUUGGUUUUGGAUUGCAUAUUGUAUUGUCUACUGUUCGCAUCUGAUGACCAUUUUCUCAUUAAAAAUGAAUACACCCAACUAGUACUCAUGUACAUACAAACGCAUCAUUGUCGUUAUAUUUUUUCAAAAUUUUAAUUUUUUAAAGCACUUGGGUAGUCCAACUGUAUAUUCAUUAGCUUGUUAAGUAAGCAAAAAUAGUAUUUCUCCAAUUUAAUUCUAACCGUUCGUUUUCUGUACAAUCGCGGAGUCCAAACUAUUGAGACUAUCAUAGGAAGUUUUCUAACAUACGCAAUUGAAAAAUCUGUGGACAAAAUGCACAAGUUCUGCCUUGAAUCACAUUCAUAGUCGAGUCCACAUAGCACAUGCCACGUGGACACAUGAGCUUACCCCUUACCUAAGCUACAAGCACAUCAGACGUUAUAUAAUUAGAGGGUCCACAAAUGAAACGAAGUUUUUUAAUUAAGACAUCAGUGGAAGUGCAAGCUGGUGAGUUGGGUUGUCGGAUCCAUACACACUCAAUCAAGUUCCACAGGAUCGAUCGCAUCGAUUACGAAAGCAAUGAAAUUUCAAUAUUAAUUUUUAAAUUUUCGUAAUUUAAAUGAAUUUAUUAUAAUAUAUUGCUAAUAUAAGCCAAAAAUAUAAAAUAAUUUGAGAGCAAGGCACCAGAAUUGAACGAAAGAAAACAAAACUUAUGAGAUUGGAAAAAUAAAAGUGAUUAUGUACUCUAAUGCUAUUCAUAAUAAAAUUGAACUUGAAAGAUUUUAUGGAAGAUUAUUACACAAUUGGCGAGAUAUGAGAUUAGAGCAAGAAUUAACAAAAUUAUUAACCAAUCCUUGGGCCCUUAAUAGUUUCCUGGAUUACAAAAACUGAUAAUCCUGCCUUCAAACUCUUUAUCCUUCACUAUAACACCCAGAAAUUCAAUUUUAUCUCCCUUAUAAUCAUCU